UUCUUUUUUUUGUUUUCAAUGAGAUAUGAAUUUUUGAAGUGGAUGUAUGCAUUGAUGGUAUGAAUUGAAGCAUGAAAUGGUGUCUGUUUUUGUUGAUUUUCAUUGACAUGGUUCCAUUUGCCCGAUGGAGCUCAAAUUUGACAUGGUAGACCUUGAUUGACCCCUGUUUAGGUGUAUUUAAUUUGAGAAUUUUUGGAUGUGUUUUGGUAUGGUUUUGAAUGCAAUACUUCUGUUUGUAUGUUUGGUGGUUCAUUUGACCUCAUUUGCUUUGAUUUGUGCAUGAAUUGAACAUGAUGGAUGAUAUAAACAUGAGACCAAGGAUGUUUGCUCUUGUUUGAUGUUAAUUUGGUGUUGGUUGAUGAAUACCUUGCUGUUUUGAGUUUUUUCUUGCUUUUGGACCCUAGGCUUGGCCUAGUGGUCUAGUUGCUAAUAUUUGCUUGAUUUUUCAGGAUAAAAAAAGCAAUGUACAUGGAGAAUGAUACAAGUUGGUUUUAAUUGAUGUUGUGGAUGUUUGUACACUAACAUAACAUUGUUUUGUAGGUUGUGAAGCAGAUAGGCUUGAGGCCUUGGCUUGGUUUGUUUGUGCAUAGCUUGUAAUAGGUUUGUCUGAUUGAACUUGUUGUUUACAGUUUGUCUGCGUGAGUUACUGACUGAGUUUGAUUGUUCCAGGUAACUUUAGUUGCUUCAGUUCCUUGUGAAACUAUUGCUUUGCUUUGCUUGGCUUAAGGCAACUUGCAUAGAGGUAUAACCUUCUUACUUCAUGUAGUCUGGAGACCCGGCUGUUACCGCGGCCGGGCAAAUAAAUGUCCUGAAGUCCUCCUUAAGAGGCAAUGAUGUGUGUAUGUUUUAUUUUUAGCAGCCAGGCAAAAGCCCUUCAAGUAAGGCAAUGGUGGAAGGUAGGGACAAGCAACCUGUCCCCACAUUCAGUUAGUCUUCUCCUUGCUCCCAUUACAUGGUGUGUAGCAUGUGAGAUCAAAAAGCCCAAGAUCCUGUGCAUGCACAUUGUGUCGCUUGAGUCAUGCGGAGUAAAGGGUUUCCCCUAUUCUGGACCCAUGCUCAUUUUUGUCAGAGCCCUCCCUGGUUGAGGUGAAAAGGAAGCUGUGAGUCCCAUCCUUUCACUUACCAUCUUCGGGAUGCUGCUUUCAGACCUUAGCCUCGUAAUGGCAAGGUUAAGAGCAAACACAGCCGUACAGACGGACUUGCUAUAGGGCGUUUCCAAACCUGAUUGAUUGUAGAGCCGUGCUUGGUAUGUACUGGUCUAUACAGCUGUAGGCUCUGUGAAUAUUUUGUUGACAAUGCCUUGUUUUGAGAUGCCUGUUCUCGAUUUGAUGUAUGCAUAUGAUGUGUUAUGUUUUGUGCUAGCUUCUUUGCCUGGUUAGGUUAGUUUGCUUAUGCAAGUAGGAUAGAAAACCGAACUUAGGGUUAACGAUGCAUGACAACAUUAGGCUCGAGUCUCAGCUCCCUAGUUGUGUAUCUUUCCCCGGUUUCUGGUUAGCAAUUUGGUCCCUUUCAGGGGAACUACAUCGCCCUGAUCCUCGUGCCAGACGAGGUAUGUAGGCAGGUGGUCGUGCGAGACCACUCCGGGCAACUUUUUUCUUUUUGCGUGUGUUUAAUUGUUAUCUGAUUAUGUGUGUUUGGGUUCGGAUGCCGACAUAAGCCCAGUGAUUGGCUGUCGGGCUCCCUGUUUGCCCAUUUGAGUGCAUGUUUUGGUUCGGAUGCCGACGUAAUUCCAUCCAGUGGUUGUCGGGCUCCAUGUUUGCCACCCUUGCAUGUGUAUGAUUGUUUUGUGUUGUUUGGCGUGCGUAAGCCGAACUACAGUGGCUCUGAUUCUUGUUCCAGACAAGAUAUGUAGGCAUAAGGUGCGAUACCUUAUCGAGCUCGUUUCUCUUAACCGCGCACCGCGUUCCGCCGCGUGUGUGUGUUGUGAUGUUUAGCAACCUUUUCUUUAUUCUAGGACGUGGAUCCCUAGGAGUACCUAGGACGUGAGGGUGCUAAUACCUUCCCCUCGGGCGUAACCGACUCUCCCGAACCUUUUGCUCUCUGGCGCGAGAGCCCAUGUCUUUCCAGGUUUCUCUGAGCGUUUCCUUUCCCUAUCUUGGGAUAAAUAACGUUUAGUGGCGGCUCUGUGUUUUUUUUCUUUUUAGCUCGCCGGUUGAUUUUUCGCAGGAUGCGACAUACCCCAUCAUCUUUAGUGACUAUUACAUGGGUAACAAUAGGAGUGCAUUUAAGCCUUGCAUUUUCAAGACCAAACUUCUUGACAAUGUUCUUAGCAUACUUGUUUUGGGACACAAAGAUGCCAUAUUUCAUUUGUUUAACUUGGAAACUAAGAAAUUAUGUAAUCUCGCCCAUUAAUAUCAUUUCAAACUCAAAUUGCAUGUGUUGGACAAAAUGUUCUACUAUUUUGCCUGACAUCCCUCCAAACACAAUAUCAUCCACAUAUAUUUUUGCUAUUUUGUGUCUUAUUUUUUGGAUAAAAGGAAUUUGUCAAUUCCUCAUCUCACAUAGCCAUUACUAGUGAGAAGUUCAGUGAGACUUUCAUAUCAAACACUUGGAGCCUUUUCUCAACCCAUAAAUAACCUUCUUAAGCUUGUAAACAUAAUCUGGUGAGAUGGAAUCAAUGAACCCUUUAGGUUAUUCAACACACACUUCAUCAUUCAAAAAUCCAUUAAGAAAGGAAUUUCUGACAUCCAUUUGAUACAACUUGAAUUUCAUAAGGCAUGAAAUUCCUAGUAACAAUUAUAGUGCUUCCAAGCAGGAAACAGGUUUAAAGGUUUCAUCGAACUUUACUCCUUCUAUUUGAGUAUAACUUUAAGUAACUAUCUAAGCCUUAUUUCUUGUGACAUUAGCAUUUUCAUCUGACUUGUUUUUGUAGAUCGACUUGGUUUCAAUAAUGUUGGCAGAGUUGGGUCUGGGGACCAACUCUCAAACUUUAUUUCUUUGAAAUUAAUCAAGUUCCUCUUGCAUCGAAUUUAUCUCUUAUUCAUCCUUUAGGGCCUUCUUGGCAUUAUUGAGUUCUAUUUUAGAUAUAAAACACAUGUUAGUAAUCACUUCCUUGGAUCUGGUGAUGACUCUUUCAUUUAGAUCCCCAAUCACAUUUUUAUAGGAUGAUAUUUAUGAAUUCUUAUGGAUAGUCCUUUGUUUAUAAGAACAUUUUCCUUUAUCUCUUCUAAUUUUUCAUCUUCAUAUGUCAAAAUGAUGUUGUUUCCUUUGUUAAGGACAUCUGGUAUGACGUUCUACUCAGGAGAAAUAACUUACUCUUCUUCUUCUUCAUUAAUAUCAUCAUGUUGUAUGUCAUCAAAAACAACAUUGAUAGACUCCAUCGUGGACUUUGUGUGAUUAUUGAACACUUGGUAUGCCUUACUAUUUGGAGAGUACCCUAAGAAGAUUCCUUCAUCACUUUUAGGAUCCAACUUGCAUCUUUUCUCUCGAUCAACAAGGAUGUAACAUUUUCUACCGAAUACAUGAAAGUAUUUGACACUUGGAUGUCUUCCUUUCCAAAGUUCAUAAUGAGUAGCUUUUCUUAUUGGUCGAAGAGCCACAUGGUUGAGUGUUAUGUGACAUGUUCACGACUUUCACCUAUAAGUGAUAAUGAAUAUUCUUGGAAUGAAGCAUGACUCAUGCUAUUUCUUGAAGUGUUUGAUUAUUGCGUUCAACCACCCCAUAUUUUUUAGAGUGAUGGGGGCUAAAACCUCAUGAGAUAUACCUUCAGAAGAGUAGAAUCCAGAGAAACUAUAGUUCUCAAAAUCCCUUCCAUGAUCACUAUAGAUUCAAACAAUCUUGCUGAUUUCUUUCCCUUUCUCAUGCUGCAACAGCUGGCAUAGGCUUCCAAAAGUGAUGAAAGUAUCAUAAUUUUCUCAAAGGAAUUCAACAAAAGUGAACCUUAAGAAGUCAUCAACACAUAUAAGGACAUGUCUUCUUCAACCUAAGCUUUCUACUUGCAUGGGUAUCAUUAGAUCCAUGUGUGGUAGCUUAAUGACUAUGUAGGUAGUAAAAUGUUGUACCUUCUUGUGUGACAUCUUGGUAUGUUUACCUAUUUGACACUCUCCAAAAAAAUUCUUCUUCAAUCUUCAGACUAGGAAUACCAAGGAUGGUAUUUUUUAAGACAAUCUUCCUCAUACUUCUUAGAUUUAGAUGAGCAAGUUUUUUAUACAAUAGUUAGGUUUCAUCCACCUUAAAGAUAAUUCAGAUUUGAGGCUUAUCCUUUAAUUAUAAACACCACAUAUCUAUUGUCUGAUGAUCUGGUAACCUUCAUUAUUGUUCUAAAUGUUUGUUAGUGACAAUACAUUUUGAACGGUUGAAAUUUACACAAAGUUCUUGAUCACAUAUUUGUAUGAUGUUGAUGAUAUUUGCAAUGAGACCUUCGACAGGGAGGACAAUAUUCAUACUAGGAAGAUUUGGAUAAUUUGGCUUUUCUUUUCCAAUGAUCUUUCAUUUAGCACCAUCACUGGAAAUAACAUAGUUAUUGGAGUAAGGUUUUAGCUCUUUUAAGUCAUUCUUUUCUCCAGUCAUGUGUUUAGAGCAUCCACUAUCAAAAUACCAAUCUUCAUGAGAUGAAUCUCUUAAGGAAGUGUGUGAAAUGUGAUUUGUAGUUGCUUCUUUGACUUUCCAUAUUUGUUAAUAACGACCAUCUUUUGUGGUGUUCUUGUUGGGACGCUGCUGAAAAUGUAUUAAGGUAUACCAUAAAAUUUGUAGCAAAAAGGUCUUAUAUGACCUUGUUAGCCAUAAUAGUGACAUGCCCAUGAGGAUUUAUUCUAGGAAUUAAUUUGCUAGUAAUAUUAUCAAACAUGAUGUUGGGACAUAUAGUUUUACAUGAUGGACUUAGUCUUCUUGACAGUCAGAACAAAUUAUAUUUUUCAUUCAAAGAGCUAUAGUCAAAUCUAGUUCCUUCCAUAUCUCUAGAACUCUUGUCUACCCCUAGAAUUCCAUCAAGAGUUUAAGAACUAGAAUUUAGUAUGCAAACAGAUUUGGUCAUGCCUUCAAGUAUGGAGUUCAGGUUGUCAAGUUCUUCCUUUAACUUAGAGAUAAUAGUCAUAAGGUUUACUUUAUCUUGAAGCAGACUAUUAAUCUUUACUCUUUAUUCCUCACUAGAUAUGCAUUCUUAUUUCCACUUAAGAUACAUCAAAUUGUAGGCUUCAAGAACCACAUCAUCAUUAUAGAUAUCUUCAUCACUUCACUCCCCAUAAUCAUGCAUGGUUGACUUGCAUCUUACACGAGUUAUGAAGGAAACCGCAUUGUUGGCCUUUUUGCUUUCACUAUCAUCUUUUAAUUCCUCGUAUAUGACAUAUCAUCUCUUCUUUUGUUUACUAAGGAAGUUGUUACAUUCUGCUUGAAUAUGUAUGAAGCCCUCACAUUCAUGGCAUUGGAUUACAUUGCCUUUGUUGAGAUUAUCUCUAUUUCUACCUUUGCAUCAAGGAUUGAAACUUUUGAUAUUUGAAGGUAGAUUGUUGCUGACAUUGGGUGUGACAUUAUUCCUUAAGCUCCUAUCAAGUCUUCUCAUGACCUUAUCAAAUCCUUUUGUAAGUAGAGCAAUAGAUUCAAUUAGGUUUUUGUCAAUAUCUUAUUCUACAUGCUCAUCAUCGUCUUCAAUGUCAUUUUUGAAUGUCAUGCUUUUGUUUCUUUUCUCUAAUUUGUUAUUGAUAGCCAUUUCAAAGGCGAGUAGAGAACCAAUCAGCUCAACCACUUUGAUAGUGCUAAUAUCUUGUGCUUAAUCAAUAGUUAUAAUUUUCAUAUCAAACCUCUUUGAAAGAGAUUUGAGAAUUUCUCUAGGCAGCUUCUCAUUUGAUAUUUUUCCAUCAAGAGCAAAGGAACUAUUAGCUAUGUCACAGAGACAGAAAUUAAAGUCAGCAAUGGUUUCCUUAACUUUCAUCCUCAAUUUUUCAAAUUUUGUAGUGAUGAGUUUCAAUCGUGGCAUGUAAACUUUGGAGGUGCCUUCAUGAGCAUUUUGAAAUGUUUCCCAUGCUUCUUUUGCGCUUAGGCAAGUAGGAAUAACCCUGGAAGUAUUUUUGUCAACUCCGUUAUAAAUAACAUUGAGCGCACAAGAGUUACCAUGAGCUUCUUCAUAUUCUUCUUUUGACUAAUCACUCUCAAGCUUCAAGGAUUAUGUGCCAUCUUCAGUCGUAACCUUUGGAGGUGUCCAUCCUUUUAUGAUUUAUUUCCAAGUUUUAUUAUCCAUAGAUUUGAGAAAGACAACCAAGCGGGCUUUCCAAUAAUCAUAGUUUGUGACAUCUACAAUAGAUGAGCUAUUCACAUAUCCUUUUUCUUUAACAUUGUCCAUUUGGAACAUAAUGUAUAAAACCCAUAGAGCCCACCCUACUAGAAUAGGGUGCAUGCUCUAAUCCCAAUUAAAAUUUUGUUCUCUUGAUAACAAGAUGUAAGGCACAAUGUUGUAACAAUGUGUAUGAAAAAUGUAAUGCAUAAUAGACAUAAUAAAUACAAAAAAAUAAAGAACAUAAAAAUUGUUAACCUAGUUCGGUGAAAUAUCACUUACGUCUAGAAGGCAUUAACCCAAUGAAAAGAAAUUCACUUUUAAUAAUCAUAAGUACAAAUUGGAGUUUGAAAACAUGUAGCAAGUUCCACUAGUACUCUUCUUAUUCGACUUGCAACCGACAAAAUCAUAACUUACCAAGUUACAAUUUCUUCCAUUGGAAUACCAAAGUUGAUACUUGUAUGUAGCAUCAAGGUAUCUAUGAAUGCUCUUUAUGACAUUUAAAUGUGAUUUCUUAGGAGCCGAUUGAUAACGAGCACACAUAUACACGCUAAACAUAAUAUUCAGCCUAAAUGCGGUGAGAUAUAGAAGAGAACCAAUCAUACCUCGAUACUUCUUCAUAUCAAUGUCCUUACCAUUUCUAUUCCUUUCCAAGUUUCCAUUUGUAGGCAUUGGAGUGUUAAUCGACUUUGCAUCUUCCAUACCAAAUCUCUUUAGUAGUUUCUUGUAAUAUUUGGUUUGACAUACAAAUCUCCCUUUAUUGAGUUGCUUAAUUUGAAGCUCAAGGAAGUAACUCAACUCCCCCACAAGACUUAUCUUAAACUCACCCUGCAUAAGUUUAGAAACCUCCUUGAUAAGUUGCAUGUUAGUGGAUCCAAAACUGAUAUCAUUGACAUAAACUUGAACUAGAAGAGUAUGCUUUCCUUGAGCUUAAUGAAAAGUGUAGUAUCCACCUUUCCGCUAGAGUAUCCUUGAUUGAUUAAAAACAUACCAAGUCAAUCAUACCAAGCUCUAGGUGCUUGUUAGAGAUCAUACAAAUCUCGCUUUAGUUUGUAAAGAAGAUUAUGAUACUCGUGAUUUUCAAAACUGGGUGGUUGAGCUACAUACAAUUCCUCAUUAAUAUAGCCAUUAAGAAACUCACUUUUCACGUUCAUUUGAAAUAACUUGAAAUAUUUGAAUCAAGCAUAAGUUAUAAACGGUAUAUCAUAUAUGUGGAGAUAUUUAUAUAAGGUCACUACAAUCAUUUUAUAUGAAAAACACAUUGGUUACCACUUAAAAUUUUCAAAAGUAAGCACUCAUAACAUAUAUCAUACACAAAGUAAAUCAUAUACCUUUGAAAAAUACACAGGUAAAAGAAAGAACUCCCAUACAAAGUGAAAGUUGAAAAGAUAAUACCUCACCGUACGAAUGACGAAGGAUGCACAUGAAUUCCAUAUGAAAAUUUUAAACGAAAGUUGGAAUAAAUGCAAAAUGUUCCAGAAACUCUUUAGACAAUAACGAACUUACCACUUUUCGUUGUGUCAAAGUACUUGAAAGUAAGAUUAGUAAUGUAUCCAAGAAUAUUGUUGAUUUGAUGAUCAUUGGAGAUUCUCCAAGUCAAAGAUAAAUUGUCCACAAUAGUUAGACUUUCAACCUUCUCCUUUUCACAAUUGUUAUCUUCUUCGUUCUCACAUUCCACCACUUUAGGCUUAUCAAUUCCUUUUUUGGUUUAAUUGAAAAUGUCAUGUGAAGAUAUACCUAUAUCAUGAAAAGAAACACAUAUCCUGAAAUUUCUCGGAUAAAACAUUAAUAGUAAUCAACACACUUUUUCCAAUUAAAGAAUGAUGUUGAUUCCUUUUGUUCAUACAACCCUUCUUCCCUUCCACAAAGUCAAUGAAAUAGGGAGAUGUAACAUGUCACAUGUCUUGAGCAUCCAUAAACAAUAUCCCAUACUCUCUUCAUAUACCCAAGACAUUUAUCCUGUAAAAUCAACAACAAGUGUUAGGUACCCAAUCUUCUUUGGGUCCUUGGGGUGAGUGAAAACAAGGUUGCAUUUUGGCAACCAUUGAAAAGCUCAUUUAGGAACAAAAAGUUUCCUAAACUUGCAUUUUUCAAUAGUAUGCCCUUUCUUGCAAUAAUAGUGACAAGCUAAGUUUUGAUGAGAUGUGGUUUGCUAUUUGACUCCUUUUUGAAAAUUUUAUGCUUCUUAUAUGAAUGAUUCAAAUAACUUUCAAACUUUGAUGGAUCAAUAGCAAAUGCAAUUUUUGGUUGUAAGGAUUUUUCCAAUUAGACUUGAAGAGCAUUUAUCUCUUUUUGUCAUUCAUGACAAGAUUCACAACCAAACCUUAAAGGUUUUUCAUCCUCUUUCUUGUCAUUUUGAAAAUCUAUCAUAGACUUCUUAAUAUCUUACAACUUCCUUUCGGAUUCUAACACUUUAGCUUUUAAGUGUAAAAAGACUUUUUCAAGUGAAGCUAAAUUGUUAAAGGCAUUUAAGGCCUCUCUAUGAAGAUCUUUAAAAGCUUUUUGUAAUUGAAUAUAAGAUAAAUCAUUAAUAGAUUCAAGCUUAUAAAAACUUACAUUUUUCUUCUUAUUUAUAUUUUCCAUGGGGCAAAUCUAGGUCGAUUCUACACUUGAAGUUGAGCUUUCAUCACUUGAGGAAUCACUUGCACUCUCCCAAGCAACAUAGGAUCUUCUAGACUUGCUAGAUUUCUUAUGAUUACAUUUCUCUUUGUAUUUCUUAAUCUUAGGACACUCCGGUCUAUAAUGAGCAAAUUUUACACAGUUGUAGCAAGAACUCCUAAGUUUACCUUUCUUAUUCUCAUCUUCAUUUGAGGAUUUAUCUACCCUUCUACAUUUGGUUAGAUUCAUGUCGUAGUGCUCGACUUCAUUAUUCCUUAUAUACCUUUGGUACAUUUUGACAUACAACCCCAUGUCCUCGUCAUUAGAGUUCUUGUCCUCUCUUGUUUCACAAUCACUUUGCUCAAUAUGUAAGGGCUUUGAGCUUGAAGUGUUUAGAUCAAUAGACUUAUUCGCUUCCACAUUAUCUUUACCUUUCUCCUUCUUUACCUUUAUCCCAUAGUCUUUUUCAUGUUUUUCCAAGCAAGAGAGUUCUUGCUCAUGUUCUUUCAAUUUUCCAAACAAAGUAGUGAGAUCAAGUACUUUAAGAUCAUUUUCCUCCUUGAUUGUGGUGACUUGAGUUGCCAUCCCCUAUUAAGACAUCUAAAAACCUUAUUACAAGAAAUAUCAUUAGAAAUAGGCUUACCUAGAGCAUUCAACCGAUUAAUAAGAUGUGUGAACCACUUUUGUAUUUCGGUAAUGGUUUCAUCAUGCUUCAUACGAAAAAUUUCAAACUCUUGAUUCAAUAUGUAGAUCCUAGCUUGUUAGUGCCCUCAUGGGUAACUUGUAAUGCGUUCCACAUAGCCUUGGCAGUUUCAAAAUGAGAAACACGAUAAAACUCAUCAACAUCGAUGCAGAUAUGAGAAUGUUUUAUGCUUUCCAAUCGUAAGACAAUAAUUUCUUAUCAUUAUCAUUUCCUUGAUUUUUUGGUUUUUGUAUGACGAAGCAUUCACCAUUGGUCAUUGUAAUUUCAUGAAGACCAUUGAUGAUGAUGUCACAUACACCUUUAUCAAUCGAUUUAAUAUGGAUAUACAUACAAGCUUUCUAAUAGCAAUAAUUUUUGCUGGUGAAAAUUGGUGCUCUAUUGCACGCCCCUUUAGGUUCGAUAGCCAUUUCCUAAUAAGAAAAUCUUAAGCACGAAAUAAACCAUAGCUUGUGAUACCACUUAUUAGACGAUAGGCUUAGAUCUAGAGGGGGUGAAUAGAUCCCGAGUUAAAACUUUGACAAAAAAUAGUUUUGAAAAAUUUAUGACGCGAAAGCAAGUUUAAAAUAUCUCGGAUCAAAAAUUGUUUAACUGAACCCGCUAUCAAAAAAGCUUGGAUAUGUAUAGUAGUUACAAUGAUAUGAUAAUGAUUCACAAAUCGAUCAACAACAAAUAAUCACAACUAGUUGAAUGCAAAGUAAUAAGGAAAGUCAACUUCCAAUGAUAAUUCACACAAAAAAAAUCAAUUUAAACAGUGUAUUGAACACUUAAUGUGCAACCAAUAUUGUUUGGAGUUUUAUGUGAUAUUGUUGAUCUCAAAAUUCAAUCACAACGCAAAUGUUUGUGAUCAACUCAACAACACCAAUUUCAAAACGUAAUAAAAAAUUAUUAUCCUUUGAUCAAACGAUCUAUGAAAUCGACAAUUUACAAACCAAAAAUAAAAGCUAUAUAUAUAUAUAUAAUAUAUAUAUAUAGAGAGAGAGAGAGAGAGAGAGAGAGAGAGAGAGAUAGAGAGAGAGUACAUAAGGAUUUGUUUAGGCAGUUCCCCAAUCGACCUCGCUAUGGGUACGUCUCCUCUCAAUUCGAAUGUGAAUUAAGAUAGUGUAAUAUAUCUUACUUUGUAAAUGUAUGUAUACAAGAGAGAUGGAUGUAACAAUCUAACUCUACAAACCCUAGGCUUGAUGUUAAUUAUACCACCCUCUCUUCCCUUGAUCAAGUAAUCAACAAUGUCGUUUCGAUUCACCGUCUCACCCUACUUCUUUGCAAGAAGCCCUUUAUUUUUUAAAGUUUUCCCUCGAUUGAAUCCCAAAUGCGAACUUGUUGAAACCCAAGAUUCAGCAAUGUGAUCCACCAUUUCACGCUACUCCUUUACAAGAACAUCCCAUUGUUCAAAGACUUCACUCGAUCGAAAGUAAAGCGCCACCUUAAUUAUUUAUUUAAAACCCUCAAAGUUCUCAACUCAAUUUUACAAUACAAUCAGCCUAAAUUAGACGUUAUCAACCAUAAUCUAGAUGGCAACCAAUCAAAAAAUGAUUAUGUGUAGUUUGAUUAUAUGGAUUUAUAGAAGAGAGGUUGAAGAUGAUGAGAAUACUUUGAAAUCUCGAUUUCGUAUAGCUUUUACUCACUAGAAACCUUACUAGUAAAUGAUGCAUGUAGGAAGUAUUUAUAUGCACGCAUAUUGGGAGGAAAAAGGAAUGCAAAAGAUUUGAAAAAAUUGUGACUUUUUGGAAAAAUUUCGUUGCAUAGGUCGAUUCUGAAAGUCAUGUGUUGACCUGUAUAGAUCAUGUGUCGACCUAUGAAGAUCAUGUGUUACGUAUGUGCCAACCUGUGGAGGCGACACAUCUGUCAGAGCUUGCAAGCUUUAAUAAUGUCGUAAACGAGUCAACCUGUAUAGCGGAUGUGUCGACACAUAGAAAAAAAAUUCUUCUAUGUGUCGACCUAUGAUAUGCAUGUGUCGAUCUAUAGUUCAUUUAUUUCCAAAAAUAAUUUUUGAUGCAUGAAACCUUUUUCAAACGUGUUUCCAAAUAAUUUUAUGCUUCCUAAUACUAAGAUGCACAUAGAGAAUCAGAGGAUAUCGUCUAAUAUACAUUAAUGCUAAAAUAUCAUAGUUUUGACAUCAUGCAAAAUACAUCUAAUAUAAAUUUGCACUCACAGUAACCCAAGAUUUACCAAUAUGAUACACCGUCUCACGCUACUCCUUUGCAAGAAACCCCCGUUCUUCAAAGCUUUCAUUUGAUCGGAUCCAAAUCGCGUAAUUUUGUCAAAAACCUUCAAAUCCCUAAUUGAUCUUGAUGAAAAAUUCCAACUUGAUUUUCUUAUUUGAAACCCUCAAAGAUCUCAAUCCAAUUUACAAUUCAACAGCCUAAAUUGGACGUUAUUAACUCUAAAUUUAUAUGGCACCCAAACAAAGAAUGAUUAUAUGUAGUUUGUUUGUGUGUAUGCAUAUAAUGUAGGUUGAAGAUAAUGAUAACUCUUUGAAAUCUCGAUUUCAUGUAGGUUUACUCUAGAACCUUACUAGAAAUGAUGCAUGUAUGAAGUAUUUAUAUACAUGUAUGUUGGAGGCAAAAGAAAUGCAAAAUUUAUAUUAAAACAAAUGAGUACAAAUAAUACUUAAAUCCACUCCAAAGAAACAUAGAAAAAGAGAGCGCAUUUUUUAUAUAGAGCUAGAGAUAAAAUGUGUUUGCCACUAUUGUUAGAAGUACUUACAUGUCCAUUUCGAUUUCUUCAAUCUAGACUUUGUACGAUUCCUUUCAAAUACAGGUGUUCACUCUUUUUGAGGUCUUUACAUGCAAGUGUUAAAGCUCAAUUUUGGAAUAUAUAUUGUAGUAAUGUGGGGUAUUCUUUGCCUAAUCAUGUAGAUCUAUGCCCUUAUUACAUGUCACUUUAGAGUUUUGAUAACAAUUGAACGGCAAGCAAAUCACUUUUUGAAUGGGGAAAAUUAUAUGUCAAGAACUUUGUUAGUCAUUAAGUUAUUCUUAGAUCAAAAUAGAUAAAACUCGUGAAUUUAGGAAUAGGAAACCAAAUAGCAAGAUUCUUGGGAUUAAUCAUAUUGGGAAACACUUAAGAGUCAAUAUGCUUUGAAGAUUUUGAUAGUGUUGUGGACAAACUAAAUGCAAUAGAAGAAGCUCAAACAUGAAUGGAAUAUAAUAUUGUAAUAAUAUGGUGGAAAGAAGAACCUGACAAUGAAUUAUGUUCUUUCUGUCUUCCCUUCUUACCACAUGUGUGUCUCUUCUUCCCAAGAGAAUAUAUAAGUGACUAUCUCUAAUAGCUAUAGAUAGAGUGAAUAGAAACUUGAACUAGAAGAAAGAAAUUUAAUGAUUCCCAAUAACCUUUUCUGAAGGUUUUAAAAAUCAAUCUUUCGGAGAAAACGGUUGCGAUAAAAGGUAUUAAAAAUGUCGAAACAAAAACCAUUAUCGCUGUUUUUAUGAUAAAAAAAUAAUUAAAGGUUAAUUCAGAACGUUACAACUGCAAUUAAUAUUGUAACAUAUAUACCGAUCGAAUUCGCAAAAAGAAGUGUCCUAUCUUUAAUGAGAUUUUAUUCUACUGGCCAGUUGCCAAGCUUGGAUAAGAUGUCUUUAACUAGGACAAAUGACAUCUUCUCCCACUCAAACGCUGCGAAAGAGUACUUCAAGCCUCAUUCAAAUUGAGUUUUUGUAAAACUAUUAUGAUUUGAAUUAGUCCCAACUCAUUUUAAGGAAAUAGAUUGUACAUUGAAAUUUGUAAAUGUUUAUAAACAUUUCAAGACUUUAAGAUUUAGAUUUUUUUUCAAAUCAACAUGUUGAUGUUCGUAUUAGUGUUUGUUAGUACAAUGAGUGACUAGAUUGAUAGAUUUUUAUAUCAUUUUAAAUGUUAAAUUAGCAAAAUUAUUUUUAUAAAAUUAACUUGUAAGCUUUGUUGAUAUAUAUGGGAGAGUCCAACAAUAAGAUAAAAAGUGAAGAUAAAAGAUUGAUUAUUUGAAUUUGAUAGAUAUAAUAAGAAAAUAUUCUUAACAAUGAACUUGUUUAAAAGGCAAUGGAUUUGAGUCCCUCAAACAAGUAGUUACGAGUUUGAUUCUUAACUCUUGUAUGGAAAAAAUUGGUACAAGUACAAUUAAAUUUUAUUAAUUUUAUUCUAUUAAGUGGGAUUAACUACAUGUAUUAAUUUUCGUCAUAAUAUUUUACUUGAGACCAUACUUUUAUCUCAAUUGCUAAUCUCGAUAUUUCUUAAUAACUUCUUUUAUUAUUUUUCUAGACUUUCAUCUACUUCCAAUUGUUUGACUUCCCUUCAUAUGAUCUACUCUCCUUAUCACAUAAUAUACAGAUCUUCUCUAUAUAUGUUCAAAUCAUCUAAUUAUGUUUUUCACCAUCUUUUCUACUAUAGGUUCUACAUUAACACUUUAUAAUAUUGUCAUUUCUAAUCUUAUCAUAUCUAAUCAUACCACACACCCACAACAUUCUCAUAUCAACUACACUUAUUUCUUCUUGUGUUGAUUUUUAACUAUUCAAUAUUUUGUCUCGUACAAUAUCGCAGUUUUUACCGCAAUGCACCUUUGUGUCACAUAACCCCCCUGAAGUCUUCCUCCAUUUCAGCCACCCUACUUGAAUUUGAUGAUUUACAUCCCCUUCUAAUUCUUCAUCGCUUUGUAUUAUGAACUUAAUAUAUUUAAACAAUGUGACAUGUGGGAUGAUAUGAUCUCAAAUUUUCCCCUCUAAGUUAGAAAUGUUUCUCCUUUCUUGAACUUACAUUCCAUAUGAUAAUAACGAAUAAGAAGUGAAUAUUACUGGUCAACGAUGCUACAUAAGAACAAGACAAUGAAGUCUAACCCCCACAAAUUUUUCUCACUAUUGAAACACCGAAUGUUUAUUUUAUAUCAUUUUACUCCUCAAGUAUUCAACAAACAACCAAUCUUAUGAUAAACCAAACUUAAAGUAAUAGAAACUAUUGAACGGUCUUUGAAAUACAACUAGUCAUUAUAGAGACAAUAAAAUUGCAUUUCUUAUCUGCACUACAACAAAAUGGCUUCGUUGUCGGGGGUUGUUGUUAGUUUGUAAAGACAUUGCAAUAGUUUUAUCGUUUUAAGUUUUAUGUUUAUAUCUGCUAAUAUUUGUGUAUAUUUUGUAUUUAUUCACUAACAUACUAAUCGUGUUAGCUAGUUAUGUUAUUACUAGUUCAUGUGAGGCAAUGAUCCAAAAGAACAACUUAUGUUUGGUCCCGAAAUUAAAAGAGUCGCACUCAUAAACAACACUAAGAAUAAAAAUAAAAAGUUGCAAGUCAAGUUGAAACAUCUAGAAUAGUCUUAUGUUUCAAAGCAAGAAACCAUGGAUAAAUGGACAACAACAACAAUGCAAAUAACAGGAACAAUGUUGGUGGCAUGUCAUGCCACAACUGUCUGAUACGUCUAGCACACAUAUGCUAACUCUUUUGCAGGAUUUGACUAUAGGGACCCGUACAUACACCUCACAAAGUUCUACGAGAUUUAUUAUAUGCUAGAAGAUCCAAAAAGUGAGGAGGAAGCUGUGUUCCUGAGAUUGUUCCAUAUUCAUUGAUUGGCAAAGCAAAAGAUUGGUAUUUAGGCCAACCAACAUAGGCAGUGACGAAUUGGGAUACGUUGGAGGAAAAGUUAUUGAACAGAUUCUUUCCUCACAACAAAUAAAUGGAAACAAAGAUAAACAUUGAGGUGUUCUCCCAGGGCUCAAAUGAAACUCUUUGUGAAGCGUGGCAGUGAUACAAAUCCAUGUUGAAAAGAUUUCCAAACCACGGUUUUGACGAUCUUACACAUAUUCAAAUCUUAAAAAAUGGAUUAAAACAACAAUCAAAGUUGUUGUUAGAUGCUACUGUUAGGGGUUAUCUUAUGUUAAAAAGUGCGGAAGAUGCAAUUGCAAUUAUGGAAGUAAUGACACUCAAUUAUCAUCUAGGACAACAUAAUAGAACCCCUUUGCAAAGAAAGAGUGAUAUCAUGGAAUUAUAUACCAAUGGUGCAAUUUUGGCAAAAAUAAGUUGUUGACACAAAUAAUUAAUGAGCUAGCAAAUAACUUAUAUAAAUUGCCACAACAAUUAAAGGAGAUGCAUGAAUCACCACCACAAAUGCAGAUUGCAUUUUGCAAAUUAUGAAGCAUGACCAUCCAAAUAGAAUCCCCCCCCUAACUAAUGCAACGUUAUUAUGUAGGCAAUUAACAAAGGCAUGGGAAAUAUCCAAACAACAACCUCAACCAAAGAUGGAGAUUUGAAGUUGGUCCAUCAUAUAGACAGUCAUAUCUGCAUUAUACACAAACACCUCCAUAACGAGACAAAGUAACAAAGUUGGAGGAAACACUCAAUCAGUUUAUGCAACUGUAUAUGGACACUCACAAAAAGUCUAAAGCCUCCAUAAGAAAUCUUGACAAUAAACAAACGAAUCCAAAAGAGAAUUUUUCUAUAAUUGUUGAUGAUAAAAUCAUUGUUUUAAAUUCAUAGAAAUAGAAACAGAAAGUCCCAAGGAAGAAAAGUCGUAGGAGGAAAGAUGUAAGAUUACUCAAUAAAAUCUACCCCUCAGAAAGAAGCAUAUCCUGGUGUAGUUGUUGGUCGUGAAUAUGGAAGUAGAAAAACGGUCUAGAGGGGGUGAAUAAACCCAAUUUAAAAUCCAACUGCCAUUUUCAAAAUUAUAGUGUUUUCAAAAAUAAUUUUGAGCGAAAGGUUUGAUGCGAAAAUGUUAAAAUUAUACUAUUCAAAUUUUGAUCAAGUUAACGCAAAUCAUUUCACAAACACCAAAGAUGAAUAUGAUAAAACACUAGGUGUGGAUUGAUUAAAUUAUGUAAUUCACAAGAAGUGCUUACACAAUGAUUCAACGAAUGGAAUUCUAAUGUCAAUUUGUUUCUCAGAAAAUUAAUCACCAUUUUAGCUUAACAAGUUAUUCAAUUCCAACAAAACCUAAUGGUUACGUAAUAAAUCUCUAUCAAUGAAUAAACGAUAAACUACAAUGGAAUUGAAAUACCUAAGCAUGUAAAUAAUAAGAAAUUAAAUGCAAGAGUAAGAGAGAAAAAGAUAGGGGGGGAGAGAGAUGGCACCAAGAUUUAUAGUUCUUCGACGGUCAUCCAUGCUUUACUGACGUGUACUCUUCAAUGGUUUCCCAUUGGAACCUGCAUAAUUCAUUGUUAUUUGGCAAAUAUUUGUAAUAGCUCAUACAAUCACCAUUCUAUAAUAUAGCUGGGAAAAUAAAAUCUCUUAUUUGGACCUUGACUUGUAUACAACACAUAACCAAACUCUUCUACGUAAUCUUUACUCGAAUUAGAUUUCUUGAAUCUUCCAAUAUCACCAAUCUUCUCCAAUUCUUUGUGUGUAGCUAUCAAUCCUUUGGUCCUACCAAUUCUUGAGCGAUGAAUUAUCUGAAGAUCUGAGAAGAACUCCGUCUUAUCUGUAGCCUUCCACAUAAUCACUACUAAGGCCAAAGAGGUAGUUUGAUCUUUUACCAUGACAUACUUCCAUCUCUAAUCAACAGUGGAUUGGUAGAGCCGAAGGAACUGAAUCUAGUGUCUUUUCCAUAUCCACCAGGAUUUGACCUCAACGACCGAUGUGACUUCCAUGCCGGAGCACCGGGACAUUCAUCUAAGAUCUGCAAAGCACUCAAGAAUAGGGUACAAGAUUUGAUUGAGUCCAAAUUUAUUUUGUUCAUGCUUCAAGGAUUUCAUAUCAACAUCAAUCCUUUAUCUGGUCGUGCCGGCCAUUGGUCCUUGCUAUGGAAGAAAUUAUCGAGAAUAGGUGUAAAGAUUAUUAUCAUACUGGUCUUGAUCGGUCACCAAUUCUACUAGUUUUCUGACACUCAUUCGGCACUAAUUCACGAAGUCAGUAAAACUUUGUUUUACCUUUUUACUAUUUUGUCAAGUAAAUUGUAUGUUCGCAUUUCCAUUCGCGUUUGGUUAUUAUCUUUGGUUUUUGUCAAUGUGCUACAUUUUAUGCUUUCUUUUGGUAGUUCUGUUGGUUUUCAGGUGCAAGCAAGAAUGCCUAAAGACUCGCCAAGGGAAUCGGAUGUUUCCGCUCACAGGGAAGAAGUUUUGAAGAUACAGUGGCCCUGACACGGCCACCCGUGUCACCUAACACGGCCACCCGUGUCACCUGACACGGCCCGUGUCAAGGGAAGGAUAAAAGAGGAGGUUUUGGAAGAAAAUAGUGGGCUGACACGGGUGCCCGUGUCAACUGACACGGCACGUGUCAACAGGUCUGGCACUGGCAUGGUGGAAACAAGAAACAGUAAGCCAACACGACCGACCGUGUUUCCUGACACGGCCCAUGUUGGCUUGGACGCCUCAUCUUCUAAUUUGAUUUGAUUUUUAGAAUUACUGACCCCGAAGGGCGUUUUGGGUAUUUUCUACAUCGAUUAAUUGAUCAGUGACUAUUUAGAGGACUUUUUAAGGAAAAGAAAAGGGACUUUUGGACGACAAAUAUUGGUACUAUUGAGAUUGGUACGAUCAAGAGUUUUGAAGAACGGAGGUCCUUCAAGAGCGAACGCGAUUGAAGAUCAACGGAACCCCCAUUUCUUGUAAUGUCUAAUUUGAAUAUUGUAUUUUCUUUGAAUAAUAUGAGCGGAUAAACCCCUCAAUUCCAGGGAGUUUCCCUGAUUUUAUCAUGUAAUGACUUUGAAUUCUUAAUUCCCUCAAUGUUAUGUUUGUUAUUCAAUUUAACUGUGCAAUGUUUGUAAUGCUUUCGUUAUCAGAAAAAUAAGGAUUGUUAUACGGUUAACAAUUUGCGGGAUUGCAAUUGUUAAGGUUUUUGCAUAAUUAAACUGUAGUAGAUAUCACCUAGGACUAGGGAUAUCCUAUGGUUACUGGUUAUAUCUUGUUAUUUCAAAAAACUAGGUUUCUUCAUAAUUCCCUAAGGACUUAGGUAUUAGAAUGAAUGACCAAAGGUUUCCCUCUAAGGUUUUAGGAGGAAACAAUUUUAAGAUAUGGUAAUUGAAUGUUUGAACUGGUUGAGGAGAUUUACAAUCAAGGUCAUUGCAGAAAAUAAUCACACACCUUACCUUGGCAUAAUUUUCAUAUUUGUGUAAAAGCUUUAUUUUGCAUUCUGUUUAAUUCAAUUAUAGUGCGGAUUUAUUCCAAACCUUAAAACUCAUGUUUUUGUUUAAUUGAAUCACGAUUUAAACUAAUAUUAGUGCGCAGUCCUCGAGAUCGAUAUUUGGGAAACUUCCAUAUUAUUACUACAUUGGCAAAAUAGUACACUUGAUAUUUUAUCGAUCAAGUUUUUGGCGCCGAUGCCGGGGACUACCAAAUAUAAAGUUUAAAUUUAGUUCAAUUGAAAUUUUGUUGCUCUGCGACUAAAAUUUAUUCUCAAUUCUUUUAGUUAUUUAUUUCGAUCAUUAUUAACUAAUUUGUGUCUGAUAUUUGUAUGCGAGGUGAGGCCUCAGCUUAUUUUCCUUUUGACGCAGAAAUUGAAAGAACUUUAUGCGCAAGACUCAGACAAGCUAGAUUAGAAAGACUGGAAUCAGAAGAAGAAGAACUUUCCAUUCAUUCAGGUUCAGAUUUAGGUUCGGAGAGAGAGAUCGAAAUAAUGGGGGAGAACCCACCACCACCAGAAAGACUGUUAGGUGACUACAGAGGCGCAAAUGCACCAAUCGGAAGAUUAACAAUUGUCAACCAACCGGUGAAUCUGGCUAAUUUUCAGUUACAUCCAAGUAUUAUUAAUUAACUUGAAAGAAAGCAUUUCACUGGAAAGGUAAAUGAAAAUUCAAACAAGCAUUUACAGAGAUUUCUGACCAUGAGCAACACUCUAAAAAUUGAUGGUCACGUGGAGGAAGCAAAGAAGUUAAGAAUGUUCUCGUUCACCUUGGCGGAAGAAGAUGAAGAAUGGUUCUAUUCUCUCCCGACCGGUAGUAUUACAUCAUGGGAAGAUAUGGAAAAGGCUUUCCUGAAUGAGUAUUUUCCAGCAUCGGUGUUUCUGAGAAAAAGGUAUGAAAUCCUGAACUUUAAGCAGAAAGAUGGUGAAUCUUUGGGAGAUGCCUACAAGAGAUUCAAAAGGGUCCUAGUAGCUUGCCCAACUCAUAAUAUGGAUCCAACAUAACAGGCGCAGAUGUUUGUAAAUGGUCUCAAAAUAAAAACCAAACAGUUGAUUGAUACCGCAGUCGGUGGCUCAACUAAUUUCUCAACAGUCACCGGUAUCAAAAAGAUCAUUAAAGCAAUUGCUACUAAUGAGCACUUAGAGUUGUACGGCAGAUGUAUAAGUAAACCUGAAGGAGUUAUCAAUUUGAAGCUAGAAACUAAUAGAAUCCGUAUAGAAGAUAUUAUCGUUACCGAAGUCGAAAAGAAGCUGAAAGCGAAGAAUAUAGGUACCCAAUAGGUAACUCAAGUCCAACUUGUUCCUCUCAUAUGUUGUGAUAUUUGUAAUGGACCGCACCAAAUAGUGUAUUGUUUUUCAACUCCUUAACAAGUUGAAGAAAUAAAAUUUUUGAAGCAGAAUAAUCCAUAUUCUAACACGUACAAUCCUGGUUCGAAGAAUCAUCCUAACUUCUCAUGGAAAGUGUUGGUUCUAAGAGUUGGCAGCAAUUUUGAUAAAACAAAGAGUGUUCACAAGAUGUUGCAUGUGAUGUCUUAACAUAAGAUAUCUAUGUACCUGCUGGAGUUUAAAAACAUAAUUAUGCAGGAUUGUUUCAGGAUGUCAUACACGAUGUCAUGGCAUCUGAUAUUAUGUACCUGUUGGAAAUUAUAAAUGGAAUUAUGUAGGAUUGUUCCAGGAUGUCAGACCCGAUGUCAUGACAUCCUGUACACAGAACAUUCAGGGUGAAUGUUAUGUGUUAUGUGAUUGCGCAUUUAAUGGCAAUCUAUGUAUGAUUGAAGAUUUUAUUUGCAGGCGCAUUCAAUCAUUGAUUACAACCUGAUUUACUUAUUUUCCAAAGAGAUCUAACCAGCUGUUAUGAGAAGAUUUAAUUGGAAAAUAGUUUUAGGGUUUUCAAGAUGCCCAAGCCCAGCUGAAUGCUUCUAUAAAUAGGACAUGGAAAACCUGAUUUGAUACACAACCAAUACUGAGCGAAAUAUUGAGAGAAUAUAAGGGUUUGUGUCUUGUUUAGUCGUGAGACUUGUAAGCCAUCCAUAGAUGAUUGAAUUGGUCUGAUUUGUGGGUUGUAAUUUGUCACUCUAAGCUUGUAAGCAAGAGUGUGUGUCUACUUGAUCAAAGCUGUGAAGCAAGAUCAAGUGUGUGUCUACUUGAUCAAAGUUGUUACGCAAGAUCAAGUGUGUGUCUACUUGAUUGAAACUACUAAGUAAAAUCAAGUGUGUGUAAUUAAAGAGUGUCUUCUCUUCACAAGGAAUUGUUGUUUAAAAUCAUAGGUGUGAUUGAGGGGGAGUGAGUGGGUUCUCAUAUCUAAGAGUGCUUAGGUAGAAAUUGCACGGGUAGAGAUUAGGUGAGAAAGACUGUAACUUGUUGAAGUGUACUGAGACUCUUUGAACUGAUUCUAUUUAGUGGAUUUCAUUCUUGGCUUGGUAGCCCCCAGACGUAGGUGAGUUACACCGAACUGGGUUAACAAUUGCUUGUGGCUUUUGCAUUGCCAUUCUUUAUCUUUAUCCUGCUUGUUUUACUGAGAUAUUAGUGUCGUGACAUUACCUUUGACAUCUCAUAUCUGAUACCAGAAUUUCAAUUGGUAUCAGAGCAGGCAUCCUGCUCUAGUUCUGGGUGAGAUCUAGGGACUGUACUUUCUGGUAUUAUGGAGAGAGAUGGAGGAUAUGUUCACAGGCCACCAAUUUUGGAUGGAUCUAACUAUGACUACUGGAAACCUCGAAUGGUAUCUUUCCUAAAAUAUCUUUAUAAUAAGGCUUGGAAGGCUGUGUUAACAGGAUGGGUACAUCCAGUAAUUUCUAAGGAAGGAGAAGCCACAGCUGACAAGAAGCCUGAAGAACAAUGGUCCAAGGAGGAGGAUGAUCUAGCCCUUGGAAAUUCUAAAGCAUUGAAUGCCAUAUUCAAUGGAGUAGACAAGUGGUAAACAACUGUGAGGUGGCUAAAGAUGCUUGGGACAUUUCAAAACCACUCAUGAAGGCACCUCUAGAGUUAAAAUGUCUAGACUACAGCUGCUCACCUCCAAGUUUGAAAAUUUAAGGAUGAAAUAAGAUGAAAAAUUAUUCAUUGAAUUUCAUAUGAGUAUCCUUGAAAUUGCUAAUGCCUCAGGAGCCCUGGGAGAGAAGAUGUCAGAUGAAAAAUUAGUAAGAAAAAUACUCAGGUCACUCCCUAAGAGAUUUGUUAUGAAGGUUACAGCCAUAGAAGAGUCUCAAGACAUCUCAAACAUGAGAGUUGAUGAGCUAAUUGGUUCUCUCCAAACAUUUGAGAUGGGAAUGAAUGAUGGUUCUGAAAAGAAAACCAAAAGCAUAACCUUAAUGUCAAACACAGAGGAGGAAAAUAGUUAGGAUGUUGAUGAGGAUCUGGCAAAUGAUGUAGCAAUGCUGGGAAGACAGUUCAACAGAUUGUUGAAAAAGAUGGAUGUAAGAUCUAAGGCUAAUGUCAAGAACAUCUCAUCUGACAUCAGUAAAUCCAACAAUGCUGGAAGAAGAACAAGGUCAUAUGAUAAGCCCAAAGAAGGAAAAGAAGUAUAAUGCUAUGAAUGUGAUGGGUAUGGAUACAUUAGAACUGAAUGUGGAACCUACCUCAAGAAGCAGAAGAUGAGUCUUGUUGCCACUUGGUCUGAUGAGAGUGAAACAGAAGAGUCUGUAAAUCUGGUGACUGCCCUGACUGGAAGAUGGGGUUCUUAUGAAGACUCAAGUGAUGAUGAAGUAACCUUUGAAGAGUUGGCCACUACCUACAGAAAGUUGUGUCACAAAAGUGAAGAGGUGUGUAAACAGGUUGAAAGCCAAAAGAAGGUAAUAACUCAACUUGAGAAUGAGAAGAUAGAACACUUGGAAACCAUCUCCAAAUUAAAAACAAAAGCAGUGGUUCUGAAUGCCAAGCUAGAUGAAAGUCAACAAGUUAAAAGCCAGAAGAAAGUGAUAGGACAGCUGGAGAAUGAGAAAGCAGAACAUGUGGAAACCAUCUCCAAGUUAAAAACUGAAGCUAUGUUCUUGAAUUCUAAACUAGAAGAGAUGACCAAGUAUGUAAGAAUGUUAAACAAUGGAUCUGACUCCUUAGACAAGAUUCUCCAACCAUCUCCAAGUUAAAAACUGAAGCUAUGUUCUUGAAUUCUAAACUAGAAGAGAUGACCAAGUAUGUAAGAAUGUUAAACAAUGGAUCUGACUCCUUAGACAAGAUUCUCCAAACUGGUCAAAUAACAGGAGACAAAUCUGGCAUUGGGUAUAAUGAAUCUAAGCCUGAGUGCAGUUACACUGGUUGCAAACCUAAAUCCAAACCUAAGUGCAGCCAUAUUAAAAGCAAAUUUGAGAUGUCACAACAUCAGAAGGGAAGACAGCAGAAAGGGAAACACCAAAGAUGGAGAUGCCAUUACUAUGGAAAAUUUGGCCACCUAAAGCCAUUCUGCUAUAAGUUGUAUGGUUAUCCUAGACCUGUUCAUCAUCAAACUCACUAUCAACCAAGACCCAAACAUCACAGGCCUGUCAACAAGAAGCAAUGGGUUCCUAAGACUAAUGUUACAAGUCUAAUAGCUCACACUCCCUUCAGAGUUUCAGCUAAAGAAGAUUGGUAUUUUGAUAGUGGGUGCUCCAGACACAUGACUGGAAACAAAGACCUGCUAACUGGCCUUCAUCCUCAUGCCAUAAGCUAUGUAACCUUUGGUGAUGGAGCAAAGGGUGAAAUCAAAGGGAUAGGUAAGCUUGAUUGCCCUGGAGUUCCUGAACUUGACAAGGUCCUACUUGUUAAGGGCUUGACUGCAAAUCUAAUAAGCAUCAGUCAACUAUGUGACCAAGGUCUAAAUGUUAACUUCACUAAAACUGAAUGUCUGAUUACUAACAAAGAAAGUGAAGUGAUCAUGAAAGGAGUCAGGACCAAAGACAAUUGUUACAUGUGGAGCUCUCAAAUUGAUUAUUCCUCAAAAUGUACCUUAGUCAAAGACAAAGGGAUGAAGAUUGAUGAAAGAAAAGUCUGUGGGAAAUGUCAGGCAAGGAUGUCACACCAGAAACUCAGACAUGACAUCACUUCCAAAGGUUUGAAACUCCUCCAUAUGGAUUUGAUGGGACCCAUGCAGGUGGAAAGAAGUGUGCAGUGGUAAAUGACUUCUCCAGAUACACCUGGACCAAAAACAGAUCUGAUGUGGUUGAAAUCUUCAAAGAUUAUUGUCUGAAACCUCCAAAAGAAAAGCUCAUGAUGGCUCAAAUAGAUAAUAUUGGGUCUGGUAGGAGGAUGGAUCAUAUUGUUGAACAUGUUGCUAGUCAAAUGCAGUCUGAAGUAGGAAAGAACCUCGUUGGACUUGAGUUACAAGUCAAGCAGAUAGAAGGGUCUAUGUGUCUACCUCAAAGCAGAUGUGCCAAGAACAAUGUUAAGAGGAUUGGGAUGGAGAGUGAAAGGACACCUGCUCCUACUCAUUUGAAAGAUGAAAAUGGUGAUUGUGAUAUUUAUCAAGCUGAAGAUAUAGCAGCUGGAAGUAGUUGUUCUCAACAGGGUUGGUUGAAACUAAUGCUGACUGAACACAAUGUCACACACGAUGUCAUGACAUUGUACUAUGACAACCUGAGUGCUACAACUAUGUCCAAAAAUCCUAAUCAGCACAGCUGGACAAAGCACAAUGAUUUUUGUCAUCACUUCAGUAGAAAAUUUAUGGAAGACAAAAUCAUAGCACUAAAGCCUGACAUGCAAUUAGCUGACAAAUUUGCAAGGGUUUUGGAUGAUAAUCAUUUUGAAUGUUUAAGAGGGAAAUUGGGGAUUUGUAGUCAUGAGAAGUUAUAGCAAUUAAAGUGGAGUGGAAAAGGUAAUAAAAAUAUUGUCUGCCCAUUUAAAAGAAAGUGCCACAUUUAUGAUAAAUCAUUACCUAGUAUUGGAACUAGUAUCUAUGCCAUUUCUACACGCUACCUAAACAUAACCAUUUCCAUCUUCAUCCAACUUCUCAGAAAACCUCUGCUAGGGCAAAGAGAUGUUUUCCAAAAGUCCAACAAAAUGUCACAACAUCCCUCCUCAUCAGGAUCAAAACCCACUCACAAAGGAAGGACUCCCUCCAUGGAGUUUCUAGAUGAAGAUGUUCUGGAGGUUAUUCCCCUCUCUGUUAUUCCAGGCGACGUCUCUGGCCCUUCUCCCACAGCUGGAAGUAGUCAAGGUAACAUUCCUGAUAAACCUGCUCAUAAGGAUGACAUGCACUUUAAUGAUCGUACCAUUAGGAACCUAGUUACUAGGAUUCUGAAUGAAGGGCAUGCAGUCAAGGGUGUUUCUGUUGGUGUAAGCCCUAGAGGCCAAUACUUUUGGUACUUGUAUCGAAUUAUUUAUUAAUAAUUAAAAGGCUUUUUCUUUAUUAUGUUUGAUUAAUAAAGUCCCUAGAAUAGCUAGUCCGUUUAAUGUAAUCAAAGUAGGACUUAAUCAUGAGAAUAAUUAAACAUAAGGAUACUAUUCUUAAAGUAUCCGUAAUGAGCUUUAUUGUGAAGUGGGAAAACAUUAAGCAUUAAGACUCAUUAUGUUUUAGAACUGAUGAUCACAUCUCAUGGAUCAUGAUAAAGAGUAUAUCAAGUCUAAACAUAGGUAUGUAAUAUUAAGAGUAAUAUUCAUACGGAAUUGACCCGCUAUUGAGAAUACUAUAGAAAGUUAUGCAAAGUGUCAUAAGUUAUUCUCAUGGUGAUAAUGGUGUAUGCCACUCUUCGACCUGAAACCACUAUGGAUCCUAGACGUAGAGUCAGGAUGCUUUGUUGCUGAUCCAACGUUGUCCGUAACUGGAUAACAUAAAGACGGUUGAUGGUAACUCCAUGAAGCAUGCUGAGGGACAUGAGUGACCUAGAUGAAUUUGCCCAUCCUGCGUAACAGGAUAAAUGUCUAGGGCCAAUAUGAACUGGACAAGGAUAACACGGUCUAUACCUUGGUUCAAUAUAGACAUAAGGGUAAAGGGUAAUUAUACACAUAAUUAUGAAUCAACAGGAGGUUUUGUCAUAUCACAUGACAUUUUCGUGACUUGGGUAGCAGUGAUGUGUUGCUAGAUACCGCUCACUGUUUAUUAUGUUAAAUGCGUGAUUUAAUAUAAUUGCCAACGUCGUAAAAACCUACAGGGUCACACACAAGGACGGAUUGAUGAGAAUUAGAGUAACUAAGGAACACCGUAAGGUACGGUGCACAUAAGUGGGAGACGAAAUAUGGUAAGGUACCAAAUACUUAAGUGAUUUUGGCAUAUUAUGAGAUAUGGGUCAAAAUACACUUAAGUGGGCUUUUUAGCUUGAAGCCCAUACAAGUGGUUCUAUAAAUAGAACCCUUGGGUAGAAGCAUUGUCACUCAGACUAACACUCAAGUGAAGACUUGGAAUUUCGUUUCCCUCUCUCUCUCACUCAAAGCCUUCAUUUGUACCAGCUAGCACUGAGAUUGAAGGAAUCCGUUCGUGUGGAUUGAGUAGAGACGUUGUCAUCGUUCAACGUUCGUGAUCGCUCCGUGGAUUUGUAUCCAAGGUUUUGAUCGUUACAAGAGUAGACGUGGUUUCCAAACUUAGCGGUGUUCUCCAUACGAUUCUAUCACUGAUCAUGCCCAUUCGUAAGGAUCACUAAAUGGAGAAAUUUUUAAAUUCCGUUCCGCCUUGGAUGGCAAUUCUCCUUCAAUGAGGACAGUAAGAAGAGGGGAAAAGGUUGCUGGUGUAGGACCCUCCAAAUCAUGGAGUAAAGUUGAGGUUAGGAAGAGGAAGGUAAGAGAGAGUUCUGACUCUGAAGAGGAUGUCGAAGACGAUGUCCCAAACAUCUCUCCUGCUAAAAGGCAGGCUGUUAAAAAGUCCCCAGCCAAAGUGGCAGUUGUGCACUUAGACAAUAUCUCUUUUCAUCUAGAAGAUGGUGCUGCCAAAUGGAAGUUUGUCAUUAAAAGGAGGGUAGUUGUUCAAAGGGAGUUGGGAAAGGAGGCUGUAGAAGUGAAGGAAGUGAUGGAUUUGAUCAAGAAUUCUAGUCUGAUGAAAACUGUUGUUGGUUUACCCCAAUGUUUUGAGGGGUUAGUAAAUGAGUUUGUUGUGAAUAUCCCUGAGGAUAUUUCUGAAAAGAGCAGUGAGGAAUUCUGCAAGGUUUUUGUAAGAGGUAGAUGUGUGAGAUUCUCCCCAACCAUAAUCAACAAGUUCCUAGGGAGAGGAACUGAAGGAGGUGUGGAUUUAGAGGCUACAGACAAUGAAGUCUGUAGGGACAUAUACUGGCUGAACCAAGUUAAGGAGUGCCUAGUAAGAAUCACCUAUCAGCUGGCAAGCAUAACGUCAAAUAUGUCAUCUUACAUAAGAUUGGUUCAGCAACUGGUGCCUACUAAUCAAUCUCAACCAUCUCCUUGGUCUUGGAAGAAUCAUUUAUGCUAUUGUGAACCAGAGAUAAACUUUGACUUUGGAAGGUUUAUGUUUGAUCAAAUUGUCAGACAUGCCUCCACUAAUGCAGUGAAGCUGCCCAUUGCCUUUCCAUCUAUCAUCUGUGGAAUUAUCUUGAGCCAGCAACCAGGAAUUCUCAAUAUAAGUGAUAUUCCCAAUAGAAGAAAGCCUCCACUAUCCAUUCACUACAAGUUGUUUGAAGGAAUCCAUGUCAAUGAUGUUGUCAUGACAUCUGCAAGAAAGGAGUCUGCCUCUCAAGGUAGCUUGAUUGAUCAAUUAAAGGAAACUUGUAAGGAGCUGGAUAAUGGUAUUAGGAUUGCCAAGGUAAGGAAAGAGGCUUUGGAGGUUCUUAUUAAUAGCUUAGAGAAGGAAGAGAUGGAGAAGGUUGGUGAGACCAAGGAUUCAGAUGCCAAUACCUCAAGUGAGAGGUCCAAUGCUCAAUCUAAUGACAGUCCUGAAUCUGAAGGUGAAGAUGAUGCUUCUUCCUCAGACUGAGUGGUAAUGGUUCCCCCUGAUAUGAAGACUGUAUGUGAUGAAGACUGGGUUGGUUUGACUGUUCUGUAUGCUGAUAUGAAGACUGGUCCCCCUGUUGUUAUGAAUGUUAUGGAAGCUUGGAUGUUUUAUUAUUUUUAUGUGUAUAAUUUGUGGCAGUCCUUACUGAUGCCUUGUUGUAAUAUUUGGGCUCUUGAUGAGUUCCAUGAAUUUCUAAUUAUCUCAGCUAUCAUAGUUGUGUAUAAUUAUGGUGUGUAUCUCCUAACAAUUAUGUUUUAACAUUUUAUAUGUUAUGACAUCUGUUGUGACAUUCUCUGCUAGGCUGAUUGACAUUUAUUUUGUCUAAUUGGUCACCUUUGGUCUAUUUUGACUAAAAAGGGAUCCUAACAAUUAUGUUUUAACAUUUUAUAUGUUAUGACAUCUGUUGUGACAUUCUCUGCUAGGCUGAUUGACAUUUAUUUUGUCUAAUUGGUCACCUUUGGUCUAUUUUGACUAAAAAGGGGGAGAAAUGUUUAUGUGGAGAAGUUAAAUAUGUGGAGCUGUGUGGAGAUGUAUGUGCUGGUGUAGCUAAACAAAUGACCAUCUAUUAUUGAAGGAGAUGUGUUUGGUGUAAGAUAGAAUGUUGUUCUGUUUACAGAUGUUGGAGGAGAUGUCUGAUGUGGUGCACAGGUGAUGUUGAAGCAGAUGUCAGAGGGUGACUCUGAUUGUUACAGGUGUUGUUAUUACAGGUGUUGUUAUUGUCAAAGGAGAUGUCUGUAUUGAACAGACUUAGGGGGAGAAGAAGUACCCUUGUGCAUUUGUGUGUUUUACUAGUUGCUAAUAGCUAGUAAUUCUGUGUUUGCUUCUGCUGUUGUUUAAACUGUUGUUUAACUGUUGAUAGUUUGUUUUCUUGUGAACAAAAAGGACAGAUAUAUGUUUUAGCCAAAAUUUUCCAAAGGGGGAGUUUGUUGGUUCUAAGAGUUGGCAGUAAUUUUGGUAAAACAAAGAGUGUUCACAAGAUGUUGCAUGUGAUGUCUUAACAUAAGAUAUCUAUGUACCUGCUGGAGUUUAAAAACAUAAUUAUGCAGGAUUGUUUCAGGAUGUCAUACACGAUGUAUGUAACUUGGUGAAGUGUACGGAUAGUCUUUGAACUAAUUCUAUUUUAGUGAAUUUCCUUCCUGGCUUGGUAGCCCCCAGACGUAGGUGAGUUGCACCGAACUGGGUUAACAAUUGCUUGUGUUAUUCGCAUUACCAUUUUGUUUAUUUUAUCCAUUGUGUGUUAGCAGAUAUCAGUGUCGUAACAUUACCAUCGACAUCUUAUAUCUGAUACCAGAAUUUCACAUAAGAUAUCUAUGUAUCUGCUGGAGUUUAAAAACAUAAUUAUGCAGGAUUGUUUCAGGAUGCCAUACACGAUGUCAUGACAUCUGAUAUUAUGUACCUGCAGGAAAUUAUAAAUGGAAUUAUGCAGGAUUGUUCCAGGAUGUCAGACCCGAUGUCAUGACAUCCUGUACACAGAACAUUCAGGGUGAAUGUUAUGUGUUAUCUGAUUGCGCAUUUAAUGGCAAUCUAUGUAUGAUUGAAGAUCUGAUUUGCAGGCGCAUUCAAUCAUUGAUUACAACCUGAUUUACUUAUUUUCCAAGGAGAUCUAACCAGCUGUUAUGAGAAAAUUUAAUUGGAAAAUAGUUUUAGGGUUUUCAAGAUGUCCAAGCCCAGCUGAAUGCUUCUAUAAAUAGGACAUGGAAAACCUGAUUUGAUACACAACCAAUACAGAGCAAAAUAUUGAGAGAGAGCAAGGGUUUGUGUCGUGUUUAGUCGUGAGACUUGUAAGCCAUUCAAUUCAUCCAUAGAUGAUUGAAUUGGUCUGAUUUGUGAGUUGUAAUUUGUCACUCUAAGCUUGUAAGCAAGAGUGUGUGUCUACUUGAUCAAAGUUAUUAAGCAAGAUCAAGUGUGUGUCUACUUGAUCAAAGUUGUUAAGCAAGAUCAAGUGUGUGUCUACUUGAUUGAAACUGCUAAGUAAAAUCAAGUGUGUGUAAUUGAAGAGUGUCUUCUUUUCACAAGAAAGCAAGAUCAAGUGUGUGUCUACUUGAUCAAAGUUGUUAAGCAAGAUCAAGUGUGUGUCUACUUGAUUGAAACUGCUAAGUAAAAUCAAGUGUGUGUAAUUGAAGAGUGUCUUCUUUUCACAAGGAAUUGUUGUUUAAAAUCACAGGUGUGAUUGAGGGGGAGUGAGUGGGUUCUCAUAUCUAAGAGUGCUUAGGUGGAAAUUGCACGGGUAGAGAUUAGGUGAGAAAGACUGUAACUUAUUGAAGUGUACUGAGAGUCUUUGAACUGAUUCUAUUUAGUGGAUUUCCUUCCUGGCUUGGUAGCCCCCAGACGUAGGUGAGUUGCACCGAACUGGGUUAACAAUUGCUUGUGUCUUUUGCAUUUCCAUUCUUUAUCUUUAUCCUGCUUGUUUUACUGAGAUAUUAGUAUCGUGACAUUACCUUCGACAUCUCAUAUCUGAUACCAGAAUUUCAGAAAGAUCAGAAAGGGAAUGUUCCUCAACAAAGUCAAGAUCAAUAUCAAACUCAAUAUCAACAACAACAGCAACAAAAAGCCCCUAAGAAAAAAGAUUGGGAGAUUGCCAUUGAAAGAAUGGCAGCUCAUAAUGUUCAAUUCCAAGAAGAAACUAGAAACAAUCAGAAAAACACUACCGCUUCCAUAAAAAAUCUUGAAGUUCAGAUGGGUCAGAUAGCACAACAAUUAGCCUCGAGUUCUCAAGCACAAGGUGCUCUACCAAAUGCAACUGUGAAAAAUCCUAGAGAGCAUAAUAAUGUUAGUAAUGUGACAACGAGAAGUGGUAAAUAUCAUGAAGUCCUUGAGGAGAAAGCUGAAGAUGAAGAUCAAUUGCUUGAAGUAGAGCUUGAGAUCAAGGAAAAUGAAGUUGUGAGGGAAGAAUUAGUUGCACCUAAACAAGUGGUGAAAGAAAAAGUCAUUGAACCAAAAUCGGUCAUUAAGCUUCCCUUUCCCACUAGAAACAAGAAAAAGGGGGAACAUGAGAAAAACUUUGAGAAAUUCCUAGAGUUGUUGAAGAAGCUAGAAAUCAACAUUCCGCUUUUGAAAGCACUUGAACAAAUGCCUACGUAUGCCAAGUUCAUGAAGGACAUCAUUUUUAAGAGGCAAACCAUUGACACCAACCCGAUUAUUAUAACUGAGACUUGUAGUGCUAUUUUGCAGGGUAUGAAAAUUCCAAUGAAGAAGAAGGAUCGAGGAGUUGUGACUAUCCCUUUCACCAUCAGAGAUAGGUCAUUCAAAAAAGCUCUUAUUGAUCUAGGAGCCAGUGUGAGUCUCAUGUCAUUAUCCAUUUAUAAAAAAGUGGGUAUAGGGGUUAUGCAAGAUACCAGGGUGACACUUCAAUUCGUCGAUCAUUCGGUUAAGAAACCUUAUGGGAUAGUUGAAGAUGUUCUAGUGAAGAUUGACAAGUUUGUAUUCCCGGUGGAUUUCGUGAUUCUAGAAAUGCCUGAGGAUGAAGAAAUUCCUCUCAUUCUUGGGAGACCCUUUUUAGAGACUGGAAGAUGUUUGAUCAAUAUAGAGGAAGGUAUUAUGACUUUGAAGGUUUAUGAUGAGGAAUUAAAAAUUGAUGUUCGAAACACCAUGAAAUACAAAGAUGAUAUUGGCACUAGUCAUACAAUAAAGGUUCUAGAUCAAGUGAUUGCUUAUGAUAGUCCUUUGAAUGCACCGCAGUUACCCUUGGAAAGAGUGUUGAGAUUGUCCAUUUUUUACGGUGAUAAAGAAUUGGACAAUAUAGAAUAAGAAGUGCUAGCCAUGAUGAAUGCACAAUCCCCUUGGAAAGGAUCUCGACCACACCGGUGGGAAGAUUUACGACUACCUCAAUCCUGUGAGAAGAAUAAAGAAACCAAGAAAAGGAUGGAGUUGAAACAACUACCCGAGAAUCUCAAAUAUAUCUUCCUCGAUUCUGAAGGUAAGUUCCCGGCUAUAAUAAAUUCUAGCCUCAAGAGUAUCCAAGAAGAGAAACUCAUCCAAGUCCUAAAAAAAAUACAAGAAUGUUAUCGGAUGGAAAAUUGAGGAUUUGAAAGAUAUUAGCCCUACAGUGUGCAUGCAUAAAAUUCUCAUGGAAGACGAUCACAAACCUGUGGUCCAGCCCCAAAGAAGACUUGACCUAGCAAUGAAAGAAGUGGUUCGGAAAGAAGUGGUGAAGUUGUUAGACGUUGGUCUUAUCUACCCUAUAUCUGACAGCUCAUGGGUGAGUCUGGUGCAUGUGGUCCCCAAAAAGGGGGGGACCACCGUCAUUAGAAACGAGAAGAAUAAGUUAAUCCCUACAAGGACAAUUACAGGUUGGCGAGUGUGUAUUGACUACAGGAGGUUAAACAUUGCGACCAGGAAAGACCACUUCCCUUUAUCAUUCAUCGAUCAAAUGUUGGAAAAGCUAGCUGGUCAUGAUUACUACUAUUUUCUGGAUGGAUACUCCGGGUAUAAUCAGAUUGAUGUUGCUCCGGAAGACCAAGAGAAGACGAUAUUCACAUGCCCUUAUGGUGUAUUUGCUUACAGAAGAAUGCCAUUCGGGCUGUGUAAUUCUCUAGCCACCUUCCAACGUUGCAUGACUUCCAUCUUUGCUGACAUGCUUGAAAAGCAUAUGGAAGUGUUCAUGGAUGACUUUUAGGUCUUUGGAUAUUCGUUUGAUAAUUGUUUAACUAACCUUUCUCUUUUUUUAGACAGGUGCCAGUAAACAAAUUUGAUUCUGAACUGGGAGAAGUGACAUUUCAUGGUGCGAGAAGGAAUAGUCUAGGGUCACAAAAUUUCCUGCAAGGGAAUUGAAGUCGACCAUGCAAAAGAGAAGGUGAUAUCUAAACUUCCGCCUCCGGUUAACAAAAAAGGUAUCAGGAGUUUCUUAGGACAUGCGGGUUUUUACCGUAGGUUCAUAAGAGAUUUCUCUAAAAUAGCCAAACCGCUGACCACUCUAUUGGUUAAGGCUUUUGUGUUCGAUAAAGAAUGUAUCACAGAUUUUGAGACAUUGAAAAACAAAUUAGUAUCGGCACCAAUUGUAACUGCCCCAGAUUGGUUUCUCCCAUUUGAGAUCAUGUGUAAUGCUAGUGAUAUUGUUGUAGGGGCAGUUCUAGGACAGCGGAGAGAGAAGUUGUUACAUGUUAUUUACUAUGCUAGUCAUGUGUUGAACCCUGCGCAUAUGAACUAUGCAACUACUGAGAAGGAGUUGUUAGCAGUGGUUUAUGCAUUUGAUAAAUUUUGGCAAUACCUGCUAGGAACGAAGGUUGUUGUUUAUACUGACCAUGCUGCUUUGAAAUAUUUAUUUGCUAAACAGGAUUCGAAGUCGAGGCUUCUGAGAUGGAUCUUGCUCCUCCAAGAAUUUUAUGUGGAAAUUAGGGACAAAAGGGGAUGUGAAAACACUGUUUCCGAUCAUGUGUCUCGAAUGUCGCCAAUUGAAGAAACAGAAGACAAGAGACCAAUAAAGGAUGAGUUUGCUGAUGAACACAUCCUAGCUGUCAUUGGUAUCCCUUGGUUCGCAGACUACGUGAAUUAUUGAAAUUCUGGUAUCAGAGAUGAGAUGUCGAAGGUAAUGUCACGACACUAAUAUCUGAACAAUACAAACAAGAUAAAGAUAAAGAACAGUAAUGCAAGAGACACAAACAAUUGUUAACCCAGUUUGGUGCAAACUCACCUACGUCUGGGGGCUCCCAAGCCAGGAAGGAAAUCCAUUAAAUAGAAUUAGUUCAAAGACUCUCAGUAAACAACACAAGUUACAAUCUUUUUCAACUAAUCUCUACCCGUACGACUUCUACCUAAGAACUCUUAGAUAUGAGAUCCCACUCACUCCCCCUCAAUCAUACCAGUGAUAUUAAACAAGAAUUACCAUGGAAAGAAGACACUCUUCAAAGACACACACUUGAUCUUACUUAGUAGCUUCAAUCAAGUAGACACACACUCAUGCUUAAAAGCUUAGAGUGAUAAAUUACAACUCAAAAAUCAGACCAAAUUCAAUCAUCUAUGGAUGAAUUGAAUGGCUUACAAGUCACACGACCACACAAGACUAAAACCCUUAUUCUCUCUCAAUAUUUCGUUCUGUAUUUCUUGUGUAUCAAAUCAGGUUUUCCAUGUCCUUUUAUAGAAGCAUUUGGCUGGGCUUGGACAUCAUUAACCCUAAACUAUUUUCCAUUCAUAUCUUCUCAUAAUAGUUGUUAGAUCUCUUUGGAAAAUAAGUUAAUCACGUUGUAAUCACUGAUUGAUAGCGUGUUCAAUUAACUCAUCAAUCAUACACAGAUUGCCAUAAAAGCGCAAUCACAUAAUACAUAACAUUCAGACUGAAUGUUCUGUAUACAGAUGUCAUGACAUCGGGUCUGACAUCCUGGAAAAAUCCUGCAUAAUUAUAUUUUUAAACCUCCAGCAGGUACAAGAUAUCUUAUGUUAAGACAUACAUGUGACAUCUUGUGAACACUCUUGGUUUUACCAAAAUUGCUUGCCAACACUAGAACCAACACAACUCCCCCUUUGGCAAAUUUUGGCUAAAAACAUAUCAGUCCAUUUGUUCACAAGAAAAAACCAAUCAGCAGUUAAACAGCAUAACAACAGUUAAGUAGCAGCAGAAGCAAACACAAUUACUAGCUAUAAGAGCAACUAGUAUACACAUAUAAAAAACACAUGGGUACUUCUUCUCCCCCUAAGUCUGUUCAAUACAGACAUCUCCUUCAGCACCUGUAACAUCAGAGUUACCUCUGACAUCUCCUUCAACAUCACCUGUGCAACACAGAACAUCACAGAACAUCAGACAUCUCCUUCAACAUCACAGAACGAUAUCAUUCUGUUCAACAUCAGACUCUCCUUCAACUCAGUUGUUCAUCUGUUUAGCCUAGCUAGCUACAUCAGGAUAUAAUAACUGCAGGCUCUCCACAUCUCGACACAUUAACUGCAGCUCCCCACAUAAUAACUUCUCCCCUUUUUAGUCAAAAUAGGACCCAAAGUGACCAAUUAGACAAAAUAAAUGUCAAUCAGUCCAGCAGAGAAUGUCACAAAGGAUGUUAUAACAUAUAAAAUGUUAAAACACAAUGUCAGGAGAUACAAAACCAUAAUUAUACACAGCUACAUUAGCUGAGAUAAUCAGAAAUCCAGGGAACUCAUAAAGAGCCCAAAUAUUACAUCAUGGCAUCAGAAAGGACUGCCAAAAAUUACAAAUAUCAAACAGAAAAACACCAAAUCAUCCAAGCAUCCAAAACAGCAUCCAAAACACACAUCAUUAACAGGGGGACCAUCACCACAACUUAGUCUGAGGAGGUAGCAUCUUCUUCACCUUCAGAUUCAGAACUGCCACUAGAUUGAUCUUGAGAAUUAGACCACUCACUUGAGGUAUGGGCAUCUGACUCCUUGGCUUCACCAACCUUAUCCAUCUCUUCUUGCUCCAAGCUACUAAUGAGAACCUCUAAAGCCUAUUUCCUAGCCUUGGCCACCCUAUUCCCAGUUUCUAACUCCUUACAAGUUUCUUUCAAUUGAGCAAUCAGGCCACCUUGAGAGGCUGGCUUCUUUAUUGCAGAUGUCAUGACAAUGUCAUUGACAUGACUGCCUUCAAAUAACUUGUAAUAGAUUGAUAAUGGAGGCUUCCUUCUACUGGGGAUAUCACGUGUGUUUAGAAUACCAGGUUGCUAGCUUAAAAUAAUUCCACAAAUGAUAGAGGGAAAGGCAAUUGGCAGCUUUACUGCAUUAGUGGAGGCAUGUCUAACAAUUUGUUCAAACAUGAACCUUCCAUAAUCAAAGUUGAGCCUGGUUCCAAUAAAGAGGGAAAGGCAAUUGGCAGCUUUACUGCAUUAGUGGAGGCAUGUCUAACAAUUUGUUCAAACAUGAACCUUCCAUAAUCAAAGUUGAGCCUGGUUCCAAUAGCAUAGAUUAUCCUUCCAAGACCAGUAGAGAUACUUGAUAUAUGGUUUGUUGGCACCUAUUUGGUUGAACCUAUAUUAUGCAAGAUGGCAUAUUUUACAGUUAAUUUUCCAGUAGAUAGAUGCUUUUUUCUUGGCCAUUCCUUGACUUGGCCAACAGUGAUUGUCCUACAGACUUCAUUGUCUGUAGCCUCUAACUCAACAGCUCCUUCAGUUCCUCUUCCUAGGAAUUUAUUGAUUACAAUUGGGAAGAACCUUACACACCUUCCUCUCACAAACACCUUGCAGAAUUCUUUGCUAUUCUUGUCAGAAAUAUCCUCUGGGAUAUUCACCACAAACUCCUUCACUAAACCUUCAAAACAUUGGGGAAAUGCACUAACUUUUUUCAUCAAACCAGCAGACUUGAUUAAUUCCAUAACCUCCUUCACUUCUACAGCCUCCUUCCCUAGAUCUCUUUCCACAAUAACUCUCCUCUAUAUAACAAAUUUCCAUUUGGCUGCACCAUCUUCCAGGUGGAAGGAAAUGUUAUCCAAAUGCACAGUUGCAACCUUAGCUGAAGAUUUUCUAACAGUUUGCUUUUUAGCAGGAGAGAUGUCUGGGACAUCGUCUUCGACAUCAUCUUCAGAAUCAGAGCUUUCUCUGACCUUUCUCUUCUUGACCUCUACUUUACUCCAUGAUUUAGAAGGACCUACAGCAACAGCCUUUCUACUAGUUCUGGUUGUCAACAUAUCAGCCACAGUCUUGCCUUUCCUGGUCUUCAUUUUCUUUGCAACACUUGGUUUCAAGUGAUGAACCAAGGUGUCAUCUUCCUCUUCUGAACUUUCUUCCUCCAAAUCAAUAACCUUCUCAGCAGUUUCAUGCUUCUUAGAUUGAAAAGCAUUUACAGGUUUCUUACUAGGCAAGGUUUUACCUAGAGAACAUAGUCCCUCAGCAGCAAUGUCUUUCUCUGAUCUAGAUGAGUCAUGAUCUUUCUCAGUUUGAGGUUCCACCUUAGGUGAGGGGUUCCUUCUAGACAGAGGAGUUGAAACUCCCUUGACUGAGUGACCUUCGUUUAGGAUCCUUGUGACCAGAUUCCUAAUGACACGAUCUGUAUAAUGCAUGUCAUCCUUAGGUGGAGGUUUUUCAGAGUUGUUACCUUGAUUGUUUCUUGUCCUGGAAGAAGGACCAGGGGCGUCGCCUAGUAUUACAGAAAGAGGAAUAACUUCCAAAAUGUAUUCAUCCAGAAACUCCAUGGAGGGAGUCCUUGCUUUGUGAGUGAGUUUUGAACCAGAGGAAGAGGGAUGUUGUGACAUUUUGUUGAACUUUUGAGAAAAUUUUUGUUGCCCUAGCAGAGAUGGUCUGAGCAGUUUGAUGAAGAUGGAAGUGUUUAUGUUGAGGUAGCGUGUGAAAAUGGUAUAGAUGUUAGUUCCAGUACUAGGUAAUGAUUUACCAUAAAUGGGACACUUUCUUUUAAGUGGGCAGACAAUAUUUUUAUUCCCUUUUCCACUCCACUUUAAUUGCUAUAAAUUCUCAUGAAUACAAAUCCCCAAUUUUCCUCUUAAACAUUCAAACUGAUUAGCAUCCAAAGCUUUUGUAAAUAUGUCAGCUAAUUGCAUUUCAGUAGUAACAUGCUCCAGUGCUAUGAUUUUCUCUUCCACAAGUUCUCUAAUGAAGUGAUGACGAAUAUCAAUGUGCUUUGUCCUGCUGUGCUGAAUAGGAUUUUUGGAAAUAUUUAUAGCACUCAGGUUGUCACGGUAUAAUGUCAUGACAUCUUGUGUGACAUUGUAUUCAGUCAACAUUUGUUUCAUCCAAACCAGUUGAGAACAACUACUCCCAACUGCUAUGUAUUCAGCUUCAGCAAUGGAUAGGGACACAUAAUUUUGUUUCUUGCUAAACCAUGAUAUCAAAUUGUUCCCCAAGAAGAAACAUCCUCCUGAUGUGCUUUUCCUAUCAUCAGCACUUCCAGCCCAGUCAUCAUCACAGUAACCAAUCAGCAUGGAUCCAAAACCAUGAGUAUAUAACAUUCCAUAGUCAUUGGUACCAUUGACAUAUUUCAGUAUCCUCUUCACUUGGUUUAUGUGACUGACUUUUGGUUCAGCUUGAUAUCUAGCACAAACACCUACAACAAAUGCAAUGUCAGGUCUGCUUGUUGUGAGAUAUAGCAGACUUCCUAUCAUGCUUCUGUAUAGAAUUUGAUCUACACUAACACCACUUUCAUCUUUGGAGACUUUCAAAUGUGUAUGAGCAGGUGUCCUUUUAUGCCUUACAUUCUCCAUGCCAAACUUCUCCACAAUGUUCUUAGCAUAUUUGCUUUGAGAUAGAAAGAUAGAAUCUUCCAUCUGCUUGACUUGUAGACCAAGAAAGUAGGUCAGCUCUCCAACAAGGCUCAUCUCAAACUCAGACUGCAUUUGUCUAACAAAAUGUUCGACCAUCUACUCUGACAUCCCACCAAACACAAUAUCAUCUACAUAUAUUAGUGCCACCAUGAUAUUCCCUCCUUCAUUCUUCACAAAUAGGAUCUUGUCAAUACCUUCUUUCCUGUAUCCAUUGUUAGUGAGGAACACUGUGAGUCUCUCAUACCAAGCCCUAGGAGCUUGCUUCAAACCAUAGAGGGCUUUCUUCAAUCUGUACACAUGCUUUGGAAGAUUUGGAUCUGUGAAAACCAAGCCCUAGGAGCUUGCUUCAAACCAUAGAGGGCUUUCUUCAAUCUGUACACAUGCUUUGGAAGAUUUGGAUCUGUGAAUCCUUUAGGUUGUUCAACAUAUACUUCCUCAUUUAAGUAGCCAUUAAAGAAGGCAUUUUUUACAUCCAUUUGGAACAGUUUGAAUUUCAGAAUACAUGUCACUCCAAGCAAUAGUCUAAUGGACUCAAGGCGAGCUACAGGACCAAAAGUUUCAUCAAAGUCCACUCCUUCAACUUGAGUAUAUCCUUGUGCUACUAAUCUUGCUUUGUUUUUAGUAACCAUCCCUUGUUCAUCAGAUUUAUUCUUAUACACCCACUUUGUACCUAUGACAUUUACUCCUUCAGCUCUAGAAACCAAUUCCCAUACUUCAUUCCUCUUGAAUUGACCUAACUCCUCCUGCAUGGCGUUGAUCCAUAACUCAUCAGUCAAGGCUUCCAUGACAUUCCUAGGUUCAAUCUUGGACACAAAGCAGCCAUGUGAGAUCACUUCCCUUGAUCUAGUUGUGACCCCUUUAUUUGGAUCUCCUAUAAUGAGAUCUUUGGGAUGAUCCUUCUGAACUCUGAUACAUGUGAGAUCACUUCCCUUGAUCUAGUUGUGACCCCUUUAUUUGGAUCUCCUAUAAUGAGAUCUUUGGGAUGAUCCUUCUGAACUCUGAUGGAGGGUCCCUUGUUGAUUUUGUCAUCUUCAGGUUCGGCUUGAGGAGGUUCACUCUCCUUAUUUUUGUCUGAGAAGUCAGUUGGGGGAUCAUUCAGAGAUGUCUCGACAUCGUCUAUGACAUCAGUCUGUUGGUCAUCAACCACAACAUUGAUAGAUUCCAUCAUUACUUUAGUUCUGGAAUUAAAGACUCUGUAUGCUCUGCUGUUUGUUGAGUAGCCCAGAAAUAUUCCCUCAUCACUUUUGGGAUCCAUCUUCCUUCUUUGUUCACGAUUAGUCAAGAUAUAGCAUUUACUACCAAAUACAUGGAAGUAUUUGACUGUAGGUCUUCUUCCUUUCCAGACUUCAUAUAAAUUUGUAGGAGUCCCUUUCUUCAAUGUCACUCUGUUAUGAACAUAGCAGGCUGUGUUCAUGGCUUCAGCCCAAAAAUGGUAGGGCAAUUUCUUAGCAUGAAUCAUAGCUCUGGCUGAUUCUUGAAGGGUUUUAUUUUUUAUUUCCACCACACCAUUUUGCUGAGGAGUAAUGGGAGAUGAGAACUCAUGAUGAAUUCCUUCUAAAGAACAAAAUUCAGCAAAUUUGUUGUUCACAAAUUCCCUCCCAUGAUCACUUCUAAUUUUGAUAAUUGGACUUUCCUUUUCUCUCUGAAGUUUUAGACAAAGAUCCUUGAAGACUUCAAAAACAUCAGAUUUUUCUCUUAUAAAAUUGAUCCAGGUGUAUCUGGAGAAGUCAUCCACCACUACAUAUGCAUACUUCUUCCCACCAAGGCUUUCCACCUGCAUGGGUCCCAUCAAAUCCAUAUGGAGGAGUUCCAAAACUUUGGAAGUGGUGUCAUGUCUGAGCUUCUGGUGUGACAUCCUUGUCUGUUUUCCAAUCUGACAUUCUCCACAGACUUUUCCUUCAUCAAUCUUGAAGUUAGGAAUUCCUCUAAUAGCUUCAACAAAUAUAAUCCUCUUCAUACCUUUAAGAUGCAGAUGGCCCAAUUUUUGAUGCCAUAUCUUCACUUCUUCUUCUUUUGCCAAAGUACACAUUGAAGAAUAACCAGUUUCUUGAGAACUCCACAUGUAGUAGUUGUCUUUAGACCUAACUCCUUUCAUGAUCACUUCACUUUCUUUGUUAGUAAUCAGACAUUCAGUUCUAGUGAAGUUUACAUUUAGAUCUUGGUCACACAGUUGACUGAUGCUUAUUAGAUUUGCAGUCAAUCCCUUAACAAGUAGGACAUUGUCAAGGUCAGAAACUCCAGGGCAAUCAAGCUUGCCAAUCCCCUUGAUUUAUCCCUUUGCUCCAUCACCAAAGGUUACAUAACUUGUGGCAUGAGGAUGAAGGCCAGUUAGCAGGUUUUUGUUUCCAGUCAUGUGUCUGGAGUACCCACUGUCAAAAUAACAAUCUUCUUUGGCUGAAACUCUGAAGGAAGCGUGAGCUAUCAAACUUGUAACAUUAGUCCUAGGAACCCAUUGCUUUUUAUUGACAGAUCUAUGAUGUUUGGGUCUAGGUUGAUAAUAAGCAGGACGAGGGUAACCAUACAGCUUAUAGCAGAAAGGUUUUAUGUGGCCAAACUUUCCACAUAAUGACAUCUCCAUUUUUGGUGUUUCCCUUUCUGCUGUCUUCCUUUAUGAUGUUGUGACAUAUGAUGUGACAUCGCAGGUUUGCUAUCAAUAUGGCUGCACCUAGGUUUGGAUUUAGGUUUGCCACCAGUGUAACUGCACUCAGCCUUAGAUUCAUUGAACCCAAUGCCAAAUUUGUCUCCUGUUAUUUGACCAGUCUGGAGAAUCUUGUCUAAGGUGUCAGAUCAUUAUUAAGAAUUCUUACAUACUUGGUCAUCUCAUCCAGUUUGGAAUUCAAGAGUACAACUUCAAUCUUCAACGUGGAGACGGUUUCCACAUGUUCUGCCUUCUCAUUCUCCAGCUGUGCUAUCACUUUCUUCUGGCUUUCAACUUAUCUACACACUUUUGCACUUCGGUGACACAACUCUUUGUAGGUAGUGGCAAACUCUUCAAAGGUUACUUCAUCAUCACUUGAAUCUUCAUCAGAACCCCAUCUUCCAGUCAAGGCAGUCACAAGAUUUGCAGACUCUUCUGUUUCACUUUCAUCAGACCAAGUGGCAGCAAGACUCCUAUUUUGUUUCUUGAGGUAGGUCCCACAUUCAGUUCUAAUGUGUCCAUACCCAUCACAUUCAUGGAACUGAACUCCUUUUCCUUCUUUGGGAUUUUCAUCUGACCUUGUUCUUCUUCCAAUAUUGUUGGAUUUACUGAUGUCAGAUGCGAUUUUCUUGACAUUGGCCUUAGAUCUUACAUCCAUCUUUUUCAUAAGUUUGUUGAACUGUCUUUCCAGCAUUGCUACAUCAUUUGCCAGAUCUUCAUCAAUAUCUUGACCACCUUCCUCCUCUUCCCCUUCAGUGUUUGACAUGAAGGCUAUGCUUUUGGAUUUCUUUUCAGAUCCAUUACACGUUCCCAUCUCAAAUGUUUGGAGGGAUCUAAUUAGCUCAUUAACUCUCAUAUUUGAGAUGUCUUGAGACUCUUCUAUGGCUGUCACCUUCAUAGCAAAUCUCUUAGGGAGUGACCUGAGUAUUUUCCUUACUAAUUUUUCAUCUGACAUCUUCUCUCCCAGAGCUCCUGAGGCAUUAGCAAUUUCAAGGAUAUUCAUGUGAAAUUCAUGAAUAUUUUCAUCUUUUUUCAUCCUAAAAUUAUCAAACUUGGUAGUGAGCAGCUGCAAUCUAGACAUCUUCACUCUAGAGAUGCCUACAUGAGUGGUCUUGAGAAUGUCCCAAGCAUCUUUAGCCACCUCACAGUUGUUUACCAAUAUGAAGAUAUUCUUGUCUACUCCAUUGAAUAUAGCAUUCAAUGCUUUAGAAUUUCCAAGGGCUAGAUCAUCCUCCUCCUUGGAUCAUUGUUCUUCAGGCUUCUUAUCAGUUGUAGCUUCUCCUUCCUUAGUAACUACUGGAUGUUCCCAGCCUGUUAACACAACCUUCCAAGCCUUAUUAUCAAGAGAUUUUAGGAAGGCUACCAUUCGAGGUUUCCAGUAGUCAUAGUUAGAUCCAUCCAAAAUAGGUGGCCUGUGAACAGAUCCUCCAUCUCUCUCCAUAGUACCAGAAAGUAUCGUCCCUAGAUCUCAAGGAAGGCUACCAUUCGAGGUUUCCAGUAGUCAUAGUUAGAUCCAUCCAAAAUAGGUGGCCUGUGAACAGAUCCUCCAUCUCUCUCCAUAGUACCAGAAAGUAUCGUCCCUAGAUCUCACCCAGAACUAGAGCAGGAUGCCUGCUCUGAUACCAAUUGAAAUUCUGGUAUCAGAUAUGAGAUGUUGAAGGUAAUGUCACGACACUAAUAUCUGAACAAUACAAACAGGAUAACGAUAAAGAACAGUAAUGCAAGAGACACAAGCAAUUGUUAACCCAGUUCGGUGCAAACUCACCUACGUCUGGGGGCUCCCAAGCCAGGAAGGAAGUCCACUAAAUAGAAUCAGUUCAAAGACUCUCAGUAAACAACACAAGUUACGGUCUUUUUAACCUAAUCUCUACCCGUACGACGUCUACCUAAGAACUCUUAGAUAUGAGAUCCCACUCACUCCCCCUCAAUCACACCAGUGAUAUUAAACAAGAAUUACCAUGAAAAGAAGACACUCUUCAAAGACGCACACUUGAUCUUACUUAGCAACUUCAAUCAAGUAGAGACACACUCAUGCUUAAAAGCUUAGAGUGACAAAUUACAACUCAAAAAUCAGACCAAUUCAAUCAUCUAUGGAUGAAUUGAAUGGCUUACAAGUCACACGACCAUACAAGACUAAAACCCUUAUCUCUCUCAUAUUUCGUUUUGUAUUUCUUGUGUAUCAAAUCAGGUUUUCCAUGUCCUUUUUAUAGAAGCAUUUGGCUGGGCUUGGACAUCAUAAAACCCUAAAACUAUUUUCCAUUCAUAUCUUCUCAUGACAGUUGAUUAGAUCUCUUUGGAAAAUAAGUUAAUCACGUUGUAAUCACUGAUUGAUAACAUGUUCAAUUAACUCAUCAAUCAUACACAGAUUGCCAUUAAAAGCGCAAUCACAUAAUACAUAACAUUCAGACUGAAUAUUCUGUAUACAGAUGUCAUGACAUCGGGUCUGACAUCCUGGAAAAAUCCUGCAUAAUUAUAUUUUAAACCUCGAGCAGGUACAAGAUAUCUUAUGUUAAGACAUCACAUGUGACAUCUUGUGAACAUUCUUGGUUUUACCAAAAUUGUUGCCAACACCUAGAACCAACAAUUAUCUGGUAGGUAGUUUAAUCCCUAAUGAUUUCGAUUCUAACAAGAAGAAAAAGUUUUUACAUGAUUGCAGGUUCUACUUGUGGGAUGACCCAUUCCUGUACAAGAGAGGGGUAGAUGGACUAGUCAAAAGAUGUGUCACGGAGGAAGAACUAAGGGAUAUGCUUAGAGCUUGUCAUGACUCAGAUUAUGGAGGAUACUUUAGUGGUGAUAGAACAACAGCUAAAGUCCUUCAAUCGGGUCUAUACUGGCCCACAUUGUUCAAAGAUGCCCAAGGCAUAGUCAAGGAGUGCGACAGAUGUCAAAGAACAGGCAAUAUUUCUAAGAGGAAUCAGAUGCCACAGAAUGCCAUUCUAGAAGUCGAAUUGUUUAAUGUGUGGGGAAUAGACUUAAUGGGACCGUUUCCACCCUCAUUUGGAAAGAAUUACAUCUUGGUACCAGUCGACUAUGUGUCAAAGUGGGUGGAAGUUGUGGCAUUGCCCACUAAUGAUUCUAGAGUUAUAGUGAGUUUUAUGAAGAACAAUAUUUUCUCGAGAUUUGGAGUGCCGAGAGCAUUUAUCAGUGAUGAAGGUACUCAUUUCUUAAACAAAAUGAUGGAAAAUCUGCUGAAGAAUUACAAUUUUAAACACAAGAUCACCACCCCGUAUCACUCUCAAACGAGUGGAUAUGUCGAAGUGUUUAACAGGCAAAUAAAGCAAAUCCUAGAAAAGAUUGUAUGUGCAUCUCGAAAAGACUGGGAAAUGAAGCUAGAAGAUGAACUAUGUGAAGGAGAAUUGCCAUCCAAGGCGCAACGGAAUUUAAAAAUUUCUCCAUUUAGUGAUCCUUACGAAUGGGCGUGAUCAGUGAUAGAAUCGUUACCUCUUGUGGCGAUCACGAACGUUGAACGAUGACAACGUCUCUACUCAGUCCACACGAACGGAUUCCUUCAAUCUCAGUGCUAGUUGGUACGAAUGAAGGCUUUGAGUGAGAGAGAGAGAGAGGGAAACGAAAUUCCAAGUCUUCACUUGAGUCUGAGUCUGAGUGACUUACACAAUAUCCUCCUUCUACGUAUCCUCUUAUUCCCUUUCUCCUUCAACGUAUCGAAAAGAUGCGAGGUGACUUACCAUAAAUAUCCUCCUCACCCUCGACAACAACUAGCUUAUCAUCAAGCUAAGAAUUUCAACUUAUGGUGGAGCGUUGAAGUGACUGCACCAGCUGAUUGGAUCCAAGGCCUCCAAGCAGACAACUGUAGGCUGGAUAGAUAUUCCAUUACGAAGAAUGGGAAUAUGGGGACACAUCUUCAUAGGCAAAUUCCACCUCACGGAUUACAGUCCUUCUAGUCCAUCAAUGCUCUUACUAUAAGCUCACUCGGCUUCAUUACGAGUCCUUCAAUAACUAGUUAGCGAAAGAGCUCUUAGGCAUCAACAUUGAGGGAAGACCCAGUGUCUACCAAAACUCUUGAUAAGACUGUGCACACAACUCAAUAAAAUAUGGAGAGCCUUGUUAUGAUUCCUCCCCUCGGCGGGAAGCUCUUCAUCACUGAAACCCAAGCUUAAGCUAGUAGCGAUAUUGUUAACUACUCCUUCAAACUGACAAACAGAUAUCUCUUGCGGCACGUGAGCUGUCCUCCGAAAUUUUACCAAAGCAUCUCUAUGGGCCUCCGAGCACAUUAAUAAAGACAACAUUGAGAUCUUCGAGGGAGUCUGGUUAAGCUGAUCAACUACUCGAUAAUCGCUCUUCUUGAUAAUGCGUAAGAACUCGUCUACUUCACUUGAAGGUGUGGGGUCUUGUCUUUGCUGAGCGUCAUCAAUUUGUUUGCCUUUGUCUGAAGUUGAAGGAUUGAUAGUUCCAAUUGGAGUGGGUUUCGGCGCAAAUAUCCUUCCACUUCUCGUGACUCCGCUAGUGCCGGUGAUAUUGAUCAUUGGGUCACUAGACUUCAACGGUUCUUCUUGCACCUUCUGACCAUGAAUGUAGACUGAGGUGUCAUACAUGGAGAGAGAUCACCCUCAUUUGGAAAGAAUUACAUCUGGUACCAGUCGACUAUGUGUCAAAGUGGGUGGAAGUUGUGGCAUUGCCACUAAUGAUUCUAGAGUUAUAGUGAGUUUUUAUGAAGAACAAUAUUUUCUCGAGAUUGGAGUGCGGAGAGCAUUUAUCAGUGAUGAAGUACUCAUUCUUAACAAAAUGAUGGAAAAUCUGCUGAAGAAUUACAAUUUUAAACACAAGAUCACCACCCCGUAUCACUCUCAAACGAGUGGAUAUGUCGAAGUGUUUAACAGGCAAAUAAAGCAAAUCCUAGAAAAGAUUGUAUGUGCAUCUCGAAAAGACUGGGAAAUGAAGCUAGAAGAUGAACUAUGUGAAGGAGAAUUGCCAUCCAAGGCGCAACGGAAUUUAAAAAUUUCUCCAUUUAGUGAUCCUACGAAUGGGCGUGAUCAGUGAUAGAAUCGUUACCUCUUGUGGCGAUCACGAACGUUGAACGAUGACAACGUCUCUACUCAGUCCACACGAACGGAUUCCUUCAAUCUCAGUGCUAGUUGGUACGAAUGAAGGCUUUGAGUGAGAGAGAGAGGAGGGAAACGAAAUUCAAGUCUUCACUUGAGUCUGAGUCUGAGUGACUUACCACAAUAUCCUCCUUCUACGUAUCCUCUUAUCUCCCUUUCUCCUUCAACGUAUCGAAAAGAUGCGAGGUGACUUACCAUAAUAUCCUCCUCACCCUCGACAACAACUAGCUUUAUCAUCAGCUAAGAAUUUCAAACUUAUGGUGGAGCGUUGAAGUGACUGCACCAGCUGAAUGGAUCCAAGGCCUCCAAGCAGACAACUGUAGGCUGGAUAGAUAUCCAUUACGAAGAAAGUGAUGAGGAAAAUAUGGGGACCAAUCUUCAUAGGCAAAUUCACCUCACCGAUUACAGUCUUCUAGUCCAUCAAUGCUCUUACUAUAAGCUCACUCGGCUUCAUUACGAGUCCUUCAAUAACUAGUUUAGCGAAAGAGCUCUUAGGCAUCACAUUGAGGGAAGACCCAAGUGUCUACCAAAACUCUUGAUAAGACUGUGCCACACACCUCAAUAGAAAUAUGGAGAGCCUUGUUAUGAUUCCUCCCUCGGCGGAAAGCUCUUCAUCACUGAAACCCAAGCUUAAGCUAGUAGCGAUAUUGUUUAACUACUCCUUCAACUGACAAACAGAUACUCUUUGCGGCACGUGAGCUGUCCUCCGAAAUUUUACCAAAGCAUCUCUAUGGGCCCGAGCACAUUAAUAAAGACAACAUUGAGAUCUUCGAGGGAGUCUGGUUAAGCUGAUCAACUACUCGAUAAUCGCUCUUCUUGAUAAUGCGUAAGAACUCGUCUACUUCACUUGAAGGUGUGGGGUCUUGUCUUUGCUGAGCGUCAUCAAUUUGUUUGCCUUGGUCUGAAGUUGAAGGAUUGAUAGUUCCAAUUGGAGUGGGUUUUCGGCGCAAAUAUCCUUCCACUUCUCGUGAUCUGCUAGUGCCGGUGAUAUUGAUCAUGGGUCACUAGACUUCAACGGUUCUUCUUGCACCUUCUGACCAUGAAUGUAGACUGAGGUGUCAUACAUCCAUGGGACUGCCUUGGUGUCAACAUUAUGGUGAAAUGGUGUGNCCUUGGUGUCAACAUAUGGGAAUGGUGUGGGAACUGUUAUUACGAUUGGAGUAACAGGAUUUGUCGACAGAGUUAACUGAGAGAAGUCAUAUGGAAUUUGCAGAGGAGGGACUUCAUCGUAUGGUAUCUCGAGGGUAGACACAUCUUCCUUUGUGGACGGGCAGUCUACCUUAAAGAUCCCUUGGUUCAUUAAUUGUUGUAUGACAGACUUCGAUGUUCUACAUUAUUGCGGGUUAAUCAGACAGUGUUCACAGUCAUUACCACAGAUGGGAAAGACAUUAUUCUUCAUUAAAGCAUGCUUGAUCUCGAUGAGUGGUGUUUUUAACUCGUCCACACAGGACAUCAAUCUCCUUCCAUUGUCAGCUUUCAUCAUAUUCACCGAUGCAUUAUUGUGAGGGGGCAUCGGGUUAUUAUUCACAUUCGGCCUCUUGGGGGCGAACGUGAUUGCCUUAGAGUCAAUAAGAUCUUGAACCUUGUACUUUAAUGCUUUACAAUUCUCGAUCGAAUGCCCCAGAGCACCAGAAUGAAAUUCAUAGCGGGCAUUUGCAUCAUAACCGGGAGGAAGAACCGCUGGUGGGGGUCCUAACUCCCUUAGUUGCACAAGUGAUCCCCUCAAUAAAUAUGGUAGAAUGUGGCUAUAAGGCAACUGGUGGGGGUCCUAACUCCCUUAGUUGCACAAGUGAUCCCCUCAAUAAAUAUGGUAGAAUGUGGCUAUAAGGCAUGGGAACUGGGUCAAAUCUUCUCUCGGGCCUUCGCAUCCUUUGUUGUUGUUGUUGUUGAUAUUGUGGUUGCUGACGUUGCGAUUGUUGUUGAUACCGUUGUUGUUGUUGAGUUUGAACAGGAAUUGCAAAUGGUUGUUGUUGACUUGGUUGCACAGGAGCUAUGGAAGCUACCUGUGGAUAAGUGGGAUUUCUUGUUCGAAUGAUGGAGGCAGCAUUGGUCUCGCCUUCUCGUUUUUUACCGUAGGGAACAAAAGGUUUCUUCGAUACACUAGAAGCACUGGCAGAGUUCUGGAUCUUUCCCAUCUUGAUCAUAUUUUCUAUCCUUUCACCGGCUAAGACCAGGUCAGAAAAGCCCGAAGAGGUGUUCCCUACCAUUCUAUCAAGGUAUGGACCUUGCAGGUUUCCCAUAAACAUGUCUACCAGUUCUGUUUCUAGCAAUGGGGGUUGUACCCUAGCAGCUAAUUCCCUCCACCGUUGGGCAUACUCUUUGAAGGACUCCUCAGACCUCUGAGUCAGAUUUUGCAACUGCGUGCGAUUAGGUGGCAUAUCAGUGUUGUACUGAUAGUGCUUGAGGAAUGCCUCGGCCAUUUACCUCCAGGUGUGAAUAUGGUUGCCCUCGAGUUGCAUGUACCAAUCCAAAGAUGCCCCACUGAGGGAAUCCUGGAAAAAAUGCAUUAAAAGUUGAUCAUCGCUGGAAUAGGCAGCCAUCUUUUGGAAGUAUGCCCUAAUGUGCGUUCUAGGGUCGCUCUUUCCCUUAUAUUUUUCAAAGUCCAAAAAUUUGAACUUGGUCGGAAUGAUGACCCCAGGUACUAAGCACAUUUCUGCUGCAUCAAGGCCCAAAAUUUCAGUGCUUCCCAUUGCCUUGAGCUUUUCCUCGAUAGCCUUUACCUUCCUCUCCACCUUGUUGGUUGCUGAACCGAAGGCAUCAUCCUGAGAAGCGUCCCUUGGGCUGAAGAAUGCAUCGAGUUGGUCGUCUAUCUCAAGAGCAUGAGGACGAGGAUUUUCGUUUGGAACAUCACCGAGUGCAUUAAUGUUAAUUGGAGGAUCAGCUUGGGGAACUGGAGUCGGAUUCUCGACCAUUGGAGGGGUAGGAGGAUUGGUAGUCCAGCACGUUGGUUCAUUUCUUCUUGCAUUUUUGCCAUAACCUCCUGGCCUCUUGCGACUGCUUGAAUAGUCUCCAUCAAUUGCCGCAUUUGGUACCGCAUUUGGGAUACUUCUUCCUGAAGGACAACUUGAUUCUCUUAAAGUUGCUCCAUGACAGCUUGUCGACAUCCUCGUGUAUCGUACUGAAAAGUCAGCUUUGGAGAGUGGUUCUGGAAGGGAAAAGGGGUGGAUGGAUGAGUUUUUUAUGUUUUUAUGCUUCGAAAGAUGCAUAUGAUGCAUGAAUUUUUUUUUGUUAAAGCAAAGCUCUUUUUAGUUAUUCAUUGCAAAAACUACUUAACGAUUUACAUUCACAAUCAUGAAUAAAGAAAAACACAAUAGAGAAAAAUCACAACUUUCAUUCAUCCUUUGAAGGGAAAAUAGACAACAAUACAUAGAAGUUGCAAAAUACAAGUAAUGGAAGCAAAUAAACCAACUAGAUAUCCACCCUAAAAGUGACCCCUUGAGACUUGCGGAGAGGCCUGCAUGUCGGUUGGAGUUCGGCCAUUGUUCUUUUGCAGAACUUGAAGAAGUGGUAGACCUCUUUAAGGGUAUUAUCUGGGCACAUGAUCAGAUCUGCCUCCUUCAACUUGUCAGGAAAGUCUUGAAGGGCAUAGUUGGUUAAUACUGUCAUCGUUGGUGUACUUGUCCCUCCAUCUUGUAAAGGACUUGGAGAUCAUGGAUGAUUUUGUCCCUUUGAACAAUGGCAGCUUCGAAUCCAUGGCAACGCUCCUCCCAAUGUCUGCAGUUGUUUUGAAAUUCUACAUAGGCUUUGUCAAUAUAUCCCCUCUCAAGUUCUUGAUUGCUCGCAAGCUCGUCCAAGGUUGAACUGCUCACGCAUGAAGCCUUCGGUGAAUCUUUUCUUUCUCUAGUUGCUCCUUGGCUAGCAAAUCCUUAUACUCUUUUAGAGUGGUCCUUAGUUCGAGAAUCUGGGCCUCGUAAUCUUCCCUCGCUUCUUUCUUCAUGGCAUUAGACCUCUCGACAGUAUUUUCAAGGUCCUUGAUGAUUUGGGAUGCUCGAUCCAAUUCCUCGUUGCGGAAUUCUAGCUCAGAAUUAGCUCCUUGUAAAGCUCCACCAACCCAAACUUUUUGUCCCUCGGCUAAUCGGAGCCUUUUCUUGCUAUCUUCAAAUCUUUCACGGACUUGCUUACCCUUAUCCUCCAAGACGUGGUUACGUUCCUUGGCACGAUUGAGUUCGACUCGUAGUUGAGUGUUUUCCAACUCGAGCUCUUUGAUUUGGCUGGUAAGUUUGUCCAUGUCCUCUUGUAGGAUAGGUUCGGGCUCGGGAAUCAACGAGAAUGAAGAAGGAUCAAACAGAAACGACAUCUUAACCACCCUAGCCCUCUCUUUUACCCACACAUAGUAGGGUUCCUUGGAUAAGAUAUUUUUCUUGCCCCAUUCAUGGUCAAUACGGACUAUGCUUGUCCAAGCUUUUCUCACUCUUUUCACGUUUGAAUCAAGCGGAUCCAUGGUAUUAUGACAAAUGGAAUGAAAUCUCUUUCCUCGGGGGGACUUGUCAUGGUGUACCCUAGUUGUCUCUUGAGUAUAGCAGGGUUGUAGUUGAUGCAACCUUGUGUUCCUAUCAAGGGUAUGUUAGAGAACUCUCCACAUCUUGCGAUGACAUCCUUUAUAUCUCAUUCCCUCUUGUACCAUAGAAUUGAGUUGGCAGAGAGAGAUGCGAACCUUUGCGGCCAUGUCAGUUUGUUUUCGGCGAAAGGUCCACUUUGAGGCAUGCGGGCCCUCAUCCAAAGAUGUAGCAUAGGAGCGCAAAAAAGGUAAGUACCUCCCCUCUUCUCAUGCCUUGUAUGGAAGGUAUGGUAGGAAUCGGCAAGUAAAAAAGGCACCGGAUUCUUUGUUAAAAAGACUUCAACUGCUAACUGAUCCACAAACUUGUCCAGAUUUAGGAAGAGGACAAUUCCAUGAAUCAAAAGUGCCAAGGUUGCACUACAAAAGUCGGGUAUUCCUUCUUUAAUCAUUUCCCAAGCAUGGGCUUCUAGGAAAUUUUGAGCUAAACCCUUGAGGGAUCCUUUAACGCCCCAAUUAUCCACUAACUUGUUGGUGUUGAUACCCAAGAUGAGUGAGAGCUCGGUCAAACAGAAUCCUUCUUCCAAUUUCGGGAAAGGGUUGUAUUCCUUGAUUGGUCGAUUGAGGAGUCUCUCGAGGUCUUCCAAGGUUGGAGAGAUUUGGAAGUCGGGGAAAGUGAAGCAUCUUAAAGGAACGUCAUAGUAUUGGGACAUUGUAGUGAUAUCACAAUAGUCAACCUUCUCGGUUGGAAGAUCUACGAUGUUCCCAAAAUUGGCUCUAAACUUGUUGUCUUUGAGAGUUACGACCUUUGAACAGAGGAUCUUUAAUGACCUGAUAUCGGGACUCUUGAAGCGGAAAGAAGAAGUGCUUUUCUUUGUUGAAGUAUCCAUGAUUGUGUCGGAAAAUAGUCUUGUAAUUCUGCGUUUGAACAAACGAAAAUUUUAAGAGCUUUGCUUAUUAUUUUGAUGAAGAAUGAAUGUAUGAAUGAAUGAUUGGUUUAUUCUUUCCACAGGGUUUUAGGCAUGGGUUCAUGGUUUUGGACCAUCGUGACGAAGCAUGGAGUUAAUAAUGACUGCUUAGUAAACCAAGGUUCUCGCUUUGUGUGAUCUAAGGCUUUUGGAAAAUUGGGUGUAAGACACUGAGUUCAUGGUUUUGGACCAUCGUGACGAAGCAUGGAGUUAAUAAUGACUGCUUAGUAAACCAAGGUUCUCGCUUUGUGUGAUCUAAGGCUUUUGGAAAAUUGGGUGUAAGACACUGCCCCUAGAGUCAUAGACUUCCUUGACUGUCAACCGCUUAUGUCAAUUUACUUGCCAGGCGACUGCUCCAUCAAAGUCAUCUAUUCUAAGUGAGAUUUUCGUAUCGACCCUUACGAGGAAGGCACCUCGGUGGCCUAUACUACGCGACCAUCGGUCUAGGCUAGCCAUAGUUUUAAAGGUUCUAAAAGGGGUCUUAGGGUCAUUGACUCUAAUAAAAUAAAAGAUACUUACACCGAAAGCACGACGGUCAUCAAUCCCCUUAAAAGAAUCUACCACUAAGUGGGGUUCUUGUACAACCCUAACGAGGAAGGCACCUCGCAGAUCAAUACUACUCAACCUCUCCUAUCUCAAGCAAACUCUCAUACUCGGAUGGGGAGUCCUUCACACAAGUUUUUUCCUUUUCAAUCAUUAUUGCUUCCAAAAAUUCUUCGUCACAGAGUCAGGGUUUCAGACCAACAGGUAAACAAAGAAAAUAUGCACGGGUUAGCAAAGAAAGCAAUAUAUACAGAAAAAAUAGAUAACAGAUAAAUCUCCACGUACGUAAAAAAAACAAAGAAAAUAUGCACGGGUUAGCAAAGAAAGCAAUAUAUACAGAAAAAAUAGAUAACAGAUAAAUCUCCACGUACGUAAAAGAGGAAACAACCCAAACUAGGCUAGACUUGCUUAGGGAAUUUCACUUUCCCCAGCAGAGUCGCCAACUGUCGUUACCGGGAUUUCACGAUAACGAAACAGGGACUAAAGAGAAUGCCAAAGAGAGGCAAAGCAGAAGAGUUGCCACCGAAUUUUAUUUAGUUUACCUCUAUCAGAGAGGAGAGGGGGAAUAAUCGAUAAAACCCUCGGAAGAGAGACGCGCACGGGAAGCUCUAAAAGAGAAUAAGGAAUCGGUCUCGCAACCGAGAUUUGGGUUCGGAAGUCGGUUACGUAAGGAGAAGGUAUUAACACCCCUUACGUCCAUGGUACUCCAUGGGAACCAUUUGGGUUGUUUUACAUACAUGGGAUUUACCUAUUAUUGUUUUAUUUUCAAAAGAAUGUCUGAAAAGAAGGGGGUGUUUUUGUUAUUAUAGUGCUCGCCAAAGAUUGUGGCCCUUGUGCCUACGUAUCACUCAUUCGGGGAUGAGGAAUCAGAGCUCCGUAGUUCGGAGUAGAAAAUGUUUGUGUGUUGGUUGAUUUUACCUUUGAGAAAAAAGGUUUCAAGAUGAUGCCCUAAGGCACAAAAAUGAAUUUGAUGAGUUGUAUUGUUUUUACCUUGAAUAAGGGUUUUAUGAAAGAAUGUUUGUGAUUAUAUUGUACUAAAGUCUAUGGGUGGAGGUGAUUAUUCUAAACAACAAGCCAAGUGUCUUGCAUCUGAAAUAAUCAGAGUAAGGGUAGGAAUGCUCCAUUCUCACUCAUUCUCCACCACUUAAGGCUCGUGGCGUACAGUAAUAAUCGUAAUUAUUAAGUGUUUUGAAUUUGAUUAUAAAAAUGCCACAUGACGUUGAAUCAAGGGUUUAUUUUAUUUAAUUAUGAAAUUUGGUUUAUGCGACAUGAAUGCAAAGUAACCAACAAGAAAUUAAAGAGUCACAUUGUAAUGUAGCCCAAGAGAAAGCCUUUUGUGUGCCAAAAGUGACCUAAGCUAAACAAAGGAUAAUGGUCUUACAAACAUGUCCCCCUAAGGUGGUGCCAUGAUGUCAUUCUUACAACAUGCAUGUAAGUUACGGAUGAAAAUCCAAGUGUUUACAAAGUAUCACACAAGAGUGAAGAAGGCCUCCAAGCAAAGGUCCUAAGAUGAAAUCUCUAAGUCCAAGUUGAUUAAGAUUGGAAUGAAUAUUUUGGUCUUAUCAUUUUACCAUGUUUUUUGUUGUUUUUUAAUGUAUGAUGAGAAUAAAAUAAAUAGCAAGUAAAUAAACAUGCAUGAUGAGUUUGUACAAUGAUGAUGAUAAUGAGUACUUGAAUGUAAAUUACAAGGUAAUGACAUAAAAGUAAAUCACAAGAUAAAGAAUGAUAAUAUCACAAUAAUAAUGGUUAGUGAAUGUAAAUGACAUAUUAAGGGAUAGGCUUUAUUGAUGCAAAGUAUUGAAGAUGAUUGAAAAAUCAACUAACAAUAGAUUUGUAACAAAGAAAGUUAUGCAACCCUAAGUGUGUGGUUAGUGAACAAUAAAAUAAAUUGCAAGGAAGUAACUUGCAAUAAUAUAAAUGUUAGAAGUUAGUAGUUAAUGGUUAGUGGUUAGUUGAAUAACAAUAAGCAAAUAGAAUAACAAGUUAAUGUAAAGAGAAUGGUUUCAUCUAUGUAUCAAAUGACCCAAAUAUGGUUGAAGUAGAGGCAAUCUAUCAAUGCCUCAAAGUAUCAUGAAUGAUCUAUUGAUCAACCAUUAAUAGCUUUGAAGUAUUGAAGAUUUAAUCAACUCUAAACAACCAUAGCCAUGAUACAAUAGAACUCAUCAACCAAAUAAAUGUGAAAACAAGUCAACAAUAAAUAUUAAAUGAUAACAAGAAAUAAUGCAAAGGAAAUGGUUUCAUCUAUGUAUCAAAUGACCCAAACAUGGUUGAAAUAGAGGCAACCUAUCAAUGCCUCAAAGUAUCAUGAAGGAUCUAUUGAUCAUCAUUAAUAGGUUGAAACAUUGAAGUUUUAUCCACUCUAAACAACCAUAGCCAUGAUAUAAUAGAACUCAUCAACCAAAUAAAUGUGAAAACAAGUCAACAAUAAAUAGCAAAUGAAACAAAAUACUAAGUUUGAUUAAAGAUAGUGGAUAAGAGUAGUAAGAGCAAGAAAUCCCAAAAAAAAAGGUGUAAACCAAAGUUAAUCAUUUUUACAAUUUGAGUCUAAAACCUCUCAAAAGAUCAACCAAGAAUGAACAAACAUUUUCAACACAAAAACAGAACCAAAAAGUUAACAAAGAUUAAGCAAAAAUCAUUACCCAAAAAUGUUGAAAAAGGGUAGGUUGAAGUGGUGUUGAGCUUGGAUAUAGGGCAAGGAGUUUGGGAUGAAAGUGUUUAUGAUGGAAGUAUAGUGAAGGAGCUGAGUUAUGAGUGUGAGAGAGUGAGAAGCUUUGAAAAAAAAUAUGACAGAUGACAAAGAAAAGUUGGUGGGUGACUUUUCUAAGUGAGAGAGAUUUUUUUUGUUUUGGCUUAGGUUUGGAGAGGAGAGAAAAUGGUACUUGGACAGAACUUUUGGGGGCUAGGAAGCAUGAAAAAUGAGGGGAAAUAGUACCUCUAUUUAUAGGGAAGCAAAGGGGUAGAAGUGGGUGGACCAAAGGGUCCUUUGUGUAAAACAAACAGGGUCAUUUCUGCUUUCUGCGCAGGUGUAACCGGUUACCUUAAUUAGGGUAACCGGCUAUACAGUCCCAAAAUGGCCAAAAAUUCAGUUUUUGGUCUGUGUAACCGAUUACAUUAAUUAGGUAACCGGUUACCCAGUUUUUCUUUUUAAAAAAAAAAUAUUUUCAUGCCUUAAGCCCAUGCAAUAUGUCUUUGGUUAUGAAUGCUAAUAUAAUUAUGAUGAUGAAAUAAUGAAAGCAUGCAUGUGCAGUAAGGCCAUGGAUCAGAUGAAAGUUGUAUCAGAGUAGAGUGAAUUUUGGGAUAUGACAGCAGUAUUGCGGAAAGUGAAUCGGAAGAAUUUAGGGGUAAUCGUCCCGCUGUCCAGAGCAUCACUUGAGGACAAGCAAGGAGAUAAGUUUUGGGUUAUGAUUGGUCACCAAUUCUACUAGUUUUCUGACACUAAUUCGGCAUUAAUUCACGAAGUCAGCAAAACUUUGUUUUACCUUUUUAUUAUUUUGUCAAGUAAAUUGUAUGUUCGCAUUUCCAUUCGCGUUUUGUUAUUAUCUUUGGUUUUUGUCAAUGUACUACAUUUUAUGCUUUCUUUUGGUAGUUAUGUUGCUUAUUAGGUGCAAGCAAAAAUGCCCAAAGACUCGCCAAGGGAAUCGGGCGUUCCGGGCUCACAGGGAAGAAGUUUUGAAGAUAUAGUGGCCCUUACAAGGCCACCUGUGUCACCUGACACGACCCGUGUCAGGGGAAGGAUAAAAGAGGCGGUUUUUGAAGAAAACAGUGGGCUGACACGGGUGCCCGUGUCAGCAGGUCUGGCACUGGCAUGGUGGAAACAAGAAACAAUAAGCCAACACGGCCAACCGUAUUGCCUGACACGGCCCGUGUUGGCUUGGACGCCUCAGCUUCUAAUUUUAUUUGAUUUUUAGAAUUGCUGACCCCGGAGGGUGUUUUGGGUAUUCGCUACAUCGAUUAAUUGAUCAGUGACUAUUUAGAGAAAUUUUUCAGGAAAAGAAAAGGGACUUUUGGACGACAAAGAUUGGUACGAUCAAGAGUUUCGGAGAACGGAGGUCCUUCAAGAGAGAACGCGAUUAAAGAUCAACGAAACCCCUAUUUCUUGUAAUGUCUAAUUUGAAUAUUGUAUUUUCUUUGAAUAAUAUGAGCGGAUAAACCCCCCAAUGACAGGGGGUGUCCCUGAUUUGAUCAUGUAAUAACUUUGAAUUCUUAACUACCUCAAUGUUAUGUUUGUUAUUCAAUUUAACUGUGCAAUGUUUGUAAUGCUUUCGUUAUCAGAAAAAUAAGGAUUGUUAUAUGGUUAACAAUUUGCGGGAUAUCACCUAGGACUAGGGAUACCCUAUGGUUACUGGUUAUAUCUUGUUAUUUCAAAAAGCUUGAUUUCUUCAUAAUUCCCUAAGGACUUAGGUAUUAGAAUGAAUGACCAAAGGUUUCCCUCAAAGGUUUUAGGAGGAAACAAUUUUAAGAUCUGGUAAUCGAAUGUUUGAACUGGUUGAGGAGAUUUACAUUCAAGGUCAUUGCAGGAAAUAAUCACACACCGUACCUUGGCAUAAUUUUCAUAUUUGUGUAAAAGCUUUAUUUUACAUUCUGUUUAAUUUAAUUAUAGUGCGGAUUUAUGACAAACCUUAAAACUCCUGUUUUUGUUUAAUUGAAUCACGAUUUAAACUAAUAUUACUGCGCAGUCCUCGAGAUCGAUAUUUGGGAAACUUCACUAUUAUUACUACAUUGGCAAAAUAGUACACUUGCUAUUUUACCGAUCAGGUCUUAAUGAGCAUGACGACCUCCAACUCUAAAGAAGGCUAGCCCAACUAGUGAGUCAGGCAUAAAGUUCAUCCUCAACACUGGCAAUUAUUUCAUUGUUUCAUUCUAUUUUGUAAUCUCCUUUGCAUGUUUGAAUGUUUAUUUGCAUUUAAGUAUUGAUGUUUUCUUUUAAUGGUAAUAUUAAUGAAGUGAUAAUGCAUUUUCUGAAUCAAUCAUGUCGUAUCCACUCAUUUUUCAUUUAUAUCAAAAAACAAAAAAUAUUUUUCCCAUUCCCUUUUCUUUAUCUAAAGAUUGGUUUUAGCAAAAAUUGGAGGGAUGAUGAUGAAAAAUGAAAUACUCGAAAUUGCUGACAAGUAUGUUUUCAAACAAACUUUGUUGAUGAUGUAAGGCAUUGUUUCAACUCCCAAACACCAUAUAUAUAAGGAAGGUAAUCCCUUGUCAACCCCUUUCAGCAUAUAAGUUCGUGUUUCUUUUUAAAAGAAAAAACCCUUUAGUCUGAACCUGAGGCAGGGUAGUUUUCAGUUAAUUCGGCUAUGUAUUUAAAGUUCAAGAGAAUCAUUGAAAAUACCUAAGAAGUGUAACCAUAUACUUUUCUGCACACACAUCAAGAAGUGUCAAAGUAGUCAUGAAAAUCCAAAGGUAUAGUGGUUGCUCCUCAAUAACCAAUGACAUGGAAGUCAUAACCAGUAGAAAAAGAAGAAGGAAAAAGAAAGAGCUCACUAAGUCGAACACCAAUAAAGUGGCUUAGACAAAAAUUAGGGUAUCCCGGUGGACUAAGAUUUCAAAAGAGUCAGUCCAAGUAAAAGUUAAGGAAAAGAAGAAAAAAAAGAAAACAAAUAACGAUGAAAAUAGGUGACCAUCAAAUCAAGAACCAAAGGGUCACCCAAAAUUUCUGAUAGACUCAAAUUUUAUAAUUACCAAACAAGCAGGUGACUGCCACCUCAUAUGAAUGACUAUCAUUGGUUCCAAACCCAUCAUAUUAACACUUUUAAUUUUCUCUUAGAAUUUGAACGUGUUUGUCAACUUAAUUGAAUGUCAAUUUAAUUGGGUUAAAAUUAGAUUUUGAGCUUAUAUCCUUUUUAUUUAAAAUUUAUGAACCAAGCCACAUUACAACCCUCAAAAGACCUAAUUAAAGCAAAGUUUCUUUUGAGAGAAAACUCAGAAAAGUGACGUUAACUUGACUCCUAGAUAUUUGCUAAUCAUUUAUAUUGGUAUCAUAUCCCAUUGGUUUUCACACUUUAAUUGAACCAGUGAUUUGUUCAGUAUAUAUCACCUUCAUUUCAAUAAUGUUUGAUUUCGAAAUUUACAUGAGCAUUACAAUAAAAUUACCAUUUUUUGAAUAAACAAUUUCAUUUUCAAAUCGGAACUUAGCAUUAAGGAACUUCUUCCAAAGAGCAGUUAGUUCGGUGUAAGUUAUUUCAAGAUUCAGUAAAUCUAGGGCAAUCACUUCGAGACGCAACAGGUCUCUCCAAGGCUCAUACUUGGGAAGGCCACUUCCAUGGUACAGUAGGGCCCGCCACUCCAAAAUUCAGUCAACCAGGGGCUAUUCUUGGCAGAAUUCAAAGUACUGGGGCAAAAGUCAUCUUACAUACAUAUUUUGAAAAACAGUUGUCAAAAUUUCCUUUUCAAAGGCCCAACAGAUUGUGGCACGAUAAGUUCACAAAGUUUAAUGCAUCUCAAUGAUCACCUUGAUCUGAUCAAGUCAAAAGUGACUUUUCUUCCAGAGACGAGAGUCUCCACUAAAGCCCGCCAGGCAGCAAAGUAGAAAUCAGAGUUUUGUAAACCAUCUUCAUGGUGCCAAAAUGGUUCGAAACUAGGGUAUUGGGGAAUCAGAGCUUGAUAUCCACCAAAUGCAUAAACUAGUAUAUUCAUGCAUUCAUUCUCUUCUUGUAUAUCAUGUACAAAACAGAUCAUGCAUAAACCUCGGCCAGAUUCAGCAACCUCUCAAGGAAGUUCAGUAUAAUCCUCAACAAAAUCAAGAUUCAAUAGGUGUUUCUCAAGAGUAGAAAAAUUCUUUUUCUUAGUACAAGUGCUUUUAGAAGUCGAUCAUUAUUAGUGAUGAUUCUCAAGGAAAGUUUUCUUCCCCAACAAGGUGAUUGAUAUUCUCCCAACUGAACUUUGGUGUCAACAGAAUUUAUGCUUGGUUUCCCCGAUAGAUAUCUCCCCACAGAGUUUUCCCUAGAUUUUUCUCCAGCAAAACUUCAUGAACUCACCAGGAAAGUUUCAUACCAGCGGGAAUCCUUAGAAAAGGUAUCCCCAGUAGCAUUAUCCUCGGCAAGUCUCUUUAAAGUAUUUGUGUAGAAUAGAUAUCUCUUCAUCAAGGAUAGAUCAAGCUAGUAAUCUCCCCAUCAAGUCUAAUGGACAAGAGCUCCCUAAUACACAAACCCUGUUGAAUGAUUCUCAGUAUAUCCCUAGCAUGUCUGCUGAUUUUUCUCCCUCAAAUAGAGGUUACCCUAAAAAAUCUCAUUUAGAAGUUUUCCUUUGUAGAUCUUCCCUAGUAAUUUUUAUACUAAGGGAGUCUUUUUUAUUGUUUCCACAACUAGCUAUCAAUGCUUGUCGACCCCCAAGUUGAUGUCUUUGUCUUUACCUUUUCCAACCCCUGAGUUGAUGUCGUAUUUAUCUUAACGUUCCCUUAACCCCCAAGAUGAAUUAUGUCUCAUUUUCUUCUCGAUCCUCGAGUCGAUAUUGUAUUUAAUUUCUCAACCCCCAAGUUGAUAUGUUGUAACCCCAGCAAGUCUCCUGUGUGUUUAUUCCCCAUAGAGUCUUUUAUCUUUUCAGCAUGAAUCUCAGCAGCAGAAUCCAUGGUUAAUCUCAAUAGUAGAUUUCCCAUUAAACCUUGAUAGAAGGUAUAUUCCCAAACAUAUUUUGCUUCCAGCCAAAAGCAGAUGGAUAUAGUAGCUUCAACCAAAGCAGUUGAAUGCAAUAGUUUCAACCAAGAGCAGUUGGAUACUAUUUUAUUUUUAUGAAGUUUGUUUCAACCAAGAGCAGUUGAAUGCAAUAGUUUUAACCAAGAGCAGUUGGAUACUAUUAUAUUUUGCAUAGUUUUCUCUUCAACCAAGAGCAGUUGAAUACAAUCGGUUUCAGCCAAGAGUCGUUGAAUAUGACAUUUUUAGCCAAUAGCAACUGAAUAUGAUCAUUUGCUCCCCCUAAGAAAGUCUGCCUUCAAUGAAGAAUGUCUGAAGAACAGUCGGGCAUGUUACUUUACAACAGAUCCAUCCCUAAGUAUCUAUUGUCAGUCAAGAGCAUUUAGACAUGAUUCUCUGAUUCCCAAUCAUUUGCAUAGCAUCUAAUAAGUUAAGAGUAUUUCUUAGUUCAUUUACAUUAAUGACUAAGAAAUCAUGAGUAUUUCUUAAUUCAUUUGCAUAGCAUCUAAGAAAUCAAGAGUAUUUCUAAGUGCAUUUACAUUCAUGAUUAAGAAAUCAAAAGCAUUUCUUACAUCAUUUUCAUUCCCAUGAUUAAGAAAUCAAAAGUAUUUCUUAAAUCAUUUGCACUCAUCAUUAAGGAGUCAAGAGUACUUCUUAACAUUCAUGAUUAGGAAAUUAAGAGCAUUUCUUAAAUCAUUUGCAUUCCCAUGAUUAAUAAGUCAAGACUAUUUCUUAAUUCAUCUUCAUUCAUCUUUAAGAAGUCAAGAUUACUUCUUAACCUGCAUAUCAUUAAGAAAUCGAGAGUAUUUCUUAAACCAUCAUUUGCAUUCAUAUAAUUAAGAAAUCAAGAGUAUUUCUUAAAUCAUCCGCAUUCAUUUCUAAUAAGUCAAAGGUACUUCUUAACAUUCUCAUGAUUAAGAAAUCAAGGGUAUUUCUUAACUCAUUUACAUUUCAUUCAAUCAUUGUUGGUUGAGAAAUCACGAGUAUAUCAUAAUCCCUUCAUUCUAAGGAGUAAGGAGUAUUUCUUAGCAUACAUAUUGUUUUCUGUUUGAUAAUUAAGAAAUCAAGAGAGGUUCUUAAUUUAUUUGCAUUCAUUUUUUUAGAAGUCAGAAGUACUUCUUAACCUUAAUUACAUUCAUAUCACCCAACAGUUAGGAAAUCAAGAGUAUUUCCUAAAUAUUGUUGCAUCCAUUUACAUUAUCAUCUGUUUAUUAAGAAAUCAAGAUUAUUUCUUAACAUACGUGCAUUCAUAACGAUGAGCAUAUCAUUCUAUUGCAUACAAGGGAAAAAUUUGGGUCUAUUUGAUAUUUAAACUAUCUUUCACCAUGAUGAUUUAAAGACAAGAGUUCUUCAUAUCCUCCAGUUAAAGAUGUUUAAAUAGGGGCAGUUGUCAUACCCUAAACUUUAUCCUAAGUUUUCACUCGUAUUAGCAUAGCAUAAUAGUUCCAUUUUAUCAUGCAUUCUUUCAGUGAAAAGCAUUCAUCAGGGUUUAGAUAAUAAAAAACUAAGGAGUUUUGACAUUUUAUCUGGUAUUGAGAACAUUCAUUCAGCCAUUUGUUGAUUAAGAAGACAAAAGACAUGAUUUCUUAAUCUCAGUGCAUCAUCAAUUACAUUUCAUAUUGUUUCAGAGGUUCAGAGGGUGACAAUCAAGAGUAUUGUCCUCAUCUGAAUCUUUGUAGGGUUUUUAAUUAUGUUUGAGAAUCAAAAGCAAAUGGUCGAAGAUCGAUUCCUUUACAUCUGACUAUUUAUUCAUAAUUAUUUGAUCAGCAAAUAAUGCAUUCACCAAAUGCAUGCAUCAUGUACUCAUCACAACAUGUAUUUUGCUUCGCACAGUGCUUGAAAUGUCGCUCGGAAAAAAAUUCGGAUCUACAUGCAUACUAGUUGAAUUGUUUCUCAAAUGUGCAUUGAAUAAGCGGGUGAAACAUUAAAAGAUCGAGCUUGUAGAAGUCAUUUUUCUUAAUCUACGGGUUCACGUAAUUUAACAUGGUGUCAUUAUUUUAAUUUUUCGACUACUUUUUUGGUCACAUUUCAAUCAACUUGAUCCUUUUGACUGGUCGAUUUUUAGUUCAAAAUUUGAUCGAAACCUAUAUGUUUUCAAGAAUUUUAUUUCGCGCUAAUAAUUUUGGUACAUUCAAUUUGUUUUUUCGAGCACUUUUACGUCCGAGUUUUAUUCAUUUUUAAUUGGUUUAUGUUUUUUUUAGCCAAAAUGUUCGAUAAAUUUAUCUAAAAUAUACUAUGCUUUUAAAAUUUGAUUUUUAUGUUGUGUUUUGAUUUUAUUUUAAAUUAGUAGCUUUGUUUUUAUUUUCAUUUUUCUUUUUAAUAUAUAUAUAUAUAUAUAUAUAUAUAUAUAUAUAUAUAUAUAUAUAUAUAUAUAUAUAAUAUAUUAAUAUAUAUAUAUUUCUUCCCUCAUGUGAUGCUUUAUUAGUGGAGAGACCAAUAGUUAAUUGAAGAACGGAUCUUUUCAUAAGACUACAUUUUCUCUCUCGUAGAUACAACUAACCUUUUUUACUCCAAACUAUCACCUUCUUCACUCCAUCCAUCACCUACAAUAAUAACAUAUCCACUUAUCUUUUCCAUUCUUCAACCUCAAGACAACAUCAUUUUCUCAUCUCUUCCACCCAAACAUACAUCCUUCACUCUUUUCUUUUUCACAACAAACUCACCAUCACCUCAUACAACACAAUCUCAUCUUUAUCACUAACAAACCUCCUCUCGCCAUAUUUUCAAAAAAAAACUCACAACAUCAAACGCAUUACAUCCAACCAUGAACUCAUGACAUAAACUUCACCUUUUCUUUUCUUUCUUUUCUAUUAUCUCCUCCAUAUAAUACUUGUUGCAGCUGGAAAAUUACAGAGUCGUCAUCAUCCUUUAUUCGUUCCUAAGGAACAGAGAAAUAAUGGUAAAACCUAUGGAUAAAGGGAGAAAUUAGGUUCAGAAGUCGGUUAAGUAAGGGGAAGGUAUCAGACACCCCUAACCUCCAUUGUACUCAAUGGGAUCCUCCUCUAAUCCUAGGGUUAGUGUGUGUUUUGAAGGGAUUGUUUGUCUAUAUUUCUCAUCUAUUUAUUUAUUAAGAAAAUGCUAUUAUUUAGAAGGAAAUAAUUUAAUUUAUACUGGGGGACACAGAAAAUGUUUUUGAUUAUCGUACUCGUUAGAGUGAUAAGACUAUAUGCCUAUGUAUCUCCACAUUAGGUGAAGGAUCAGAGCACCAUAUUUCUUCUAGAAAAUGCUUGUUUGUUUUGUAUUUUUUUAGAUUUGUGAAAGUACUCAACACAUAGGGGGCGGAGAAAUGAUUGAUUUUGAAAAUGCCUCAAUGCACAAGGGUAAAGGACUUAAACUUUGAGUGCAUGACAUUGACUUUAAGUUAAUUGGUUAGUUGGCAAAAUAUUGUAAUUAGUUUAUUUAGGAAUUAAAUCAAUGAUAUAAUUAUAUACAUAAUUGAGUUUUUAUUGAAAUUUUAAAAAUAAUUAGAUAAGUGAUAGGAAAGAAUUAUUACGAUCUCGAUUAAACCCUAACUAUCCUUGGUAAUAUCCCCAAAGUUAACCCUACAAUUAAUCAUAAAGAUUCACUAAUAAAAACCUAAUUCCCAAAGCAUAUUUUUGUAUUUUUGAAAAUUAAUUUAAAUUAAAGAAACCCUUGACUUAGAAAAUUAAUUAUUUUAAUUAAAUCAACUAAUUAUUAAUUAGAUUUUAAAAAUAAAAUAUUAAUUUUGAAGUUUUUAAUUAGGAAAAUAAAUUAAUUAGUUAAAAUUAACUAAAUUAAAGAGGGGUGUGUGUUAAGUUGGAUUAGCAAUGGGCCUCUGAUUAGGGGUGUUAAAAACAAGGGAUUUGAGGCCCAUUGGCUUGGAGCCCGAGGCGCUAAGGAGAAGUCCACAUGAGGGAGUCAAUCGUUGACUCUCUCUCGGUUGUUUGAUGGUGAUCGGAAGGGGCUAAUGAAUCUUGCAUCUGAGCCUUCGAUAUGGCAUACCAGUCAAAGUAAGCCAAACAUAUGGAUACGAUGGUGGAUUAACGCGAGGACUACGGCGUACUAGGCUUCACUGGAUGAGUCAAUGUUAACUCAUCCAAUGGCUUUGGGGAGACCAUGUGUGGUAGAUCAAAGGGGAUGCAUAGGGAGUAUAUAAACGUGUCCCCUUCAGACUUCAUUCAUUUCUCACUUUCCUUUCUCUCUCUUCAUUUCCUCGCUUUUUACUCUCUCUUUCUCUCUCUCUCUCUAAACCUCUUUCUUUGCCAUUUCUCUCAGCCCUCAACCACCCUAAAACACCAUGAAUUGAUCCCCAUAUAUCUGGCUGAAGUUCAAUUGGGAUCUUUAAUCGAUGUUCAUAUGGGUGAUGGACACCUUCCUAGAACCCUUAGCCAUACGAACCGUAACCCCAGCCUGACAAACCCUACCCCUAACUUUAAGAACCUAACCCUAAACAACAUUUCCAUAUGAACCCCAUACCCACAUAGAUGAACCCUAACCUCAAAAAAUGAAGAACCCUAACCCUCUUGGAUGAACCCUAACCCCGAAGAAGAUGAACUCCUCAACCUAACCAUAACCAUUACCUAAUUUAAACCUUGAUUCAUUCGUAAACCACCCAGAUCAAACCCCCAGUAACUGUAAACAACAAAUCCAACUUUGUUUGUAACCAAAUAGCCCCUCAAACCCUUAACCUGAAUCAAACAGAACAAAACCCUAUAUCUAUAAUUCAAACACAAGAUACAUACACAGGUGGUGCAAACAACAAUAAUCAAAUGGAAAGGAUUAUAAGCUAACAACCUACGGAGAUGAAAAGUUCUCCAAUCAAAAGGUAACAACUUUCGGAUCUUCGAAUUCUUUUAUUUUUCCUUAUGAUCCACCUUUUCUAACUUCUCCUUAUUUUCCUUCUAUUCCGAGGUUCGAAUCGGAUAAAAGCUAGAGGUUGAGCUCUGAUUACCUAGGGCUUCAAAGUGAAGGAUCCUAAGUAUCAAGGCUGCAAAUAGCUUUGGUUUUUGGUAGCAGCAAGAGCUUUUUAGUUUUUAUUUUCUCCGUCCCCUUUUCUAUUUAGUGAUCAUUAGGGUUUCUAUAACUUAAUUAAAUGGAUUGUUUUAGGAAAUUUUGCAUUUGAUUGAUAUAUGAUUUUAUUAGGUUGUGAAUUGAUUGUUUUAGGAAUUAGGGUUUUUGGACUUGAUGGAUGUACUUGGUCCAAAUUUGCUUGUAAUUUACAUUAUGUAAUGAAUAUGUCCAUGAAAAAAGAAAGUUCUAAUUAAUUCUGAAAAAUGCAAGUUUUGAUCUUAUUGACUCCAUUGAUUGUGCAGGUUUUAGGGUUUCUGAGGUUAGGGAUGACCUGGACUUGGACUCGUGUCAUGAGUUUGACCUGGUCUGGGUGAUGGAUUCUGGGUCUUGCUUGACCCAGUUGAAAAUGGGCCUAGGCCCAAUUCAGUCAACUCUUGACCGGUUUCAGUAAAAAUAAUAUCAUUGCUACCAAAAAACAAUUAACUAAUAUUCUAAUUAACUUAAUUAGUCCAAUUAGUUUAAUAUCAUAAAUAUUAAUCUAAUUAAUCCAAUAAUAUAUGUUAAACAAAAACCCAAUUAAUUUAAUUAAUAUCAUAAAUCAAUCAACAUUUUAUUAAUUUAAUUAAUCAAAAUUCAAUUAAUCAAUAUUUAAUUCAUAAUAUUAAUCUAAUUAAUUUAAUAAUCAAAACAAAAUGCUAUGUUAACCUAAACCCUGGACUGUCAUAAACUUAGAGUUAAUCCAGACGGGAUUAGGGACUUUUUUCUAAAAGGUCAAAAUCGUCUUCUUUUGACUUUUUUGGUCAUUGGGAUUGAUCAGAUGCCUACUCUGGAUAUGUCAGUGACCUAGACCUUAUGUUAGAAGAAAGAUUGUCAAAAUUUGGGGUACAAUAAUACUCUUCAACAAACAUCAACCCAUAACCUCUUUUCCAUUUUCACAACCAACAUAAACCAAAACCAUAAAAAAAUAUUCCUCAUUGUCUUCAUGUUCAUAAACUUCACACAUACACCAUACAAUUCACAAAACAACUUAAAUCUCUUCUCUUCACAAGCUAUCAUAAUCAACCAUACUCACAUAACACCAUGAAAAUAUAACCACCAAACUUGCAAACAAAAACAAAUAGAACAACAAGCUUACAACAAAAAUGGAAGCAAGGAGGAGGGAGGAGAAAUCUGUUCACCACUACCUGCUCCUCAUAGUCUCUCUGCAUCCGUUGAAACCACAUUUGCUCAAGUGGUGCUUGAUGAAAGUAGAACGCCUAACUCUUACCACCUGCAGCAAUAACAACACCCAAAAACAACAAUAACCACCGAUCGAGAACUCACAAUCACGUGCGAAUCACGCUCUACCUCCAUGUCGUUGUUACAACAAGCUCUGAACACCACUUGUUUCCCCAGAUCAUGACGCUCUAUAGCUACUUCCACCGUGUAUCCACCAUGGCGUUUGUCCUUUAUGAUUGCACAGAGACAACAUCCGCGUUGAAACACGCAUCCAACAUCAUUGAUCCAACAUGAACACCGCCUUAGCCAUCGAUUCCCAAAUUGUCGUUUUUACAUUUGGAUUACAACGGUGUGCGUGUUUUUGUUAUGCUUCUUCUAAAGUUAUGUUUUGAAUUGCAUUAUUUAAAAUGAUGUGUGUUUAUUUUACUGCUUCUGAAGUUUUGUUUUUGUGUUGCAAUGUUUAAUAUGGCUAGGCUAUUAUUUUUCUUUUUUUAUUUUAUUUAUUCAUUCUUUUUAUUUUAUUUUUAUUUAUAUAUAUAGUAAAAUUGGAUUUGAUAUAUUUUGGUGUUCGGCUUGAGUUUAGGUUUUUUAGUUUAAAGCCCACUUGACUCUUCCAUUUACACUCCUAUUUCACUUUUUACACCUCUUAUGCUUAUUAUUAUUCUUUGUUCUUAUUUAUUUUUUUAGUAAGUUAUUUAAUUAGUAUGAAUGUUAUUGGAUGAAUUGAUUAAAUUUGAAUUAAUUAAUAAAUUACUUAACAACUUGGUUUGAUUAAUUCUCAUGUGUUUAGUUGAUUUAGUUAGAUUAUCUCUCAUCAUGUUUAUAAAUAAUGUAAACAAUUUUGGUUGUCGCUACCUUUCAUUGCUUUGUGAUUUUGGAAUUUUAAGUUCAAUUUAACUUGCAAAAUUAUUCAAAUGCAUAAAUUUUAUUGAUCGGCCUCAUAUAGGGUAAUUCCUACAUGAAUCGCUUUACAAUUUCAUAACAUAGCAUAAAUUAUGUAGUUCAAAUUUCUUAAUUUUUAUUUCAAGUCCCUUGGCUUUCUCUUGGGCCUUCUUACAACGAGAUUCUUUUAUUUAGAAUUGUCUUUUGAGCUUGUAUUACUAUUAUACUGUAUCCUCAUUCAACAAACUAUAGCCCUAUUUCCGUUAUAUGUAAUAAAUUGUCUGUUUUUAUUUACUUUUUGUAUCAGUUGAUUGUUAAUUCAAAGAUUAAAAUCAACACUUUCAAAAAAGAACAAAAAAAAACACUCGACCCAAUGUCGAGAAAUUUUCCAAAAUCAUAACCAUUUACACUAUCCACUUCUCCAUCAUUUUCAAAACCCUCAAAUCAUUCCAUCAGAUUUUUAGUUCAAACGCAAAUAAUAAAAACCUCGAUCAACAUCAAGUGGCUUUUCCCUAAUCAAAUCCAAAUAACCCAAUCAUACUUAAAACAUUGUUUUGAAAAGGGUGAAAAGGAAGAUGGUUUAGAGCCUUUGAUUCCUCUCCUCAAUUACUUAGAUACGAGUAGCCUUACUCAGCCAUUUGAGAAAUUAUCAUCUGUUAAAAAACUUCUAACCCCCGCAAAAUCCAAACUCUUUUCAUAAUCAAACCUUAACUCACACUUAUUUUCAUAAUAAACUUGUACAAAAAAUGAGGUGGUCUAGAGCCUUUCACUCCCUUCCUCGAGUACUUGGAUACGAGUAGCUUUACUCAGUCAUUCGAUUAUUUAUCGUCCAUCCAAAAUACAUUAAGCUUAUUUAAAUAUGUUUGCAAUUAAGGAUGAAAAGGGAGAUGAUCUAGAGCAUUUUAUUCCUCUUCGUGGGUACUUGGAUAUGAGUAGCCUUACUCGUCCAUUCGAGUAAUUGUCAUCCAACAAAACACUCAACAAAUCAAACUUGUUUUCUGCCCUUGAGCGAUCCCAAAAAUAUUUUCAAAAACGAGUAUGCUUUAUCCAUAUCCGAUGUGAAACAAACAAAGACUUCAGCCUCCAAGAGUGAGCAACAUGUAAAGGUUUAAUCGCUCGAUAUGUCUAAAGGAUCACUAUUUAAAAGCAAUCAAUUCAUUAGUUCUCUUUUAGUAGAACUAUGUAGCCUUGAGUUCUCCAUACAACCUGGAGAUACGUAUGAGCGGGUUGAGAAAUCUUGCUAGGCACAUUAAUUUUGAAAACACCCUUUUAAUAAAUAAAAUAAAUUCCUUUCAUUCUUUUUCUCACUUAAUAAGUAGAAGAAAACAAUUAACAUAGCUAGCACUCUAUCGCAAAUCUAACUAAGCGGUUCUCGUUAAGUACAACGAAUGUGAGGGGUGCUAAUACAUUUCCCUUACACAACCGACUCCCAAACCUGAUCUGGUAGUCAUGAAAAAAUAUUGUUUUUCGUGGGUUUUAUUGAUAUUUUCCCUUUCCUUCAUUGAAUAAAUAAAUUUUGGUGGCGACUAUGUUCGAACAUCUUUUUUGCGAGCGUGCAAACACCUCACGAAGGAUCGCAUUUUUCGAGAUGCGUCAGACUUCAUUGGGGUCAUUCCCAGCAAAAGGUCAACUAACCUUACCCCUACCAGAUGAAAACUCAAUCAAAGGUAGGCGUGUAGCCAACCCACCAUGGCAUCUAGAGUAGCUAGUUGCCAUACGAGGGUGGGUCAUUAUUUCAUGUGGGGAAUUCAUUGCUUUAGCUGGACAAAUAAAUCAUUUAUGACAACACCUCGGCCUUUAUGUGGGGGGUUGAUUACUUUAGACAUACGUAUAAAGUGUCUCUGAUAGCACCUCUGACAUUAUGUGUGUCGGGCAUCGAUAUCAUUAGUUGUACCCUGGAUUUUCUUGUUGCUAUGCAUAGUCAUAAAGAAAAGAAUGUUUCAGAAAUCAUAUAUUUUAUUUUAAUACUAGCAAGUGUCAAAAUGAUUCAAAAAUAGUAUUCUAUAUGAGUAAAAAAUGGGAAACAUAACUAAGCGGGAUAGCCUACGCUUAUUCAUUUUCUCUUUUUUAGCCAGUUCAGCCACUUUAUGGAGGACGGAUUCCCAUCUUAUUGAAUUUCCCUAUGAGGUAAGUGACAAUGAUCUCAAUGUAUAUGUCGUCUUCAUGAUAUUUUUGGAAAGACUGGUAUAUUAUAUUUGGUCCCUCUAUGCCUGCAUUGAUGGUUUCUAGUUCUCCUAGUAGAUUAUGGUAUUUAAGUUUGAGGUGGACCGGCGAGGCGUCAGCGUCCAAUAUGGCUGCAAAGGGUUGUCCUAUAAUGCAGUGAUAAACACUCCUGGUGGGAACAAAAAGAAAUUUAGAAUUUACCAUCUAGAUGUCCUUAUCAUUGCCCAUAAAACUAGUAGUUCCACAUAUCCCUAUGGAUGGGUAGUGGUCUCGUUGAGCGCAUGGAGGUCGAAGCCUUUUUAUGGCAGCAAACUGCUUUGGUCCAACCCCAUUUUUCGAAUAUUUUCGAGUAUAUGAUUUAUUAGGAGUUGCCUCCGUCAAUGAGGAUUUGGGACACCUCGAAUCGGCCAACUGGGGGGGAUUUUUUGUUGGGAAUGCCUCCGAUCUUCUCCGAGUCCUGAAAUCCCAAUAUAGGUAUGUUAGAGACUCUAACUGACGUACUUAUUUCCUUGUGGUAGACAUUCAUCACAUAUGCGAUCUUCCUCUUUAUGGUGCCUUUGGACCGGAGGUUUUCCUUAGUUUCUCCUCCGGUUAAGGAAACAUUGUAAGGGUGAUUGCCUUUACCCGCCUCCUUGAUUUCUCCACUUGCUCCAGUCGUCGCAAUCUUCGAGGGAGAUUUACCCCAUAUGUGACUCCUCUUUAUCCUGAUUUCCUCCCUUAAAACACUCAUCUAGUCGGCCUCUCUUAAUCGUCUCUCUGAUGGAAACUUUCAAUUGGAUGCAAUCAUCAGUUUUAUGGUCGUGGCUCCUGUGGAAGAGACAAUAUUUUGAUUUGUCUGUCCUAGAUGUUUCUCUGACGGGGUAAGGGGUCGGGUUCUUGCCUUCCAAAAUUCAGUAUUUAUGCAGUCUUUAUAGCUUUUCUCACGGGAGACCGUCGAGGGAGUGUACCUGUCGCACUUUCUUAGCAUCCCCCAAUCAGAGUCAUCUCGACACCGAUGGGACUCCUUCCCGUUCAGGCGACUGGAGUGAGAUUCAAUGGAAGCAUGAUUGUCAAAACGUGUAGUGAGCUUCUCUUCCUAGAUCGUGUAAGUUUCGGUCAUGGUUAACAUUUCCUAGACACAUUUUACUUUCCUCUUCCCUAUUUUAUGCCUAAAAGGGUGGUCUCUCAAAAGGCCAUUUUUAAAGAUCCAACAUUGGAGACCUUUUUUAGUCCCUUCCACCUCUAUAGAGACUUGCUUGAACUAGUAUAUAUAUGACCAUAAACUUUAUUUAUUUCGUUGCAUGAUCCCACUCAAGGCCUCUUCAGUCACAGAUUGUCACUUAUGGACUGUAAAUUAUGCGGAAAACCUCUUGGAACUCUGGCCAAUAAUUGAUACUACUGUCGGGUAGGCCAAUGAACCAUAAUCGGAUCAACGCAACUAAGGUUAGCGUAAAUUGCUUGCAAUUAGACGUGUUGCCAGCGCUAAAAUAAUUUAGUUCAUCAUUCACGAGAUGCAUGUGUUUGUCAGGAUCUCCUUUUCCGUCGUAAUCGUGUAACUUGUGCAAUUUCUCCAUGGAUUUAGGGAUUUUACUCUUUAGGAUUCUUACUGAUAGCGGGUGUUUUGGUUGUACCCUCUUUGGGUGAGUUUCUUCCUAAGCUGAGGAAGUAACAUAGUUGCCACGGCCUCCCACGAGACUAUGAGGAUGAUUAUGAUGUUUCCUACUUUUAUGGUGAUCCUUUGAUCUUGCGACUAUAUAUAUAUAUAUUAUAUAUAUAUAUAAUUACAUAAUAUAUAUAUCAUAUAUAUAGUAUAUAUACAUAUAUAUUAUAUAAUAUAUAUAUAUAUUAUAUAUAUAAUAUAAUAUUAAUAUAUAUAAUAUAUAUAUAAUAUAUAUAUAUAUAUAUUAUAUUAUAUAUAUAUUUAUAGUAUAAUAUAUAUAUAAUAUAUAUAUAUAUAUGGAUUAAUAUAUAUAUAUAUAAAUGGAUUCAUUUACAGUUUUAUAUCUAGCUUUUUAUGAAUCAUAAAAGAUCCCCUUCCUAAUAGUUAGUUGGAUCCAAUGAAAUCAACCCAAAAUAGUCUUAAACCUAUUUAGUCAGGCCAAAACAAUAUUGAAAAUGUAUUACUUAGGAAUUGAAAAUGAUGUCAAGGAACACAUAAAAUAUCCUUCACAACAUACAUAUGUUUACAAAUAAAUCAAAUGACUUAUCUUUUUAAAUUCUUUUUCUAUUUUUCUAUUUUUCACAAGAAUUUGCUUUCUUUACCAAAUAUCAACAAAUAGUAGGGGUGACAAAAUAGGUCGUGGUCCGGCGGGUCGGCUCGCGCAUCCGAUAAAAAUGGUAGGUUGGGUUGGGAUUUUGUAUCCGCCUACCCGCUCAAUCUCUCUCGCUUUAAACCCUUUCCGCCUUAAGCCGCCAAAAAAAGGGUGGAUUGGUCCGCCAACCUAGUUAUAAACAUUCAAAAAAAUUAUUUUGAUUGGUUGAAGGUUAAUAUUUAAACUAUAGGUUUGGAAUACUUGUUGAUGAUUCUAUUUAUAAUUUAUUUGUGAAUAUAUGGGGAAAAAAUUUAAGUAAAAUUUAUUUAAAAACUGUUUUAUAAAAAAUUGUUUUAAAAAAUAAAUGAAAAAUAUAAUUGAAAUUAAAAAUAAUCAUAUUAAUCUAUUUAAAAAAUAAAAAAUAAAUAGGCGGAUAAGUCCGCCGCUCGCCAACACACCAUCUUAGCGGAGCGAUUAAAUUUUUAAACUAAAUUUCACUUAACAGACUUAUUUGUCUCGUUCCCUUUUUAGCGGAUUUAAAAUGGGAUGGAGUAGACGCUCGUUUUACCACCUCUAAUAUUAACUCUGAAAUGUUUCUUAGAUCGAAGCUUAUUUAUAUUUCUCUUUUAAUGGUCUUUUCUAUUGGGUUUAAAUAUCACUUGCAUUCUUGUUUGAUGUUUGAAACAAUAAAAUGUCGAUUAUAUUGAAUAUUAGAAUAAACUAAAAAGAAAUUAAUAAACUUGUAAUUAAUAUCAAUUAAAGUACUAGUACUAGUCAACUUAUUAUUAUUAUAACAAGUUUUUAUUUAAUUAUAGGAUGAUGCCAUGCCAUCUUGAUUCUUGUGCUUUAAGGAUACAAUUUGAGAAUGUAAAUAUAUAAAAUAAUGUUCUAAAAAUAAUUUAUUGAUUUUAUUAAAAUUUUAAAAUAAAUUUAUUGUUUUUUAACAAAAAUUUGUUAUCUGUUAAUUUUUUUUAAACAUGUGCUUCUAGAGUAGAAAUUAUUAUAACCCUUAAUUAUAGGAGAAUUUCUCUUUACUCACUUAUAUUUAUAAAAGAAAAAGGUAAUGAUAAUUUGUAUCCUUGGGACACAACUUAAGAAAUUUACAAAUAAAAAAAGAUUAUUGAAAAAAAAAUUAUGAAUUUGUAUUAAAUUUACCGUGCAAAUUUCAAGAUCUUUUUACUUUAUUUAUCUCUUGGGACACAAGUUAGUAUUAUUCUAAAAAAAAUUAUAUUUUUUAAACAAAUUUUUUAAGCUCUUAAAAGAUAUUUCAAUUUCCGAUGCAUAUAAAUUUCCAAUGUAUUAAAUAUAUAUAUUUUUUUUAAAAAAACUUAUUUUUUAAGCUCUUAAAAGUUGUUCAUGCAACAUUAGUUAGCAUUUUCCUUCUUCUUUUUAACAUUUGGGUUGGUUAAAAAACUAAAGAGUGUUACAUUAAUAGAAGGAAUGCAGUUUUAAUGGGACAUUUGCUAGAUAAAGGAAAUAAAAAAUUAAAAUAACUUCGGAUGAUAACCAAUUAUUUUCUUCUUGCUCUUUGAAAUAUAACGAUCCGUUGGAUCCAAAAACAAAUGAAAGAAACCAAAGUCCAAAAACAAAUGAAAGAAACCAAAGGAUAUAUCUAGCCCUGUUUGUUAUUGGGCUGGAUUUAGAAAAUCAAAAUGUAAUGUUUGGGAGAUUUUUACCUUGCACCCAUAUCAUUGGACCUAGCACUCCCUUUACUAGUGUUUUUACCAUAAUAUAUCCUCUCAUUUAAAAAGUACUAGUACAAUUUUUAUUAUUCAUUUGUCAUUUUCUUUUUCUUAAGAUUUUUGAAAAGUUGUGAUAUCUAUCACAUUUUAAAGUCAUCUAUCGAAUAUUUAUAAGGAAGUUUUUUUCGAUAAAAUUAUGCAUUUUUUAUCGGCAAUUUAAAACUCAUGCUGGAUUUUUAGAAGAAAAAAAUAUGCAUUUUUAUCGUAAUUUUUAAAAUGUUCGAUGAAAUCCCUUAUUUCACAUGCAUUAAACUGGUAUUUUUCAAAUAUAUCGAUAAAACCAUGUUAAUUUCCUGAUUUGUAAAAUAUAUCGAUAAAUGUUUGAUGAUACAGAGUCGUAUGUACACACAGAUAGAGGAUUGCCUGGAGGAUCGGGUGACCGUUCCUUGCUCAACGGGAACAUUAGAUGAAAAAUUAACAUUACAUUACAUUAGAUGAAAAUUGUCAUUACAUUACUCCGAGACUAACAUAACGUAACACGAACAUUGCUUAACAUAACAUAACAAGAAAAUAACAUGAACAAAACUUAAACAUUACUAGAUGAUUCAAGACGUUUCAACAUCUUAAUAAUAUCAUCAACAAAUCUCACAACUGUCGCAUUCACUUCAAUCAGAUCCUUUGUUUCAUACCGGUGACAUGUGAUCCACAUAACAUGCAAAUCUUCAUCGAUUUUCAAGGUUAUGGGGAAAAUUCGAUAUUCCCUGGAGUUUUUGAAAAACCCUUGUAAAAUUUGUCAAGCACUGGAAUUUUUUAAAAUGUCGGUAAAAAUGCAUACCGGUUUUUUAAUUAGCCUACCGAUUUUUUUUUUGCUAGAGAAACUUUUGCAGAACUUUGUUGAUGAAAAAUUCAUAUGGGUAUUUUUGGUAUUAUGACAAAUUGAGGGGGAUUCAAGUAGAAGUCAAGUCAAGCAGUGGCAAGAAAAAUUCUCAAUGUUUGGUUUGUAGUUUUUUUUUUAUCUUUUUAUCUAUAUCUAUAUAAUAUAGUAAAUCUGAAGCGGCGAACUAUAUCACGUGCUAACACUUCUAAUUUAUUUGUGACACAUCAUUUCAUCGUCCUAUAUAGCACCUCUCUAAAAUCAUUUUCAAAAGGCGGCAAAUUAUAUCAUGGUACGUAUUAACAUUUCUAAUUUAUUUGUGUCAUAUCAUUCCAUUGUCCCAUGUGACACCUCCCUAAACUCAUUUUCAAAAAGUCAAAUAUAAUAGUUAUUCUCUAUUAAGUCAUGGACUCAACUACUUGCAAAGAUAAUAUAUAUAUAUAUAUAUAUAUAUAUAUAUAUAUAUAUAUAUAUAUAUUUGUUCUCUAUUGGAAGUCACAAGUUCAACUCUUUACAAAACAAAAAUAUAUGUAAUCUAAACACUAAAAUUUAAAUAUUAUUUUUUUAAAAUCAUUAAAAAAAACUAUUAUAAUAUAUUAAAGUUGAAUAUAUUAAAUGUUUUUAAUCAAUCUCUGCAAAUAUAUUAACCUAACAAUAAAUUACUAACUUGGAUUAAUAUAUUAUUUUCAUAAAUUUUAUAAAAUAAUAUUUAUAUUUUUUCUUUGCAAUAAUGACUAUAUUUAAUAUUUUUUUAAUAUUAUAUAAUUAAAAUAAUUUUAGUUUGCUCCAAUUUAAAAAAAUUUAAAUGUAUAAUAGUUUUUCAUCAUUUCAUUUACUACAAAUAAUAGAUGAGAAAUCGAUAGUUGAUUUUAACAAUAGAUUUAAAAAUUAUAUUGCAAAAAAUUAAAAAUAAUAUAAUACAUAUCUUCGUAAUUUUAUAAAGUCAAUUAAUGUUUUAUUUGAUAAUAAUUAUAAUAUUUUCAUUUUAUUUAAAACUAAAACUAAAUACAUAUAAUUAACAAUUUAAAAAUAAAUAUAAAAAAUCACUUUAUAAUAAUUUAAAUUUGUAAAACUAAACUUUAAAUUAAAAAAUAUAUUGUCCUUCCAAAUAAAAUAUAUUUUUAUAUGGGCUUAAUUCAUAUCAUUGUCUUAAUUAUAAUUUAAAAUAAAUUAUUGUAAUAUAAACUUAAUAACAAUAUUUUGUCAAAAAAAACUAACAUAUAUUUAAAAUUUAAUAAAAAUAAAUAAACUAAUUUACGACUGCGCAUCGCGCAGGUUUUUUCUAGUUUUAUAAAUAACUUUAAGACUUAACUAGAUUUGAGUAUUGUUCAAUGCACAUCAUGACUUACUCACACACUCGAGAGAAAUUCCAAAAUUACUUUUAAAAUUCAGAUUUUAAUUUCCGUACGCAAUAAAUACACAACAAUCUCUCUCUAGAAAACACCAAAGCAAAUGUUAAAAAAUCUAGAUUUUAUAUUCUGAAUUAGUAUGCUACAAAAAAAUAUGAAUUUCAAUAUACGAAAUUCCAAAGAUUGAAAUUUGAAAAAAUAUAUAUGUAUUUCAAUGUCCAUGAUUCCUUCGGAGAUUGGAAUCCAGGCGUUUCUACUUAAGUAUUCUCACACAUAUAUUUCCUUCUCCUUUUCCUUUUUCAUUUUAGCAAACAAAUCCAGUCAGCAUACUUUCGUUCCAACAUUUUUCAAGAUUUUUCAAAAUUUCUACUCCAUUGCAUCGAAGCUUAGCACAUCUCUGAAGUUCUACUCCACUAUACUACAAUUAAUCCAAGAUCAAACAGAGAAAAUAUUUGGUAGGCUACUUAUUUCCUUACCUUUUUUUAAUUUUAUACGUAUGCAUUCUCUAAAUAGUUUAUAUGUAUGAUACAUUAGGUUAAAUGCAAUAGAUAUGUCAUAUUUGUUUGUUCUAAACUACUGUACUUUGAAAUUUUGAACAUUCGAGCUUAGAAUUUGUGCAUGCUUUGUUUCUGUUUUGUCUGUGUUAGUUCCUUCAUAUCAAUAUUUUGAAAUUCAGACCCUUAGUCCAGAUAAAAAAAAUCAUGAUUUACCUAUUUUCUUUUUUGGUUCGGUUUUCCAAUACCUUCUUUGGUUUUGACAUGAUUUUUCAUGUUUGGUUCUUAAUUAUAGGAAAAGGGUGUGGCAACCAAGAAAUAAUGAGACAUGAUAAAGUGUUCCAACAUGCUUUCAUUCGCAUGGAAAAAGCUAGAACCUUACGAGUUGCAGUUGGAGAAACUUCAUUUAAUGUUGAAGCAUCAGUUUCUCAAGUUCAUCUAUCUCUGGAAUCGUCUUCACGAGUGCAUGUGUUUCUGCUCAUCAUGAAACCCCUCCUUCCCUAGAAACCCCUAUUGUAUUUGAUGAUGUCGUGCCUUAUCGUUUUUCGAGAGGCCCUUCAGACCUUUCACUACUACCCAUGUAUGAAAAUCAUAUUGCUAGGCAUGUGUGGGAUAGAAAGGUAGCAUAAAUCUUUAAUUACUCUUUUAAACACCUAUGUGUUAGGGACCAAUUAGUACUAUUUUUAUACCAUUUUAUUGGUCCCUUUUACCAAGUUUUGAUUUAAUUACACACUUUUAUCUUCACUAAUUUGUAUAAAUGCAAUUAGGUUUAAAUUAUUUUUGUUUUGAAUAGUUUUUCACCAUUUUUGUUAGUUGUGUAGAAUUAUGGAUAAGCAAGACCGUUGGUUUUCAACAUGGCUAUUUGGAGGAAGCUUGCCAAACAAGGAAGCUAGGGAAGCAACAGUUCGCGCCGCGAACUUCCUUCGCGCGCGCGAAGGCUGCGAAUCCAGCAAGCUGACCAAGGGUCAAAAGUGCUGUUGUGCAGAAAAAGUAAUUGCCAUUUUGAUGUCUGCCUGGAGUGCUUUUCUGCUGGAGAUGACAAUGUCCAUUAGGGAAAUGUCAACCUUUUGGUAGAGACAAAAUAGUUUAACCUAGGUAUUGAAACAUUAUUCCAUUCAUUCACACAUUGUGCUGUAGAGCUUUUGUAAAUAGAGAAAAAGAGUUUUUUCUUCUUAAACCUUGCUUUGUAACAAUGGUGAUAGAGAGCUAAACUCCCUUUUGUCAAGAUUGGAGGUAGUAGCUAUUCUCAUCUGUCUAUGUAUUCACUUUGAUUUAUAUAUGAGAUAGAGAUUGUUGAUGUAUUGAUUACUGUUUUUGCUUUAAGUUGAAAACCAGAUUUGAGUAGUUGUCGAGAGAGAUUACUCUGAGUUUAGACAUAAAACAGAUUUUCAAGUAGUGAAUAAGUUGUAGAGAUAGAUUUAUUCAUUACUAUUCUUUGAUAUUGACAUUAAAGGUUGCUAUAUUGAUAGUUAGGUGAGAGAUCGUCUAAGGAUCAAUAUAGUAACUAUCACGAUAUCAUUUAGACAUAAAUGACUUUGAGAGGAUAUUUGAACAUCAUCAAUAAUCUUGAAUCUAAUUUUUAUCAUAGGGAAUCAUAGAUAUUUGAAAUAGUGAACUCCAAUCUUGCCAAGCUUUUAGAUUUGACUAAACCACUUUAUAGUUUUUGUUAACUUCACUUACAAAAUAUUUUUCCAAACAAAACAACCCUGUUACUUUCUAAACUUAUAACAUUUGAAUUAUAGAACGGCGGUAAUAUUACCCAAUCUCUGUGGAUACGAUACAAAAAUAUUUGCCAAAGAUAUACUCUUUCAACAAAUUGGCGCCGUUGCCGGGAUUGGUGUCGAUAUUACAAGCAUUGGAAUAAUCUUGUUUUAAGUUUUGUUACUUUUAUUGUUAUCCCUCUUUUGUUUCACUUGGUUUGUUAGUUUUGAAGAUUCUAGUGCAUGCGAGGAAAAGCAACUGAGAGCGCAACUUCAAUUCGAUCCUGAAAUUGAAAGAACACUUCGGAAGCUCAAUAGCAAAACACGAAGAGAAGGAAACUAGCCGAAGAGAGGAACCGGAGAGAGAAGCAUCUACUUCCGCACUUGUUCAAAUCGAAGAAGUGGUUGUAGAGGCUUGUAAAGGAAACAUGGCGGAUGACAAUCGUACCGAAAUGUCCGCUAAUAGUCCAAGAAGGAAUGCUCAAUUUGCCCGUGGAGGAAGAAAUACGGAGAUGAAGACGGAAUCCUCCAACUUCUCUAUGCAAAUCCAUUCACCGGAAUGGAUCAUGAAGAUCCGUACUCCCAUCUCAUCAAAUUCUAUGAGAUUGCGGGUUCGACGGAAUUGAUGAAGCGGGUGAAGAAGCAUUAUUCAAGAGGAUGUUCCCACACCCCUUAGUGGGAAAGGCAAAAGAGUGGUACCUUGAUCAAGCAGCAAGAGUUAUGACGGAUUGGAAUUUGUUAGAAGAAAUAUUCUUAGAAAGAUAUUUCCUCAAUCCCGAUUCAUGGAAGCCAAAACGGCUAUAGCGUAUUCACUCAAGGAGGCAACGAAUCUCUAAACGAAGCUUGGGAGAGAUUCAAAUCAAUGUUGAGGAAGUGUAAGGGACAUGGUUUUGAUGAGGCUUACUCAUCCAAUAUUUUUUGAAUGGUCUCCAAUCAACUCAUAAGACACUUCUGGACGCCACCGCGGGUGGAUCGCUUAUAUCAAAAACUGCGGAAGAAGCUAAAGUCAUUAUUGAACGGAUGGCCCGUAAUGAUCAUCAAGGUCAACAUGAUCGUAGCCCUUCACAACGUAAGCCUGGAGUUCUAGAGUUGAAUACAAAUGAUGCCAUCCUGCUCAAAACAAGCUACUCUCUCAACAAGUGGAGCUUCUUACUCAACAAAUGGCCAAGCUUCCACACAAAUAAAAGAGAUUCAAGGGUUUCAAGUUCAGCAUCAAGUAGCAUGUUGCGAGUUGUGUCAAGGGGAUCAUCCUACUGGUUUUUGUCCUCACACCCAAGAGAAGUGAGUUAUGUGAACAACCAAAACACGAGUCAGGGAUAUCAAAGACAACAGCCUAACAAUCAAGGCUAUCAACCAAGAACAAUCAAGGCUACCAACCGUCAAGGUUCAACAAUCAGAAUUAUCAACAGCAAGCCUUACCAACAAUCAAACUCUCAAGGCCAGCGUCGCAAGGAGGAAAUUCCAAGCUUAGAAGACACUCUUCAACAAUUCAUGCAAGCUUCCAUGGCAAAUCGAAAGAGUAACGAGCGGCAAUUAAAAAUCUGGAAAAUCAAGUAGGCCAACUCGCGAAGCAACUGUCGGAAUAAACGCAGGGCCUUCUUUCUCUGCUAACACUCAACACAAAUCCAAAGGAGGCAUUGAAAAGCAGAUCGUCACAAGGAGCGGCAAAGCGUUGGUAAGUGAAAAAGGUGAAGAAAUUGUAGAAGAGAACACCACUGAUGGAUGCUGGAAGAAACAGAUAUAGUUGGUGAAGGGAAAAUGCUUCUGGAAAUGCUCAGUUCGCGCCGCGAACCACACCUUCGCGCCGCGAAAAGAGCAGGUUUUGCCCACGUGUGCAGACUGAUUUAGAAAGAAAAAAGAUGUUGAAUCAAAGAAGAAGAAGAAAUCUGAGAAGGGAGUGAUGUCAUUCCAACACAACAUCUACCCUAUCCACAUGCUCCAUCUAGGAAAGACAAUGCUAGGCACUAUGCACGGUUCAUGGACAUCUUCAAGCAACUCCAAAUCAACAUUCCAUUUGCUGAUGCAUUAGACAAAUGCCACGGUAUGCUAAAUUUAUGAAGACAUUCUUACCAAGAAAAGGCGACACGUGGAAGAUGAGACCAUAAUUCUUGAUGCACGGUGUAGCGCAAUCAUCCAGAAGACUUUACCUAGGAAGGAGUCCGACCCGGGCCGGGUUGUUCUACGGUAACCAUUGGAAGCACAUACGUUGGGAAUGGUUUGAUAGAUUUGGGCUCUAGUAUAAAUUUAAUUCCCCUUUCUAUUGUCAACGAUUGGGAAAUGUGGAGAUAAUCAACAAGAAUGAUUUAACAACUAGCCGACACAAGUCUACACACUUUACCAUACGGAAUUGCUAAAGACAUGUUAGUGAAGGUGGACAAAUUCUUGUUUCCGGUAGAUUUCGUAAAUAGUGGAGAUGGAUGAGGACCGUGAUGUGCCCCUAAUUCUUGGAAGACUUUUUAUGAAAACAGCUCGGAUGAUGAUUGACGUAGAUGAUGGACUAAUGAAGGUGAGGUGCAAGACGAAGAGGUGACCUUUAAUCUUUUUAAGCUAUGAAGCAUCCACAUGACAAACAUGAUUCAUUCCGAAAUGAUGCAAUUGAAGAAAAAUACCAUGAUGGAAAGGCCCGUCGCAAGGAGUUUCAUGUCGGACAAAUGGUACUGCUUUUCAAAUCAAGGUUCAAGUUAUUACCGGGUAAGCUGAAGCCAAAAGGUGCAGGACCGUUCGUUGUCAAGGAAGUACGGAAUUAUGGAGCCAUUGUAAUCGAGGAUCCAAAGUCCAAGAGAGUUGGACCGUAAAGGUCAAAGACUCAAAGUUUACCAUGGUGGCGACAUAAAUCGUGAUGUGGAUGUCGUGUCUCUAUUUAAACCGGGCUAAUCAGUGACCGUCAAGCUCAAACGACGUUAACAAAGCGCUUGUUGGGAGGCAACCCAACGUUGUAAGUCUGUAUUUUAAUUUUUUUCUGCUGUGUGAGUUUUUACUGUGUUAAAUUUUGAAAAAAAUUGGGUUCUGGUUUUUACAGUUCGCCCCGCGAACAAAGUUCGCCCGCGAACUGCAUGACAGGACCAGUUCGCCCCGCGAACAGUAAAUAAUAGAACUAAUUUUUUUUGAAAUUUCCUUCAGUUCGCCCCGCGAACUGAAAAAAAAAAAAAAAAAAUUGUUUUAUGUCAUUUUCGUUUCAUUCCUAUUUUCACGAACUUAGGAGAUUCUUUCAACAACCUCGCUACUCCACAUCCAAACCUCCAAAUUUCAAAACUUCCCCUUUCCAUUCCUUUUUUAAGAGGAUUUUGUUGAUUAUGCUAAGUGGCCUGAGGGCAGGCCAAAAUUUUGGGGGGUGCAGGAGGUGGUGUAAACCAUGGCGAUGAGUUGAAGGAAGAUUGAGGAGUUUGUUGAAUUUUAGAGUGUGUCUUGAUAAUUGCAUGAAUACUUUUUGAAAUUUAAGUGCGUUUUAAUCAAAUAUUGGUUUGCCAACAUUUUUGUUUAAUUGUUCUUACUCAUAGUCAAGCUUUAAGCAACCGAGAAAUGAUCGCAAAAAAGAAGCAUAGGACACUUCGAGUGGUGAUGAUAAGAAUUAGUGUCGGCAUUUCAAGGUACACUUUAUCGCUUUCUAGACUUAACAUGAGUAGUUUGAUGGUGUGUGCAAAUUCCAUGUUCAUAAAUUAAUUGAAGUAUAUGUCAUUUUGAAUCAAAAUAGGACUUAGCCAGUUGUGAGGAGACUUUCCAUUGUACACUAAAAAGCGGGAAACCGAGCAUUGUUUUAACUCAUUCUUAUCAUGCUAAAUCAUGCAUCAAUCCAUUUUGUGUGAAAUUUUUGAAAAUGAUAGAGGCAUUGUUUGUGAGAAAAACCACUUGACCAAAAGUUUGAAUCAACUAACCUUGUGAGGAAUAAUCCUUAGUUAACCCCUCUUUGAGCUUAAUUUAGGAUUCAUUUGAUUGAUCAUUGUAAAAUCAAUUGAAAAUUGUGGAAUAAAUGAAUCCUAAUUCUUUCGUAUCAAUUGAAACCUCAAACCGAGUUGUUUGCAAAAUUUGCCUUUUGCUUAUGUCUAAGUAGGGAGCAUUAUUGAAUAAAUUUGGUUUUGGAAUCUAAAGUUGGGGAGAGUAAGUGAAAAGUUGAUUAGAACUUGGAAAAGUGGUUUCUAUGAAAGGGUAAAAAUAUGAAAAGAAACAAGAAAAAGAAAUCACCCUUGAAACCAUAGAGCAUAGAAAAAAUUAGAAAAGAAAAGCAAAGGAAAUGCUCAUGGUUGUGUGGAUUUGAAAGAAAAAGAAAAAGAAAAAGAUAGGGAUCAAAGAAAGGGAAAUUGUGUAGAGUGAAUCUUUGGGAAUGCUCCCUUAGGAUAGGCAAUUUGGUUGAAUUGUCUUAAUCAUAUCCUUUCUUGUAACCUAAGCCACAUUACAACCUUUGAAAGACCUCUUGAUUCUCAUUUUUCACAUGAUUUGGUACUUGUUGUGAUAACCGCAUGAUUUGAGUUGUUGUUGAUUUAAUUGCUUGGAUGAGUGAAAGUAACCUUCAUGUUAUUCAUCAUCAUAUUAUGAUGUGUGUGUAAGUUUGAUUCAUUUUGACAUGUUGAUAGACUUUGAAAUCCUUGAAAUGAUUUUUGCACUUUACAUUUCCCUUAUUUAUGUUUUGUCUAGAGUUGAGAUAAGUGAAUUGAGAAAACGCCAAACGCUUUUGAACCAUUUGAAUGUCCUUGAUGAAUUCUUGUUUAAAUCUUUUGUGUCAUGACUUUGGUUGUAAGGUGGAAACUUUUGUUUAGGGACAAACAAAAUGCUAAGUUGGGGAGAGUUGUUAGGGACAAUUAGUACUAUUUUUAUACCAUUUUAUUGGUCCCUUUUACCAAGUUUUGAUUUAAUUACACACUUUUAUCUCACUAAUUUGUAUAAAUGCAAUUAGGUUUAAAUUAUUUUGUUUUGAAUAGUUAUUUCACAUUUUUUGUUAGUUGUGUAGAAUUAUGAUAAGCAAAGACCUUGGUUUCAACAUGGCAUUUUGGAGGAAGCUUGCCAAACAAGGAAGCUGGGGAAGCAACAGUUCGCGCCGCGAAGGCUGCGAAUCCAGCAAGCUGACAAGGGGUCAAAAGUGCUGUUGUGCAGAAAAAGUAAUUGUCAUUUGAUGUCUGCUUGAGAAGUGCUUUUCUGCUGGAGAUGACAAUGUCCAAUUAGGGAAAUGUCAACCUUUUUGGUAGAGACAAAAUAGUUUAACCUAGGUAUUGAAACAUUAUUCCAUUCAUUCACACAUUGUGCUGUAGAGCUUUUGUAAUAGAGAAAAAGCAGAGUUUUUCUUCUUACACUUCUGCUUUGUAACAAUGGUGAUGAGGAGCUAAAACUCCUUUUGUCAAGAUUGGAGGUAGUAGCUAUUCUCAUCUGUCUAUGUAUUCACUUUGAUUUAUAUAUGAGAUAGAGAUUGUUGAUGUAUUGAUUACUGUUUUUGCUUUAAGUUGAAAAACAGAUUUGAGUAGUUGUCGAGAGAGAUUACUCGAGUUUAGACAUAAAACAGAUUUUCAAGUAGUGAAUAAGUUGUAGAGAUAGAUUUAUUCAUUACUAUUCUUUGAUAUUGAACAUUAAAGGUUGCUAUAUUGAUAGUUAGGUGGAGAGAUCGUCUAAGGAUCAAUAUAGUAAACUAUCACGAUAUCAUUUAGACAUAAAUGACUUUGAGAGGAUAUUUGAACAUCAUCAAUAAUCUUGAAUCUAAUUAUUUAUCAUAGGGAAUCAUAGAUAUUUGAAAUAGUGAACUCCAAUCUUGCCAAGCUUUUAGAUUUGACUAAACCACUUUAUAGUUUUUGUUAACUUUCACUUACAAAAUAUUUUUCCAAACAAAACAACCCUGUUGACUUUCUAAACUUAUAACAUUUGAAUUAUAGAACGGCGGUAAUAUUACCCAAUCUCUGUGGAUACGAUACAAAAAUAUUUGCCAAAGAUAUACUCUUUCAACACUAUGUUCUGAUAAUUAUAUUGUAUGAUGACGGUGUAUUUAUUUUUUGUAGUAGUGUAAUACUUUGAAAUGUAUUAACCACUAUAGCAAGAUUGCAAAGUUGUUGUAGCCUGAUAAAUCAUGGUUUCAAGAUGUCUUGCACUUAUCUGGGCUGAAGGAUUUAUGCAAGAUUGGAUAUGGUUAUAUUAAUCAUGGUUUAUUGUAUACAUUUGUGGAGCGAUGACACGCAGAGACCUUUUCAUUUCAUCUUUCUAUCGAUGAGAUGAAAAUCAAACAUGGUUCAUCGUGCCUCCUACAUACUCCGAUCAGAUGAAGAUUAUUAGAUUGCUUUUGAAUCAGUAGACCUGAUGCACUGGACAUGAUAGUUACAUAUUUAAGAGUUGACUCGUGUAAAACCCAACAAGAGAUAGAUGACACAAAAUGUUGUCAUGCUAGAUUUUCAUUCUUUGUGAAGUUGUAUGAAGACUACCUUGUUGCAGUUGUGGAUGUUGUGUCUUAGGUUAGGUCUUAAUUGAUGAUGAACUUGUUUUUUAUUUGAUUGGGACAUAUGAUCGAAUGAUGUUAAUGUAAGUUCUUUGACUCUUUGUUAUUAUUCAAUUAUUUAUUAAGCUCAUUUCCUAUUAUUUGUUACGACAUUCAAUUUGAUUUUAAUAAGUAGUGACUAAUGACCAUAGGGUUAUUUAUCUAACAUACUUUAACUGUUGAGUUCGCUAAUUGACUAGGGAUGAUAUAAUUAGGACUUGUGACUUACGGAUUAACGCUUUAUGUUGCCUAAUCUGACAGGACAAUUGGCUUGAGGGAUCAGAGAGAUAAUUCCUAUAUCAGUAAGGUACACGCCAAUGAAUUAGGUGUAGUGGUAGAGUUAGUCUGUCGUGUAAUUCUAUAAUCAUUGCAUGUCUGUUAACGCGUGUUUGAUCAAUCAAAUAGAAACAAGGGAUUAUGAUAAUAAGAGUCGGCCGUCUUUAUCAUCAUUGUUAUAACAACUCCUUCUUUUGUUUUAUACUAAACAAAUCUAGAGAAAAAAACUUUGUUUAUUAUUUUUAAUUACAUCGCACAAUGUACCUUCUUCUAAGUUCACAAUCCCUGUGUAGACGAAUUUAUUUUUAUUACUUCAAUAGCAACGCUAGUACAGUUGCUAAUAAAUUGUCCAUCAGUAUCCUAAAGUGUGUGCAUCUCUAAAAUUGUUUUCUAAAAUUCAUGACAAUGAUGGCCCUUCGAAGGAUAAUGAAAUCCUCACAUCAACACUUAAGUAUCAAUUGUGGUUUAGAGUUGAAAAAUUCAUUUAAAUUGCAACUAAAACCCAAAUCUUUAGCAUUAAUGAAUGGUUUUUGAAGGGAAUAAGAAGAUAAAGAUCGUAUUUCGAUUGCCUAAUUUUCAAGGGGAAGAAAAUGAGAUUUUCAAAGAACCCUAAUUCAGUUUAACAAUGGAGGUCAAUGAAAAAGAACACAAAGACAUGGUAAAAAUGUUGAUAUGGAUGUCACACAAGUCUUUUUUUUAUGGGUAGAAAAUACUAAUUUGGAGUAAGGUAGUUAAAUUAAAUGACCAACAUCAAUCUUUUUUUGAUCCGAUAAAUUAAUAUAAAUUUGGAACUAAAGAUACUUUCUAUGUCUCAUAAUAAAUGUCUUAUUUGAGAUUUACGUGAUUCUUAAAAAAAUGAUUAGAUGUGUUAAUUUCAAUGAUAAAAUUAAUCUCAUUUACUAAAAUAUUUUUAUUUAUUAUAGUUAGUGAGGUAGUUGAAAAGGAUUUUUUUACCCAAAUACCCCUGAUUUUCAAAACAAAAAAAAAACCCUGAUUUCAAAAAAAAAAACAAUAUACCCCACUUUUUAGAGGAGGCGUCAGACCAAUUGGCGCUUGCUCCUAAACUUAGAGAGGAGACGCCAAUUGGAUUGGCUAGAACACAUGGUGUUGUCAAUCCAAUUGGUGCCCAUGUGUUAUUUUGUAGAGGAGGUGCCAAUUAGUUUGGCGCCUCAGUGUAAUGUGCAAUUUUUUGUGUUAUAAAUAGAGGUGUUGUGUGAAUCAUUUUUCCACAUCUCAUUUUCAUAUUGCAAACAUGUUUGGUGUUCAUCUCCGCUAUGGAAAAGUGGUUUAUUCAAGAGACAAACUUCCGAUGUUGAUGCUCUUUUGGAACAUCAGUAGUUUCGAUCAAUUGAAGAGGGAGCUGGUUUGUGGGUUAGAUGGAAAAAUACCAGAAAUGGAAAAAUUAGAAGUAUUGAGAGACUCGAUAGUAUAUUUGGUUAGGUGCGAGUCAAAACUGAUAAGGAUGCUAGGAAAAUGAUGUUUGGACGAGAUGACAUAAGUUUGAUUGUCGUAAUCAGUUAGGCAAGAGAAGAAAAACCAAGUCGUAAUUAUAUGGCUUGGUACAGAUCGGUUGGAUUUGAGUUCAUCACCGAGGAUAUGUACCUAUAUGACCCACGUCAGACAACUUACACAUCAGAAGACUCAACAUCUAACCCCCAACAACAUUGUCAGACCAGCUACUCACAACCCCCUAUCCAUCAAACUUUUUGAUCCAUAAACACACAAACAUACAACCCUAACAUGCCAUACACCCAACCACAAUACCAAGAGCAUACCCCGUAUCACCACCAACAACUAGAUCAUCAUCAAGAGACCCAACAUCGCUAUGCACCUAACACAUCACCCUACCAUAGCCGCCUUAGCCAAAACACUCAACGAUCGUUUAACACCAACCUUCCCUCCUCAUACCAUAGCUAGGAAGCUCAAACAUCUCAAAACCAAAACCUUCAACAACCAUAUGUCUACCAAACACCACAACAAUCAUUUCAACAUUUCCUCGACGCAUCAUUCACACCAAUGUCUCCCUUCAAUCAUCUUGGUCGCCCUCCAACAACUCAAACACAACUCAACUACUCUGAAUGGGUCAUGAACUCGGCUAUGACGAACCCAUUUGAUGCAUACACAAGACUACGUUGAUUUGUCUGACUAUCUGAGGCAAUCUCCUGCAGUUAGUGGUGAUGUUCUUGGGGCCUCAGAUACUCAAACACCUGGGAUGAAUCAUCAACGUGGGUUAUGGCCACGAGUUCGGGUAGUUAGGGGAUGUGGGACCGGAGGUCGGUUAGGUGAUCCUGGUCAUCAACAUUAGUCUUUUUUGUGUAAACGGGUAUUAAUAUUAAUAUGAAUUAAUCUGAUUUCGACUUUGUCUAUCAUGUAGAAUGUUUCUAAAAAAAAAUUACAAAAUACACACAGGUGUCAAUCCAAUUGGCGCCUCCCUUAAAGCUUAAAUUGGCAACACAAGGAGCACUAGCCAAUCCAAUUGACGUCUCCUCUCUAAGUUCAAGAGCAUGCGCCAAUUGAUCUGGCGCCUCCUCUAAAAAGUGUGGUAGAUUGAGAAAUUUUUUGAAAUCAAGGCUAUUUUGGAAAUAUUUUUGAAAAUCAGGGGUAUUUGGAUAAAAAAAUCGUUGAAAAGAGUGAAAGAUAAUAAAUAGGAGCAUAGUAGUGGAAAAAAAUAAUAAAUAUUGUAUUGAUAUUUUAAAGAAACAUUUAUUUUGAAACAUUGAAAAAAAUAUAAAUAAGACAUUUUUUAUGAGACGAGGAGUGAGAGAUAAAAAGUGUUUUAGUAAAAAAAAUCAUAUAAUGGCAUAUUAAAAGGGAGUUGUUUUAACUAAUGAUAACCAAUCUUAUUAGAUACUUUUAUUUCUAUUAGAAAAUGAAAAUGUGUGUUGUGGAUUGUAUCAUGAAAAUGGAAAAUAAAUAUCAUAAAUGUGAUCUUUAUAAUUUAAUAAAAAUUAUUUUAAAAUAUAAUGAUAUAAAUUAUUAGUGAAACUAAUUUACUAUUUUUUUUUUUUUUGUUGAGUUGAAAUAACUGAGUGUCUGUAUCUGAUUGUCUAUCGGGUGGAAAAAAAAACUAAUGUUAUUAUAUACAAAUAUUAAGAUAAAUCAAUAAGUAAUGUGCGUAUAUAAGACUUAUUCAAGCAUUUUUUAUAGAGAUUAAAGGUAGUGUAUUGUCGAUAAAAAAUAGUUUUACACAAUCAUUUAAUAGAAUAAUUUUGUCAUGUCAUAUUAAUAUUUUAAAAUAAAUUGUGAUUGUCGAAAUAUAGUUCAUGAUUGAUGAAUAUAUAUAUAUAUAUAUAUAUAUUAUAUAUAUAUAUAUAUUAUAUAUUAUAUAUAUAUAUAAUAUAUUAUAUAUAUAUAUAUAUAUAUAUAUAUAUAUAUAUAUAUAUAAUAUAUAUAUUAAUAUAUAUAUUAUAUAUAUUAUAAUAAAUUAUGUUUUGGAUUGAAUGAUAAAUAAAUGUUUGUUAUUAUUAUUUUUUUACUUUUUAUAAUAUUAUAAAAAUAAAGAUUAUAUUUAAAAAAAUUAUCUAACCAUCUAAAUCCUUCCACCAAUUUUUCAUUUCAACUAAAUUACAUAAAUUUUGUAUUAUAAAUAAAAGUAAAUUUCUCAAAAAAAAAUCUCUUUACUCAGAUGUUUCAAUUAUAUUCACUCAAUCCUUCUCUUUUUUUUUCAAAACCUUCUAAAUUUCCAAAUAAAGUAUAUAAAUUAUAAAGAAAGAUAGAUUGCAUUAGACUUCUUUUUAAUUCUUGUAACAUCUUAGAAAAGUUAACAUGCUCAACACUUAUAGCAUGUUUGGAUUGCUUUUACAAUGUCCAAAUCGCAAUAAAAAGACGAUGGAGUGAAAUUACUUCAAUUGGUUGAGUUUCCUCUAACUCUAACCUACCAAAUUCUACAAAUUCCAACACCAUACUUCCAAGCACUACAUCAUUAUAGUUCAGUUCACCUGAAUGUCUAUGACUGUUGGUUGACCAAAAACUUCACAGACAUAUCUACCUUAUUGUUUUCACCAACUAACAGCCAACAUGUUGAGUUCUAUAUUUUGAAAACCUUACAACUCUUCAAUCACACGCUACAAAUGACUCACCUACCUGCCUUUCAUAUUUGAGAUUAUGCAACCCAAAACCUUUUUUCUUUGUGCUUAACAUUGCAACAUUCAUAGACCCUUCUACUCAAGCUUUGAUCUCUCUAUCUUUAGUUAUGACAUACACGACGCUGACUCGAGGAUUUGCCGCUGUAAUCUUCUUGAUUGCUCUGUACUGUGGAUUAGACCCUUUCAAGCACAACCCUCUCCAAGGCUUCCCGGAUUUUGAGGCGCACAAAAUUAACUUGCCAUCAUGGUCUGAGGUUCCUAUGGACCAAGACAAACACAACUUGUUGCAAAAAUCGGAGCUCAUGUUUGUGAACCAAGUGCAUGGACCGGAGAGUAUUGCUUUUGAUCCUCAUGGUCUUGGUCCUUACACUGGUGUUGCUGAUGGAAGGGUUUUGUUUUGGAAUGGACUGUCUUGGACUGAUUUUGCAUAUACCUCAUCCAACAGGUCACACUUCUCUUCUGUUGUUAUCUAUCCAUUAUAGAUUGAAAGAUAUUUUGUGGCUACUUACCUUUGCCAUAUUGCAUGAUAAUAUUUCUUGCACCGUAUUUCUGAACACAGGUCAGAACUAUGCAAUCCUAAGGCAUCUGCGUCACCACUUAGUUAUGUUGAGACUGAGCACAUCUGUGGAAGACCUUUGGGACUAAGAUUUGACAAGAAAACUGGUGAUUUAUACAUUGCAGAUGCAUAUUUUGGGCUGAUGAAGGUGGGGCCUCAAGGUGGUUUAGCAACAUCUCUUGCAACAGAGGCGGAAGGAGUACCGUUGAGAUUUACUAAUGAUGUAGACAUUGAUGCAGAAGGGAAUGUUUAUUUCACUGAUAGCAGCACUACAUAUCAGAGAAGGUUGUUGUAAUUAACCUUUUACUGGUUGAUAGUUCACCUUUUGAAUUUGUCAUCAUUUUGAAUGUGGGAAGUAAUAAAACAGUGCUGGGGAAGCAGGAAUUAUGAAAGAUCUUGACUGAUUUUGUUUUACUGACAUAUGAUGUCAUUCUACUCGCAGGAAUUUCAAUCAGCUGAUAUUUUCUGGUGAGAAUAGUGGAAGGGUUUUGAAAUACAGCCCUGUCACCGAGGAAACCACUGUUCUUGCGAGGAAUUUGGGAUUUCCAAAUGGGAUUUCCUUAAGCAAGGAUGGUUCCUUCUUUGUCUUUUCAGAAGGGUUAAUUGGAAGGUGAGAUAAGAAUCGCCUAACGCUUUUUUCGUUUAAUAACAAUACACUAAAGAUGCAAACAUGUUUUACAAAGAUGUCCAACAUGUUUUUUCAUUGACACAAAAUGUGAUUAUGUCAUAAGAUGAUGAAAUAUGAUUGAACAUCAAUGUAAAUUUUUUUCCUAUAAUCAAGUUCCUUUUUUCUGUAGGCUAUGCAAGUACUGGCUAAAAGGAGAUAAAGCUGGAACUUCAGAAAUAUUGGCAAUCCUACCUGGUUUUCCUGACAAUGUGAGAGUCAAUGAAGAUGGUGACUUUUGGGUGGCUAUCCAUUGUAGAAGAUAUAUGUACAGUUACAUAAAUGCUCUCUUCCCAAAAAUGAGAAAAGCCAUACUCAAGCUACCUAUUCCAACACGGUUUCAUUAUCUGCUUCAUAUCGGAGGUCGGUUCCAUGCAGUCGUCGUUAAAUAUAGCCCGGAAGGUAAACUUCUACAGAUAUUGGAGGACAAUGAGGGAAAAGUUGUUAAGGCAGUGAGUGAAGUGGAGGAGAAGGAUGGUAAACUCUGGAUGGGAAGUGUUUUGAUGCCUUUCGUUGCAGUUUACCAUUUGACAUGAAGCAUCAAUGUUAGAUUCUCCUCCACUCAAAACCAGCUAAUUGAAUUCUCUGUUAAAGAAAUUACAAGUUGAUUUUUUACCCUUUUCCUCUAUUUGAUUAAGAUGUCAGGAAACAUAGACUAGAAAAGUAACAAUGAUAAGAAUAAAAAUAUGUGUAAAAUUUGGUCUGUCAUUACUGGAAAACUUUUUUUAGAACAGAUUAAUAGAAGAAAGGGUGAACAACAGAAAAGAAAUAAUUGCCAAGCUAGGGAUGUUGUAUUACAACAAAGAAUCGUUUCGUUAUUGUAUUUCCACUUCUUCGGGAAAAUCGCUUGUUAUCAGUUUGAUCAAAAUGGUUCAAUGCCUAGUUACAGUUCGAAAAACCCUUUGAGCCCAACAGAGCGCACCUAUGACAUUGCAGUAGCAGUAGCAACUGAAUCUCUAAAAAUACAUAUAUAUGCACUAAAUUGUUCGACAAGUAGACUAGAGAAAGCUUUUGCUCACUCGUCUAAGAAUGAAAAUCCACAUGAAGGAAAUAAUGAAAGAGAAAACAAAAAGAACAAAUCAAAAAUGUGGGAAAAUCACACCCAUAGUAGCUAUUAUCUCCAGCAAGAUUUGCAUAUUUGACUUAUUAAGAUCUUUGAGAUUUUCAUCAAUCUGUGCAUCUGCAUCAAAGCAUGUGUUAGCAGUGAGUAAAUUACCAUAAGGAAGGAAAUAAAGCUAACAACUGAGCAUAAUUAAUUACAAUUAGGCAAAUGGUAAAACCAGAAACAGAUGAGUUUUCAUGCACAAACACAACGAUACUUGGCAAUUGUUUGUUACCUUGUUUUAAUUAACGUUGCUAGCCAAAAAAACAAAAACUACGGCUUUUUCAUUGAAGACAAGAGGCGAAUCUAGAAUGUUGUCCAAAGGUUCCAAGCAUCCAGCAUGCUGUUUCCAGCAAUUUCCCUACAAGAAACAUUCAUUUAAUCAGUCACAAACUAUAACAGAUUGAUCUAUAUUUUGAUACAAAAAUGUAGCAUUGGUACUCAAUUUUCAGGACCAAUAUUGAACCUUCAAUGAAGUAAAAGAAGUAGCAAAUAGCAACGAACCUCUUCUGUGUUUGACAAGGACUUUAUCGGGUUGACCCGUCUUUGAAACGGGUUUAACCUGCUCCAUUACCUCCUCCUUCUCUUCAAUGGGAAACAAAACCCCAUCAAUCCCCUGAACAGAGAUUCUCCCAUCGGUAUAAAUAUCCGGGUCAAACAAAUAACCCGCCACGCCACCAUGUCCAAAUUUAACAGACCCAUCAGCUUCCUCCGCCACAACCUUAUGCGGCAACCGUAACGUAUCAUAUCGAACUUUCCCGAACCUUCUAACAGCAUUAUACAUACUCUCCUCCGUUUGAUACUCCGGGAUAAUAUGGUAAUACAUUAUCUCUUCAGGUGAACCCGGUUCACUUAACUGCUCCGUUGUUAACUUCGCCAUCGCCUCGUCGUUUGGAGCCAAAACCGUUAACACGUAACCCUCCGAAACUAAACGGCUCAUUUCAGUUGCUAACGACGUUAGAUUUACAAGAAUAUCAGCCAUUUCGUUGUAACCACCGUAAUGGAGUAACGUUUUGAUGAAAUCCUUAACCUGUGCCUCGCCGUUGAAGUGGUGGUGUGGGCCACCUGGUCCCGGCGCUGGCGCCGGAGCUAGGGAUGGUCCUGGAGCCAUUGCCUCGUAGAUCGAAAGUGUCGGUGGCGAACCUGUUUUUUCCGGUGGGGGAGAUUUUUUCAACCGGUGGUUUCUCGUGUCGAUUUCUGGUGAUCCUUCCGGUUUUACGGCGGUGAUGGAACGGAGACUACGGCGGUUGUUGAAAUCGUCUUCCACGGAGCGUGGGAUAAGAAGACGCUGGAUCCCGUGGAUGAUGCCGUCGGGUCGGGUUAUGAAAUUCGGGUGAGUGACUUUGAUUUGGUCGACAGUCCAUUCGCCGGUAGUGAUAUUGGUAGCGAGGUGAAGAUUGUGAUUGGAGAGAGUCUUGUGCUCGUGUUGGUGUCGGGUCGACCCGGUUUGUUGUUGGGUUUCGAUUCGGGUUGGGAUGACGUGGAACAAUAAGAGAGUUUGGAGGGAAUGGAUAUUACCGGGUUCGAGAAGAAACUGUUUGAAAUCGGAAUCGAGAUUACGUUCAAGAGCUUCAUUGUUUGGUGCGAAAAUCGUAAUAUUGUGGGUUGCGACGGUGUUUUCUAGUGUUUGUAAUAACAUAGCUUUUUCAAUGAGUUCAGCGAGUUCAGUGUAAUGUGAGUCAAGAAGUGCUACUAGAACUGAGUUGGAGUUGAUUUGACUCGUUGGUGAAGAAGAAGAUGAGAAAAUUGAGAGAAAGAAAAGAACAAGAAGAAGAACGCCAUGGAUGCGGCAAUGAAAAUACAUGGCGAAUUGGAAGAGAGAGAAUGUGGUUGAAUGGAAUCAAGAAUUUGCUUGACUAAAGAAGACAGCAAAAAUAAUUGCUUUGCUGGUGGUGUGUGAUGUUUUGUGUCCAGUGGUUUUCUUUUCUUCAUGUGACUAUGUUGGGUUUUGUUUGAGUUGUUUGGUGGGUAAAUUAAGACAAUAGCAAUGAAAUUUUAAAGGAUUUUUUAACUAUAGUGUAAAAAAAAUAUCUUUUUAACUACAGUAUUAGGAUUUUAUAAGGGUAAUGGAGAGGAUGUGGAGUUAUAUUUUAGCGGCUAAUUAAUUAACUAGUUUGAGUUGAUUUUGUCGGUUGUAUUGUAUUGUAUUAACAACAGUGUUGAUUUUGUUGGAUUGUAGUGAAAAGGGAAGUAUUGGACCUGGUGGAGAUGGGUCCAAUAGCCAGCUGCUACUGAGAGUGGGAGGACAGACAUUAAUUCUCAAGUCUAAACUGUGGUUGAAAUUCUAGCUAAGUGAAAUCCCUUUUAAUGAGCCAGCUUGCUACCAAUAGAAAUAGUAUUUGGUUAUUGCAAUCGAUUACAAUUACGAGUGGCAAAAUGGCUCGGUUCCGCCCGUUUAAUCCACUUUUUUGGCGGAUUGAGACAAAGUUUUUGGUUCGGUAUCUUAAGUUGAUCAUCCCGUUUAAUCCAUUUUUAAAACGAGUCGAUAGCGUGGUGGGAUGGGUUUUGUCCGAGGACUUUUUUAUUAAAAUAAAAUUACUUAGAAUUAAAACAAUAUUACUGUAAUAUGUUGUAUACCUAUUUUUAAAAUAUCAUUUCUUCAAACUCUAAUAUUAAUUUUGGACAUAAUCACAAACACCUUAUUUUUAAGACAUUAAUAGUCUAUGUUUCGUUCUUCAUCUUCACUCAUAGUAAUAAAAUCUUUAUUGCAAAACAUAAAGAAUACAUUGAUAAAGCUACUGAUUUUGAUGUUAUUGAUCUUGAUAACUAUUAAAUAAUAGAUGAGGAUGAGGAGAGAGAUGAUGGAAGGUUUCACCUAAUGGCUACAAUAUCAACCGAAGUUUCAUAUGUUCACGACAUAGAUGAUGAUUGAUGAAGUGUUUGUCAUGGAGUCUUUAAGAUUGUUUUUUCAUUUUUGGUUCUUUGUUGUCUUUGUUUAGUUUGUGCUAGUUUGUUUUGUUGACUUGUGUCCUUAGAUGUCAUUAAUUAGGUUGUGCAUGUUGAUUUUUUGAACCAAAUGAAUUAUUUUGGAGUUUUAGUGUGUUUGUUUUAAAUUUUUGGUAUUAUAGUUACGUUGUAUUGUUUAUGUUGAAGAAUAUGACAUUUACAUUAAUACUUCGUUAAAGUUUUAUUAUGUGUUGUUAAAAUUUGUCGGUCUUUUUGGUAAUGAUUAAAAAAUUUGUAAAUUAUUAAAUCAAAUUAUUAGAAAAAAUGGCGGGUCAGCCCGCCAACCUGUUGUUGACCUGGGAUUUUCUGUCUAAGAGAAAAAUCAAGUCAAUGUUUGCAUAUGGUGAAACGCUAAGUAUAACAAAUGAUAAACAUGGUUCAACAAUGAUGGCAUGUUAACCAGAUGCUCUCAACUAACAUCUUAAGAUGUUAGUUUGGAAAAUCUCAAGGAGAUAUCUUGAGAAAUGAGUUGAAAGAGUCUCGGGCGUAGACUUAAGAGGCUAUUUGACACCAUGUUAAGAGAAGACUCUACCACAGACUUUGGAUACUGAGUGCAUAAAGUUAGAGAACGUGGGAUAAUGGCUUCAACAGUUUUCAAAGCCAUAACAAUGUGGCAAAACAUGGAGUGGGGAAUUACAUGCAUUCAAGUGACGUGUCAGUAUUUAUAGCAUUAGAAUCAUGUGUUGUAACAAAGGGUUCACAAGUUUUCACAUAAAAUUCUUUAUAAAAAUGGAGUACCCAAGGUAGAGAGAGAAAUAGUUUGUGAGGAAUUAUAUAAGUUUGCAUCCCUCUUUAUUUAUGUACUUUUAUGUUUCCUUAAUUGAAACAUAUUUACUUUCUUGUCAUUUACUGCAUUCUCAUUUAAUGUUGUUUAUUUCAAGUUCCUCUUACUUCAAUUUAAACGUCGUUUUCUUUGAAGUCUACUUACGCACUAUUUACAAUCAGACAAUUUUAGUUACGUCUUACAUGUACGUCAUUGUAACAUUUUUCGGACAAAACUGAUCCUGAGAUUCUUCGAGUUAAUCUCAAAGACUUUCAAACUCGUGAUUGUUCUCUAAAAAUAUCUGCUGACAAAUUGGUACGCUCAGUGGUACUCACGUGUUUUUGUGAAGAAAAAAAAUUCUUCAAAUAUGUUUUUCUGGAAAUUCGUUUUUAUUUGUAAAAAUCAUCGUAGUGUUUAGUCUGUUUUUACAGUUUUCAAUAUCUAUUAACGUAUGUGUUUGAGAAGUAAGAAAUAUGUUAAUGCAUGUGGUCACACUCAUCUAAAGAGUGGCAAUAUUUAAGUACCAAUGGCUAACCCAAAUAACACGUCUCAAGGUCGAAAUGAUACUCCAGACUCAGAACCACAAGUUACCACAACUGUUAAUACGACAGGGUCGAUGAAUGCAUCAUCAGUGACACCGGGAAUUUUGAAAUAACUCGCCACGUCUAAGAAUUGCCUUAAGUGCAAGUGAGGGUCUUCGUGUGUAGACCUGAAUAUUGACCAGUAGAUUACAGCAUUUGAAACAUCAUAGGCUUGAACUCAAACUGUGGUGCAUCAAUUUCUGGUCGUAUAAUCCUAGUUUUCAUGCGUUGGGAUCAAAGAAUGCAUAGUCUCUGAUAUUUCUUGCUUUGUCAUUGGUAAUGCCAAUAACGCCAGUCUCUGCCAUGAUAGCGUAUGUCUCUACUUACUCUUGCUUUGAUCCUUCUUCUAACUAUAACUCCUCUUCUAGUUAUAUCUCAUGAACAUCAACCACAAUAAAGGAAGGGGAGCUUCCAGGCAAGUCUCCAGUAAGUUGAGAUCUCCUAGUACUCUGAGAGUUAUUUUAGGUUCAGGAUCUCCUCUAUAGACUGGUUGCAACAACCUACAUAUACAAUAGUUAAGCACCUGUCACGACACCAGAGUACAGAAAUACGUUAAAGGCUCAAAUACUUAAGUAAUAAAAAAUAAUAGUAAUUAAUACAAAAUCAAAAAUGUAACUUGGCGCUCCCCGACAACGGCGCCAAAAACUUGUUGCUUGAAAAUGUGUCACAUGCAAGUAUACAUGUAUGUUUUAAAAGUAGCAAGUGAUAAAAAGUAAGGAUAUCAUACCCAUAGGGAGUGAAUAUUACUUAGGUUGAUUUUGUACUAUCUAUCUUCUGAUUUUAAGUAUGAGCAAUGAUAAAAAUAAUAGAUGAAUGUCACAAGUUCAAGCGUUCCUUUCUAAACCAAAUCUAAAGAGUGCAAAGUAUGAGUGAAAUUAUAUCAGAGAGUGCAUGUUGAGCUAGGGUCCAUUAAUGUUAAUAAUGUGAUAAUGUGUUAAUGAUGUGUCGUUCCAUGAAAGGUCAGAGUGAUCAAUAGGUGUAUUUCUACAACAUCAAAACAUGCACUACUAGGGCAAGUAAACAAAUCUCUAAGUCACAUUUAUAACCCUAAAAUACGUUAUAUUCUGAAAUCCCUCAUAGUUGUAGUUCAUUAUCUCUAAGUGAACUAAUCAAGUGAAUUUCCUAUUUUUUCAACUAUUUUUAUUAUGAAAUUCACUUGUUGUUGAAUCUCUCACAACAACAAGUUGUUAUCUUUUUCUAAGUUGAUCACUCAAAGAAACAGAUUUGUAAACAAAUUAACACAUAAUAAAACAAGACAUUAAACUACACAUAACUUAACAUAAAAGCAUUAUAACAUUAACUUCCCAUUGCUCACCAUACAAAAGGUUUAGCUUAUAUUAAACUGAGUACAAACUACAUAUAUGGUUCUCAUAAGAUACAUUCUUAAGCAAAUACUGAAGAACAAAUGUAAACCUAAAAGUGACUUUAAGACUCCUUGAGAGAAUAUUCAGCAAGGGAUGACUCCAAUCACUCCACAUCUCAGCAGCUGAUACAGGAAAUGGUGAGAAGAAGAACUCUUAUUUUUCUCCACUGAACUCACACUCUUGUAUUUUAUAUUGUAUCUUUUGAAUUCGUGAACUCUUUUUUCAAUUACCAGCAGGAUCUAUUUAUAAUCCUUCACUAGAGCUUCUUGUGAUGUCUUAGAUCAUGGGUCAAAAAUAAGAAAAUCGCAUCAAACCUAAUGAUCAAAUCAAUGAGGUCCUCUUUGAUUUUAUCCGCAUAUUCAAAUGAAUUUCCUUCAGUCCAAGCACAUUUCCCCUAAUAUUUUGUUCAUAUCAAAAUUUUCCCUAGGACUCAGCUGCUUCCUUCACAUUAUCUUUUGGUUAAAGUUCAUCUUUUUACUUUAACAAGCGCUCUCAAGUGUUGUCUAGCACAGUCUUAUCUUAGCUCAUCAGACAUGACCUAAAUUUAAGCAACAAAAAUAUUAGACCAACAAAAGGGAGCACUUAUUGUGCUCCAAAUUAAUUGUUAUAAAAUGACUAAAAUAAAUUGAAAGUAACAACUUAAAAACAAUAAAACUAACCGUAAUGUAGAACCAAGGUAUGCAACUGUUGACGACGGUUAUGACCACUAAGGAACUCUUGCAUUCACUCCAUGUUCUAUCUUAAAAUUUUCACUAGUGUGUUUAAGUGUCACCCACGAUCCUAUCUAUUUGCAAUCCAUGUUGAAUUGUAACUGCUCUUAACUUCUUCACGAACCUUCGACGGUAACUGCUCCCACUUCCUGUUGAUGUUGUCUAUCAAGGACUCUGGACUUGUAAUUUACCGAGUUUCCACCUUACGUGUCUCAGCCAACUGAUCUUCUUGAUGAAAUAAAAACUUUUGUGAAUUGUCCUUUUUGAAAUUCCGGACAUGUUUCCCAUCAACCCAAAUCUUGGGGAUAUAUCCCUGAGAGUCCUCCAAACCAUAUAUUCAUGUGUCUACGACUCGAUUGAUCCCUCGUUAUUGGUUUAUCGUCGCUUCAACUUAAUACUCUUUAAAACACUUCAUUAAUUUUUUCUCACAGCAAAUAUUUUUUAUUGGCAUUCUUUGUUGAUAUUCUGCUAGUUGAAAAAUCCAAGUGUAACAUACUAUGAUUAAAUUUAUUUCGAAAAUAUAUUUUCAAAAUAAAUUUGAUCAUAAAACUAAAACGUAAUUCAAAAACAAAUUAAUUGUAUAUGUAUGAGGUGCAUCCGAAAAUGCAUUUUAGAAAUUGAUGGACAUUUUCAAAAUUUCAUAGAAUUCUUUUUGAUCUCGUAUGGUGGGAUAAGAAAUUCCCCUAGUAAGUUGACCCACCUUGCUUUUUCAUGGGUUCAAGCAAGGGCGAGCUGGCUCGCUUAGCCAUUCCUACCAAAAAAAAUUGUACCUUGAAUAUAUCCAGCAUCAUUCCUCCUUCAUAUUAUACGGCAAAUUGUAAAUAUCCACAUGAUUUCAAUUAAAAUAAGUAAAUUAGGUGUUCCUCACUGCAGGCAAAGUGUAUAGCCUAAUUCCUCAGGUUGAUUCUUAUAACUGGCAAUAAAACUCCCUCCAAAAUUAAAUUUCAAACAUGCGAGACUACUAACAAAAAAAUGGAUUAUAAUUUGUAUAACCCUGUUGGGAUUUCAAAUGGGAGUUUUAAUGGUCAGAUCUGAUUUCCAGCCUCUUCAGUGCUGUCAUCAGUGAUUUAAAGGCACGUUAUUGAUAGUAUUUCACAGUCAAACACAAUUAUGGCCCAGGUGAUUUAUGCUUAAAAACACUAAUUGAUAGGUACAAGAGACAUUGUUUUAUGCACAUUAUUGAUAGUCUUUCACAGUCAAACACAAUUAUGGCCCAGGUGAUGUAUGCUUAAAAACACUGAUAGAUAGGUACAAGAGACAGUGUUUUAUGUGAAGAUUAUCUCAGGAAUAUCUAUAUAAUUUAUAAAUAAGUUUACAAGGUGAGCUGAAUAUACACAAUCACAUUUAGGUUCCCGAGUAACAAACAAAUGAGACCACCACUAUCUUUGUUUUAAGUUCUUUAUUUCCAAUAUGACAAUUGUCGGUCAUCUUUUGCAGGUCAAAGGAUUAUCAAUCCGCGACAUCCACAAAACUUCACAUCCAGUAAUGGGCAACUCUAUUCCUACCUGAUAUGAUAGAAUAAUCCAUCAGCACAGUAAUGGC
rnacentral:lncRNA from 1 species